rnacentral:lncRNA from 1 species
UGUACAGAAGUAAUGUGCAAAACGUUUCAGACCCAUUUGACUUUCCAUUAAAAAAUGUAAAAUCACGCGCUACAGCCAAAGUUUCUGUUUUUGUUCUGCACAUAGUAAACAAGCAAUCUAAUCAUCCUAAAACCAAAGCUUGGCACACUAUUUUUAUGAUACAAUGGGUAUAUACAAGGAGAUAAUUAUUUACAGAGAAACUUCCAUGAAAAAUUCUACAUUGUUUCCGUGAGCAUGAACACAAGUGCUCAAGGUCGUCCCUCACUUCUUCAAUGCAUAACUUUCCAAUCACUUCUCUUUUUGUAAAACUUUUUAGGCAUGAGAGGCAAGUAAAUUUUUUUGUAUUUUCAUUCUUUUAAAUUUUUUUGUAUGUUUCACCCACAACUAAACAUAAACAAAAAGGUAAAACAAAAUCUACUUAGUGAAGAAAUCAAACAAGCAUACACGAGAAUAUCAACCCCACGCUAUUGCUCCCCGGCAACGGCGCCAGAAAAGAGCUUGAUAAUCCCCAAGUGUAGGGAAUCAUCGUAGCAAUUUCCAAAGGUGGAAGUGAUAAGUAUGGAGUGUCGAACCCACAAGGAGCUAAAGGUAAGAUCAAUAUUCUCUCAAGCCCUAUCUGCCACUGAUACGACUCUACGUACACCGAACGUUUGCUUCCAACUAGAAACGAGAAAUAAAACUAUGUUGUGGGUAUGAAGAGGAUAACUUUGCAUGGUAUCGGAGAGCUAAAAUAUAAAAGUAGGUGUUGUUAUCAUAAAGUUAGAAUAUAUUACUAAAUAUUAUAAAUAGCGAGUGUGGAAUAAUGAUGGAUCGGUGUGCGGAAUUGUCCUAGGCAAUUGUUAACAAGACCGAUAGUCGUCAUUGCAAUUUCAUAUGAGGGAGAGGCAUAAGCUAACAUACUUUCUCUACUUGGAUCAUACGCACUUAUGAUUGGAACUCUAGCAAGCAUCCGCAACUACUAAAGAUCAUUAAGGUAAAACCCAACCAUAGCAUUAAAGCAUCAAGUCAUCUUUAUUCCCAUACGCAACAACCCCCUUACUCGGGUUUGUGUUUCAGUCACUCACCAACCCAUUAUAAGCGAAUCAUGAACGUAUUGCAACACCCUACAGCGGGAAUCCCUCACGCUUGCGCGACACGGAGGGCACCAUAGGACAGCACCAAAAUAAAACAUACAACUCGUACCAAUCUAGAUCAUAAAUCAACCCAAAGACAAAGGAUAUCUACUCAAAACAUCAUAGGAUGGCAACACAUCAUUGGAUCAUAAUAUGUGGCAUAAAGCACCAUGUUCAAGUAGGGAUUACAGCGGGGUGCGGGAGAGUGGACCGCGUAAAAGAGAUGAGGAUGGUGAUGAUGAUGGUGAUGUUGAUAAAGACGAUCACCGUGGCGAUGAUUCCCCUCUCGAUGGCACUCCGGUGCUACCAAGAGAGAGGAGGAGAGGUUCUCCCCCUUGUGCUUCCUCCUCCAUGGCCUCCCCCUGGAUGGGGAAAGGUUCUCCCUCUGGUCCUUGGCCUUCAUGGCGAUGAUGGCCUCUCCGGGAUACUCCUCCAUGGCCACCGGUGAUGAUGGCCCCCUCCGGCAGGGUGCCGGAGAGGGCCUAGAUUGAUUUCUCGUUGCUACAGAGGCUUGCAGCGGCGGAACUUCUGAUCUAGGUUUCUUUCUGGAAGUUUGGGUAUAGAUGAGAGGUGUUGGCGUCGAGAACAAGUCAUGGGGGUCUCCGGGCUGUCCACGAGGCAGGGNNNNNNNNNNNNNNNNNNNNNNNNNNNNNNNNNNNNNNNNNNNNNNNNNNNNNNNNNNNNNNNNNNNNNNNNNNNNNNNNNNNNNNNNNNNNNNNNNNNNNNNNNNNNNNNNNNNNNNUAAGCUCCGUCAAGUUUCAGGUCAGUUGGACUCUGUUUGGUUUUCCUUUUCUGCGAUAUUCUAAAACAAGGAAAAAACAGAAACUAGCACUGGGCUCUAGGUUAAUAGGUUAGUCCCAAAAACCAUAUAAUGUUGGGGAACGUAGUAAUUUCAAAAAAAAUCAACGCACACGCAAGAUCAUGGUGAUGCAUAGCAACGAGAGGGGAGAGUGUUGUCCACGUACUCUCGUAGACCGACAGCGGAAGCGUUAUCACAACGCGGUUGAUGUAGUCGUACGUCUUCACGAUCCGACCGAUCAAGUACCGAACGCACGGCACCUCCGAGUUCUACACACGUUCAGCUCGAUGACGUCCCUCGAACUCCGAUCCAGCCGAGUGUUGAGGGAGAGUUUCGUCAGCACGACGGCGUGGUGACGAUGAUGAUGUUGCAUCGACGCAGGGCUUCGCCUAAGCUCCGCAACGGUAUUAUCGAGGUGUAAUAUGGUGGAGGGGGGCACCGCACACGGCUAAGAGAUCUCAAGGAUCAAUUGUUGUGUCUCUGGGGUGCCCCCCUGCCCCCGUAUAUAAAGGAGCAAGGGGGAGGCAGCCGGCCAAGGGGAGAGGCGCGCCAUAGGGGGGAGUCCUACUCCCACCGGGAGUAGGACUCCUCCUUUCCUUGUGGGAGUAGGAGAAGGGAAGGGGGAAGGAGAAAGAAGGAAGGGUGCGCCCCCCUUCCCUAGUCCAAUUCGGACCAGACCAUGGGGAGGGGUGCGGCCACCUUUUGAGGCCUUUCUCUCCUUUCCCGUAUGGCCCAUUAAGGCCCAAUACGAAUUCCCGUAACUCUCCGGUACUCCGAAAAAUACCCGAAUCACUCGGAACCUUUCCGAAGUCCGAAUAUAGUCGUCCAAUAUAUCGAUUUUUACGUCUCGACCAUUUCGAGACUCCUCGUCAUAUCCCCGAUCUCAUCCGGGACUCCGAACUCCUUCGGUACAUCAAAACUCAACAAAACUGUCAUCGUAACGUUAAGCGUGCGGACCCUUCGGGUUCGAGAACUAUGUAGACAUGACCGAGACACCUCUCCGGUCAAUAACCAAUAGCGGCACCUGGAUGCCCAUAUUGGCUCCCACAUAUUCUACAAAGAUCUUUAUCGGUCAGACCGCAUAACAACAUACGUUGUUCCCUUUGUCAUCGGUAUGUUACUUGCCCAAGAUUCGAUCGUCGGUAUCUCGAUACCUAGUUCAAUCUCGUUACCGGCAAGUCUCUUUACUCGUUCCGUAAUACAUCAUCCCGCAACUAACUCAUUAGUCACAAUGCUUGCAAGGCUUAUAGUGAUGUGCAUUACCGAGUGGGCCCAGAGAUACCUCUCCGACAAUCGGAGUGACAAAUCCUAAUCUCGAAAUACGCCAACCCAACAAGUACCUUUGGAGACACCUGUAGAGCACCUUUAUAAUCACCCAUUUACGUUGUGACGUUUGGUAGCACACAAAGUGUUCCUCCGGUAAACGGGAGUUGCAUAAUCUCAUAGUCAUAGGAACAUGUAUAAGUCAUGAAGAAAGCAAUAGCAACAUACUAAACGAUCGGGUGCUAAGCUAACGGAAUGGGUCAAGUCAAUCACGUCAUUCUCCUAAUGAGGUGAUCCUGUUAAUCAAAUGACAACUCAUGUCUAUGACUAGGAAACAUAACCAUCUUUGAUUAACGAGCUAGUCAAGUAGAGGCAUACUAGUGACACUCUGUUUGUCUAUGUAUUCACACAUGUAUUAUGUUUCCGGUUAAUACAAUUCUAGCAUGAAUAGUAAACAUUUAUCAUGAUAUAAGGAAAUAUAUAAUACUUUAUUAUUGCCUCUAGGGCAUAUUUCCUUCAGUCUCCCACUUGCACUAGAGUCAAUAAUCUAGUUCACAUCGCCAUGUGAUUUAACAUCAAUAAUUCACAUCACCAUGUGAUUAACACCCAUAGUUCACACCUCUAUGUGACCAACACUCAAAGGGUUUACUAGAGUCAAUAAUCUAGUUCACAUCGCUAUGUGAUUAACACCCAAAGAGUACUAAGGUGUGAUCAUGUUUUGAUUGUGAGAUAAUUUUAGUCAACGGGUCUGUUACAUUCAGAUCCGUAAGUAUAUUGCAAAUUUCUAUGUCUGCAAUGCUCUGCACGGAGCUACUCUAGCUAAUUGCUCCCACUUUCAAUAUGUAUCUAGACCGGGACUUAGAGUCAUCUAGAUUUAGCGUCAAAACUUGCAUCGACGUAACCCUUUACGACGAACCUUUUGUCACUUCCAUAAUCGAGAAACAUAUCCUUAUUCCACUAAGGAUAAUUUUGACCGAUGUCCAGUGAUCUACUCCUAGAUCACUAUUGUACUCCUUUGCCAAAAACAGUGUAGGGUAUACAAUAGAUCUGGUACACAGCAUGGCAUACUUUAUAGAACCUAUGGCCAAGGCAUAGGGAAUGACUUUCAUUCUCUUUCUAUCUUCUGUCGUGGUCGGGCUUUGAGUCUUACUCAAUUUCACACCUUGUAACAUAGGCAAGAACUCUUUCUUUGACUGUUCUAUUUUGAACUACUUCAAAAUCUUGUUAAGGUAUGUACUCAUUGAAAAAAAAACUUAUCAAGCGUCUUGAUCUAUCUCUAUAGAUCUUGAUGCUCAAUAUGUAAGCAGCUUCACCGAGGUCUUUCUUUGAAAAAACUCCUUUCAAAUACUCCUUUAUGCUUUGCAGAAUAAUUCUACAUUAUUUCCGAUCAACAAUAUGUCAUUCACAUAUACUUAUCAGAAAUGCUGUAGUGCUCUCACUCACUUUCUUGUAAAUACAGGCUUCACCGCAAGUCUGUAUAACACUAUAUCCUUUGAUCAACUUAUCAAAGUGUAUAUUCCAACUCCGAGAUGCUUGCACCAGUCCAUAGAUGGAUCGUUGGAGCUUGCAUAUUUUGUUAGCACCUUUAGGAUUGACAAAACCUCCUGGUUGCAUCAUAUACAACUCUUCUUUAAUAAAUCCAUUAAGGAAUGUAGUUUUGUUUAUCCAUUUGCCAUAUUUCAUAAAAUGCGGCAAUUGCUAACAUGAUUCAGACAGACUUAAGCAUAGAUACGAGUGAGAAACUCUCAUCGUAGUCAACACCUUGAACUUGUCGAAAACCUUUUGCGACAAUUCUAGCUUUGUAGAUAGUAACACUACUAUCAGCGUCCGUCUUCCUCUUGACGAUCCAUUUAUUCUCAAUUGCUUGCCGAUCAUCGGGCAAGUCAACCAAAGUCCAUACUUUGUUCUCAUACAUGGAUCUCAUCUCAGAUUUCAUGGCCUCAAGCCAUUUUGCGGAAUCUGGGCUCACCAUCGCUUCUUCAUAGUUCGUAGGUUCGUCAUGGUCUAGUAACAUAACCUCCAGAACAGGAUUACCGUACCACUCUGGUGCGGAUCUUACUCUGGUUUACCUACGAGGUGUGGUAGUAACUUGAUCUGAAGUUACAUGAUCAUCAUCAUUAACUUCCUCACUAAUUGGUGUAGAAGUCACAGGAACAGAUUUCUGUGAUGAACUACUUUCCAAUAAGGGAGCAGGUACAGUUACCUCAUCAAGUUCUACUUUCCUCCCACUCACUUCUUUCGAGAGAAACUCCUUCUCUAGAAAGGAUCCAUACUAAGCAACGAAUGUCUUGCCUUCGGAUCUGUGAUAGAAGGUGUACCCAACUGUCUCCUUUGGGUAUCCUAUGAAGACACAUUUCUCCGAUUUGGGUUUGAGCUUAUCAGAAUGAAACUUUUUCACAUAAGCAUCGCAAUCCCAAACUUUAAGAAAUGACAACUUUGGUUUCUUGCCAAACCACAGUUCAUAAGGCGUCGUCUCAACGGAUUUUGAUGGUGCCCUAUUUAACGUGAAUGCAGCUGUCUCUAAUGCAUAACCCCAAAACGAUAGUGGUAGAUCGGUAAGAGACAUCAUAUAUCGCACCAUAUCUAAUAAAGUACGGUGACGAUGUUUGGACACACCAUUACACUGUGGUGUUCCAGGUGGCGUGAGUAGUGAAACUAUUUCACAUUGUUUUAACUGAAGGCCAAACUCGUAACUCAAAUAUUUUACCUCUGCGAUCAUAUCGUAGAAACUUUUAUUUUCUUGUUACGAUGAUUCUCUACUUCACUCUGAAAUUCUUUGAACUUUUCAAAUGUUUCAGACUUGUGUUUCAUCAAGUAGAUAUACCCAUAUCUGCUCAAAUCAUCUGUGAAGGUCAGAAAAUAAUGAUACCUGCUACGAGCCUCAAUAUUCAUCGGACUACAUACAUCUGUAUGUAUGAUUUCCAACAAAUCUGUUGCUCUCUCCAUAGUUCCGGAGAACAGCGUUUCAGUCAUCUUGCCCAUGAGGCACGGUUCGCAAGCAUCAAGUGAUUCAUAAUCAAGUGAUUCCAAAAUCCCAUCAGUAUGGAGUUUCUUCAUGCGCUUUACACCAAUAUGACCUAAACGGCAGUGCCACAAAUAAGUUGCACUAUCAUUAUUAACUUUGCAUCUUUUGGCUUCAAUAUUAUGAAUAUGUGUAUCACUACGAUCGAGAUCCAACAAACCAUUUUCGUUGGUGUGUAUGACCAUAGAAGGUUUUUAUUCAUGUAAACAGAACAACAAUUGUUCUCUAACUUAAAUGAAUAACCGUAUUACAAUAAACAUGAUCAAAUCAUAUUCAUGCUCAACGCAAACACCAAAUAACACUUAUUUAGUUUCAACACUAAUCCCAAAAGUAUAGGGAGUGUGCGAUGAUGAUCAUAUCAAUCUUGGAACUACUUCCAACACACAUCGUCACCUCGCCUUUUACUAGUCUUUGUUUAUUCUGCAACUCCCGUUUUCGAGUUACUACUCUUUAGCAACUGAACCAGUAUCAAAUACUGAGGGGUUGCUAUAAACACUAGUAAGUACACAUCAAUAACAUGUAUAUCCAAUAUACCUUUGUUCACUUUGCCAUCCUUCUUAUCCACCAAAUACUUGGGGCAGUUCCGCCUUCAGUGACCAGUCCCUUUGCAGUAGAAGCACUUAGUCUCAGGCUUAGGUACAGACAUGGGCUUCUUCACUUGAGUAGCAACUUGCUUGCCGUUCUUUUUGAAGUUCCCCUUCUUCCCUUUGCCCUUUUCUUGAAACUAGUGGUCUCGUCAACCAUCAACACUUGAUGUUUUUCUUGAUUUCUACCUUCGUCGAUUUCAGCAUCACGAAGAGCUUGGGAAUUACUUUCGUCAUCCCUUGCAUACUAUAGUUCAUCACGAAGUUCUACUAACUUGGUGAUGGUGACUAGAGAAUUCUGUCAAUCACUAUUUUAUUUGGAAGAUAAACUCCCACUUGAUUCAAGCGAUUGUAGUACCCAGACAAUAUGAGCACAUGCUCACUAGUUGAGCGAUUCUCCUCCAUCUUUUAGCUAUAGAACUUGUUGGAGACUUCAUAUCUCUCAACUCGGGUAUUUGCUUGAAAUAUUAACUUCAACUCUUGGAACAUCUCAUAUGGUCCAUGACGUUCAAAACGUCUUUGAAGUCCCGAUUCUAAGCCGUUAAGCAUGGUGCACUAAACUAUCAAGUAGUCAUCAUAUUGAGCUAGCCAAACGUUCAUAACGUCUGCAUCUGCUCCUGCAAUAGGUCUGUCACCUAGCGGUGCAUUAAGGACACAAUUCUUCUGUGCAGCAAUGAGGAUAAUCCUCAGAUCACGGAUCCAAUCCGCAUCUUUGCUACUAACAUUUUUCAACAUAAUUUUUCUCUAGGAACAUAUCAAAAAUAAACAUAGGGAAGCAACAACGCGAGCUAUUGAUCUACAACAUAAUUUGCAAAAUACUAUCAGGACUAAGUUCAUGAUAAAUUUAAGUUCAAUUAAUCAUAUUACUUAAGAACUCCCACUUAGAUAGACAUCCCUCUAAUCAUCUAAGUGAUUACGUGAUCCAAAGCAACUAAACCAUGUCCGAUUAACACGUGAGAUGGAGUAGUUUCAAUGGUGAACAUCACUAUGUUGAUCAUAUCUACUAUAUGAUUCACGCUCGACCUUUCGGUCUCUGUGUUCCGAGGCCAUAUCUGUAUAUAUGCUAGGCUCGUCAAGUUUAACCUGAGUAUUCCGCGUGUGCAACUGUUUUGACCCGUUGUAUUUGAACGUAGAGCCUAUCACACCCGAUUAACACGUGGUGUCUCAGCACGAAGAACUUUCGCAACGGUGCAUACUCAGGGAGAACACUUUUGUCUUGAAAUUUUAGUGAGAGAUCAUCUUAUAAUGCUACCGUCAAUCAAAGCAAGAUAAGAUGCAUAAAGGAUUAACAUCACAUGCAAUCAAUAUAAGUGAUAUGAUAUGGCCAUCAUCAUCUUGUGCUUGUGAUCUCCAUCUCCGAAGCACCGUCAUGAUCACCAUCGUCACCGGCUCGACACCUUGAUCUCCAUCGUAGUAUCGUUGUCGUCUCGCCAACUUAUUGCUUUUACGACUAUCGCUACCGCUUAGUGAUAAAGUAAAACUAUUACAUGGCGAUUGCAUCUCAUACAAUAAAGCGACAACCAUAUGGCUCCUGCCAGUUGCCGAUAACUCGGUUACAAAACAUGAUCAUCUCAUACAACACAUUAUAUCACAUCAUGUCUUGACCAUAUCACAUCACAACAUACCCUGCAAAAACAAGUUAGACGUCCUCUACUUUGUUGUUGCAUGUAGUGGCUGCUACGGGCUUAGCAAGAACCGUUCUUACCUACGCAUCAAAACCACAACGAUAGUUUGUCAAGUUGGUGCUGUUUUAACCUUCGCAAGGAUCGGGCAUAGCCACACUCGGUUCAACUAAAGUGAGAGAGACAGACACCGGCCGGCCACCUUUAAGCAACGAGUGCUCGCAACGGUGAAACCAGUCUCGCGUAAGCGUACGCGUAAUGUCGGUCCGGGCCGCUUCAUCUCACAAUACCGCUGAACCAAAGUAUGACAUGCUGGUAAGCAGUAUGACUUAUAUCGCCCACAACUCACUUGUGUUCUACUCGUGCAUAGUAUCAACGCAUAAAACCAGGCUCGGAUACCACUGUUGGGGAACGUAGUAAUUCCAAAAAAUUUCCUACGCACACGCAAGAUCAUGGUGAUGCAUAGCAACGAGAGGGGAGAGUGUUGUCCACGCACCCUCGUAGACCGACACCGGAAGCGUUAUCACAACGCGGUUGAUGUAGUCGUACGUCUUCACGAUCCGACCGAUCAAGUACCGAACGCACGGCACCUCCGAGUUCUACACACGUUCAGCUCGAUGACGUCCCUUGAACUCCGAUCCAGUCGAGUGUUGAGGGAGAGUUUCGUCAGCACGACGGCGUGGUGACGAUGAUGAUGUUCCAUCGACGCAGGGCUUCGCCUAAGCUCCGCAACGGUAUUAUCGAGGUGUAAUAUGGUGGAGGGGGGCACCGCACACGGCUAAGAGAUCUCAAGGAUCAAUUGUUGUGUCUCUGGGGUGCCCCCCUACCCCCGUAUAUAAAGGAGCAAGGGGAGGCAGCCGGCCAAGGGGAGAGGCGCGCCAUAGGGGGGAGUCCUACUCCCACCGGGAGUAGGACUCCUCCUUUCCUUGUGGGAGUAGGAGAAGGGAAUGGGGAAGGAGAAAGAAGGAAGGGUGCGCCCCCCUUCCCUAGUCCAAUUCGGACCAGACCAUGGGGAGGGGUGCGGCCACCUUUUGAGGCCUUUCUCUCCUUUCCCGUAUGGCCAAUUAAGGCCCAAUACGAAUUCCCGUAACUCUCCGGUACUCCGAAAAAUACCCGAAUCACUCGGAACCUUUCCGAAGUCCGAAUAUAGUCGUCCAAUAUAUCGAUUUUUACGUCUCGACCAUUUCGAGACUCCUCUUCAUAUCCCCGAUCUCAUCCGGGACUCCGAACUCCUUCGGUACAUCAAAACUCAAUAAAACUAUCAUCGUAACGUUAAGCGUGCGGACCCUUCGGGUUCGAGAACUAUGUAGACAUGACCGAGACACCUCUCCGGUCAAUAACCAAUAGCGGGACCUGGAUGCCCAUAUUGGCUCCCACAUAUUCUACAAAGAUCUUUAUCGGUCAGACCGCAUAACAACAUACGUUGUUCCCUUUCUCAUCGGUAUGUUACUUGCCCAAGAUUCGAUCGUCGGUAUCUCGAUACCUAGUUCAAUCUCGUUACCGGCAAGUCUCUUUACUCGUUCCGUAAUACAUCAUCCCACAACUAACUCAUUAGUCACAAUGCUUGCAAGGCUUAUAGUGAUGUGCAUUACCGAGUGGGCCCAGAGAUACCUCUCCGACAAUCGGAGUGACAAAUCCUAAUCUCGAAAUACGCCAACCCAACAAGUACCUUUGGAGACACCUGUAGAGCACCUUUAUAAUCACCCAUUUACGUUGUGACGUUUGGUAGCACACAAAGUGUUCCUCCGGUAAACGGGAGUUGCAUAAUCUCAUAGUCAUAGGAACAUGUAUAAGUCAUGAAGAAAGCAAUAGCAACAUACUAAACGAUCGGGUGCUAAGCUAACGGAAUGGGUCAAGUCAAUCAUGUCAUUCUCCUAAUGAGGUGAUCCCGUUAAUCAAAUGACAACUCAUGUCUAUGGCUAGGAAACAUAACCAUCUUUGAUUAAUGAGCUAGUCAAGUAGAGGCAUACUAGUGACACUCUGUUUGUCUAUGUAUUCACACAUGUAUUAUGUUUCUGGUUAAUACAAUUCUAGCAUGAAUAGUAAACAUUUAUCAUGAUAUAAGGAAAUAUAUAAUACUUUAUUAUUGCCUCUAGGGCAUAUUUCCUUCAUAUAAAAUAGCAUAUAAAUGCAUAUAAAACAUCCAAGGUUGAUAAUAUAAUAGCAUGAAUACUUCAUAAAUUAUAGAUACGUUGGAGACGUAUCAGUCUCCAACGUAUUUAUAAUUUUUGAUUGUUCCAUGAUAUUAUAUUAUCUAUUUUGGGUGUUUAAUGGGAUUUAAUAUGCUCUUUUAUAUUAUUUUUGGGACUAACCUAUUAACCGAAGGCCCAGUGCAAAUUGAUGUUUUUUGCCUAUUUCAGUGUUUCGCAGAAAAGGAAUAUCAAACGGAAUCCAAACGGAACAAAACCUUCGCGAGGAUCUUUCUUGGAACAAACGCAAUCCAGGAGACUUGGAGUGGAAGUCAGAGAUGCAACGAGGCGGCCACGAGGCAGGAGGGCGCGCCCAGGGGGUAGGCGCGCCCCCCACCCUCGUGGCCCCCUCAUAGAUCCACUGACCUACUUAUUUCGCCUUAAUAUACUCUUAUACCCUGAAAACAUCCAAGGGAGCCACGAAACCACUUUUCCACCGCCGCAACCUUCUGUGCCCAUGAGAUCCCAUCUUGGGGCCUUUUCCGGCGAUCUGCCGGAGGGGGAUUCGAUCACAGAGGGCUUUUACAUCAACACCAUAGCCUCUCCGAUGAUGUGUGAGUAGUUUACCACAGACCUUCGGGUCCAUAGUUAUUAGCUAGAUGGCUUCUUCUUUCUCUUUGGAUCUCAAUACAAAGUUCUCCUCGAUGUUCUUGGAGAUCUAUUCGAUGUAAUAUUCUUUUGCGGUGUGUUUGCCGAGAUCUGAUGAAUUGUGGGUUUAUGAACUUGAUUAUCUGUGAAUAUUAUUUGGUUCUUCUCUGAAUUCUUAUAUGCAUGAUUUGAUAUCUUUGCAAGUCUCUUCGAAUUAUCGGUUCAGUUUGGCCUACUAGAUUGAUCUUUCUUGCAAUGGAGAAGUGUUUAGCUUUCGAUUCAAUCUUGCGGUGCUCCAUCCCAGUGACAGAAAGGGAACUUCUACCUCUUGAGCAUGCGUUGGUUUCCCAUGAAGAGGAAAGGGUGAUGCAGCAAAGUAGCGUAAGUAUUUCCCUCAGUUUUUGAGAACCAAGGUAUCAAUCCAGUAGGAGACUACACGCAAGUCACGUAGUACCUGCACAAACAAUCAAGAACCUUGCAACCAACGCGAUAAAGGGGUUGUCAAUCCCUUCAUGGCCACUUGCAAAAGUGAGAUCUCAUAAAGAUAAUAAGAUCAAUAUUUGUGGUAUUUUUAUUGUAUAGAUUGGAAAAGUAAAGAUUGCAAAUAAAUAGUAAACUAGAAUUGUAGAUUGGAAACUUAUAUGAUCUAAAGUAGACCCGGGGGCCAUAGGUUUCACUAGUGGCUUCUCUCAAGAUAGCAUAUGUAUUACGGUGGGUGAACAAAUUACUGCCGAGCAAUUGAUAGAAAAGCACACAGUUAUGAGAAUAUAUAGGCAUGAUCAUGAACAUAGGCAUCACGUCCGUGACAAGUAGAGCAACACAAUUCUGCAUCUACUACUAUUACUCCACACAUCGACCGCUAUCCAGUAUGCAUCUAGAGUAUUAAGUUCAUAAGAAUAGAGUAACGCAUUAGGCAAGAUGACAUGAUGUAGAGGGAUAAACUCAAGCAAUAUGAUAUAAACCCCAUCUUUUUAUCCUCGAUGGCAACAAUACAAUACGUGUCGUUUCCCUUUUUGUCGCUGGGAUCGAGCACCGCAAGAUUGAACCCAAAGCUAAACACUUCUCCCAUUCCAAGAAAGAUCAAUCUAGUAGGCCAAACUAAACCUAUAAUUCGAAGAGACUUGCAAAGGUAUUUAAAUCAUGCAUAAAAGAAUUAAGAGAAGAAUCAAAUAUUGUUCAUAGAUAAUCUUGAUCAUAAACUCACAAUUCAUCGGAUCUCGGCAAACACACCGCAAAAAGUAUUACAUCGAAUAGAUCUCCAAGAAGAUCGAGGAGAACUUUGUAUUGAGAUCCAAAGAGAGAGAAGAAGCCAUCUAGCUAAUAACUAUGGACCCGAAGGUCUGUGGUAAACUACUCACACAUCAUCGGAGAGGCUAUGGUGUUGAUGUAGAAGCCCUCCGUGAUCGAAUCCCCCUCUGGCGGAGCGCCGGAAAAGGCCCCAAGAUGGGAUCUCGCGGGUACACAAGGUUGCAGUGAUGGAAAAGUGGUUUCGUUGCUCCCCCCGAUGGUUUCAGGGUAUAAGAGUAUAUAUAGGCGAAAGAAGUAGGUCGGUGGAGCUACGAGGGGCCCACGAGGGUGGGGGCGCGCCACCCCCCUGGGGCGCGCCCUCCUGCCUCGUGGCCGCCUCGUGGCUUCCUUGAACUCCACUCCAAGUCUCCUGGAUUGCAUUUGUUCCAAAAAAAUCCUCCCGAAGGUUUCAUUCCGUUUGGGUUCCUUUUGAUAUUCCUUUUCUGCGAAACACUGAAAUAGGCAAAAAAAACAGCAAAUUGCCCUGGGCCUUCGGUUAAUAGGUUAGUCCCAAAAAUAAUAUAAAAAGGUAUAUUAAAUCCCAUUAAACAUCCAAAACAGAUAAUAUAAUAGCAUGGAACAAUCAAAAAUUAUAGAUACAUUGGAGAUGUAUCAAGCAUCCCCAAGCUUAAUUCCUGCUCGUCCUCGAGUAGGUAAAUGAUAAAAACAGAAUUUUUUAUGUGGAAUGCUACCUAACAUAAUUUUUCAAUUUAAUUCUCUUUAUUGUGGCAUGAAUGUUUAGAUCCGAAAGUUUUUAGACAAAGUUUUAAUAUUAACAUAAAAAUAGUAAUACUUCAAGCAUGCUAACCAAGCAAUUAUGUCUUAUCAAUAUAACAUAGCCAAAGAAAGCUUAUCCCUACAAAAUCAUAUAGUUUGGCCAUGCUUCAUUUUCGUCACACAAAAUGCUCCCAUCAUGCACAACCCCGAUGACAAGCCGAGCAAUUGGUUGAUACUUUUAACGCGCUUCAGCCUUUUCAAACCUUACGCAAUACAUGAGUGUAAGCCAUGGAUAUAGCACUAUAGGUGGAAUAGUAUAUGAUGAUGGGGGUUAUGUGAGAAGACAAAAAGGGAGAAAGUCUCACAUUGACGCGGCUAAUCAACGGGCUAUGGAGAUGCCCAUCAAUUGAUGUCAAUGCAAGGAGUAGGGAUUGCCAUGCAACGGAUGCACUAGAGCUAUAAAUAUAUGAAAGCUCAUCAAAAGAAACUAAGUGGGUGUGCAUCCAACUUGCUUGCUCACGAAGACCUAGGGCAUUUUGAGGAAGCCCAUCAUUGGAAUAUACAGGCCAAGUUCUGUAAUGAAAAAUUCCCACUAGUAUAUGAAAGUGACAAAAUAAGAAACUCUCUAUCAUGAAGAUCAUGGUGCUAUUUUGAAGCACAAGUGUGAAAAAAGGAUAGUAAAAUUGUCCCUUCUCUCUUUUUUUGUUUGGGCUUCUUUGGCCUCUUUUUUAUUUGGGCUUCUUUGGCCUCUUCUUUUUUUCGUCCGGAGUAUCAUCCCGACUUGUGGGGAAUCAUAGUCUCCAUCAUCCUUUCCUCACAUGGGACAAUGCUCUAAUAAUGAUGAUCAUCACACUUUUAUUUAUUCAUAACUCAAGAAUUACAACUCAAUACUAGAACAAAAAUAUGACUCUAUGUGAAUGCCUCCGGUGGUGUACCGAGAUAUGCGAUGAAUCAAGAGCGACAUGUAUGAAAGAAUUAUGAAGCUGGCUUUGCCACAAAUACGAUGUCAACUACAUGAUCAUGCAAAGCAAUAUGACAAUGAUGGAGCGUGUCAUAAUAAACGGAGCGGUGGAAAGUUGCAUGGCAAUAUAUCUCAGAAUGGCUAUGGAAAUGCCAUAAUAGGUGGGUAUGGUGGCUGUUUUGAGGAAGAUAUAAGGAGGCUUAUGUGUGAUAGAGCGUAUCGUAUCAUGGGGUUUGGAUGCACCGGCGAAGUUUGCACCAACUCUCGAGGUGAGAAAGGGCAAUGCACGGUAUCGUAGAGGCUAGCAAAUUGCGGAAAGGUAAGAGUGCGUAUAAUCCAUGGACUCACAUUAGUCAUAAAGAACUCAUAUACCUAUUGCAAAAGUUGAUUAGCCCUCGAAGCAAAGUACUACUAUGCAUGCCCCUAGAGGGAUAGAUUCGUAAGAAAAGACCAUCGCUCAUCCCCGACCGCCACUCAUAAGGAAAGCAAUCAAAGAACACCUCAUGCUUCAAAUUUGUCACACAACGUUUACCAUACGUGCAUGCUACGGGACAUGCAAUCCUUAACACAAGUAUUCCUCAAUUACACAAUUACCCAACUAGCAUGACUCUAACAUUACCACCUUUAUAUCUCCAAACAACUAUCAAGUAUCAUAGUAUUCAAUGCACUCUAUAUGAAAGUUUUUAUUAUACCCAUCUUGGAUGCCUAUCAUAUUAGGACUAAUUUUAUAGCCAAAGAAAAUUACCAUGCUGUUCUAAAAGACUCUCAAAAUAAUAUAAGUGAAGCAUGAGAGAUCAAUAGUUUCUAUAAAAUAAAACCACCACCGUGCUCUAAAAGAUAUAAGUGAAGCACUAGAGCAAAAUUAUCUAGCUCAAAAGAUAUACGUGAAGCACAUAGAGUAUUCUAAUAAUUUCCGAUUCAUGUAUGUCUCUCCCAAAAGGUGUGAACAGCAAGGAUGAUUGUGGUAAACUAAAAAGCAAAGAAUCAAAUCAUACAAGACGCUCCAAGCAAAACACAUAUCAUGUGGUGAAUAAAAAUAUAGCCUCAAGUAAAGUUACCGAUAGACGAAGACGAAAGAGGGGAUGCCUUCCGGGGCAUCCCCAAGCUUAGGCUUUUGGUUGUCCUUGAACUUUACCUUGGGGUGCCUUGGGCAUCCCCAAGCUUAGGCUCUUGCCACUCCUUAUUCCAUAAUCCAUCAAAUCUUUACCCAAAACUUGAAAACUUCACAACACAAAACUCAACAGAAAAUCUCAUGAGCUCCGUUAGUAUAAGAAAACAAAUCACCACCAUAAGGUACUGUAAUGAACUCAUUCUUUAUUUAGAUUGGUGUUAAACCUACUGUAUUCCAACUUCUCUAUGGUUCAUACCCCCCGAUACUAGCCAUAGAUUCAUCAAAAUAAGCAAACAACACACGAAAAACAGAAUCUGUCAAAAACAGAAUAGUCUGUAGUAAUCUAUAUCAAACGUAUACUUCUGUAACUCCAAAAAUUAUGAAAUAAAUCGGUGGACGUGAGGAAUUUGUUUGUCAAUAAUCUGCGAAAAUAAUCAACCUAAUAUCACUCUCCAGUAAAACAUGCAGCUAAUCUCGUGAGCGCUAAAGUUUCUGUUUUUUACAGCAAGAUCGCAAAGACUUCACCCAAGUCUUCCCAAAGGUUCUACUUGGCACAAACACUAAUUAAAACAUAAAAACACAUCUAAAAAGAAGCUAGAAUAAUUAUUUAUUACUAAACAGAAACAAAAAAUCAAGGGACAAAAAUAAAAUUGGGUUGCCUCCAAACAAGCGCUAUCGUUUAACGCCCCUAGCUAGGCAUAAAAACAAGAAUAGAUCUAGGUAUUGUCAUCUUUGGUAUGCAAUCCAUAAGUGGCCCUCAUAAUAGAUUCAUAAGGUAAUUUAAUUUUCUUCCUAGGAAAGUGUUCCAUGCCUUUCCUUAAUGGAAAUUGGAAUCUAAUAUUUUCUUCUUUCAUAUCAAUAAUUGCACCAAUCGUUCUAAGGAAAGGUCUACCAAGAAUAAUAGGACACGUAUGAUUGCAAUCUAUAUCAAGAACAAUGAAAUCUAUGGGCACAUAAUUCCUAUUUGCAACAAUAAGAACAUCAUUAAUCCUUCCCAUAGGUUUCUUAAUGGUGGAAUCCGCAAGAUGCAAAUUUAGAGAACAAUCAUCAAAUUCAUGGAAACCUAGCACAUCACACAAAGUUUUUGGAAUCAUGGAAACACUAGCACCCAAAUCACAUAAAGCAUAACAUUCAUGAUUUUUAAUCUUAAUUUUAAUAGUAGGUUCCCACUCAUCAUAAAGUUUUCUAGGGAUAGAAACUUCUAAUUCAAGCUUUUCUUCAUAGGAUUGCAUUAAAGCAUCAACGAUAUGUUUGGCAAAAGCUUUAUUUUGACUAUAAGCAUGAGGAGAAUUUAACACGGAUUGCAACAAGGUAAUACAAUCUAUCAUACAACAAUUAUCAUAAUUAAAUUCCUUGAAAUCCAAGAUAGUGGGUUCAUUGCUAUGUAAAGUUUUGACUUCUUCAAUCCCACUUUGACCAAUUUUUGCAUCAAGAUCUAAAAACUCCGAAUCAUUGGGACGCCUUUUAACUAAAGUUGACUCGUCACCAGUCCCAUCUUUAUCAAGAUUCAUAUUGGAAAACAAAUAUUUAAUAGGAGACACAUCAAUCACUUUUAGAUCUUCAUUAUUAUUAUCAUGGCAACUAGAAGAACACGCUUUCACAAAGCAAUCUUUUUUAGCACGCAUCCUAGCGGUUCUUUCUUUGCACUCAUCAAUGGAAAUUCUCAUGGAUUUGAGAGACUCAUUGAUAUCAUGCUUAGGUGGAAUAGAUCUAAGUUUCAAAGAAUCAACAUCAAGAGAAAUUCUAUCCACGUUCCUAGCCAACUCAUCGAUCUUAGGCAAUUUUUCUUCAAGCAAAGCAUUGAAAUUCUUUUGCAAAUUCAUAAAUUCUUUAACUACUCUCAAAAUCAGAGGCCAUCUUAUUAAAAUUUCCAUAAGAGUUGUUGUAGGAAUUACCAUAAUUAUUAGAGGGAUUACUAGGGAACGUCCUAGAAUUAAAGUUUCCUCUAGAUGCGUUGUUACCAAAAUUGCUCCUACCAACAAAAUUCACAUCCAUAGAUUCAUUAUUAUUCUCAAUCAAAGUGGACAAAGGCAUAUCAUUAGGAUCAGAAGAAACACUCUUAUUAGCAAACAAGUUCAUAAGUUCAUCCAUCUUUCCACUCAAAACAUUAAUCUCUUCUAUCGCAUGAACAUUUUUACUAGUAGAUCUUUCGGUGUGCCAUUGAGAAUAAUUAACCAUAAUAUUAUCUAGAAGUUUAGUAGCUUCUCCUAAAGUGUUUUCCAUAAAAGUGCCUCCCGCGGCUGAAUCUAAAAGGUUUCUAGAAGCAAAAUUCAAUCCAGCAUAAAAAAAUUGUAUAAUCAUCCAUAAAUUCAAACCAUGUGUAGGACAAUUACGUACCAUUAAUUUCAUCCUCUCCCAAGCUUGUGAAACAUGCUCAUGAUCUAGUUGCUUAAAAUUCAUAAUAUCAUUUCUAAGAGAGAUGGUCUUAGCGCGAGGAAAAUAUUUAGAGAUAAAAGCAUCUUUGCACUUAUUCCAAGAAUCAAUACUAUUUUUAGGGAAAGAAGAUAACCAAGUUUUAGCACAAUCUCUAAGCGAAAACGGAAAUAGCUUCAAUUUAGCAAUAUCAUUAUCCACAUCUUUCUUCUUUUGCAUAUCACACAAAUCAACAAAGUUGUUUAGAUGGGUAGCGGCAUCUUCACUAGGAAGGCCAGAAAAUUGAUCUUUCAUGACAAGAUUCAACAAAGCAGCAUUAAUUUCACAAGAUUCAGCAUCGGUAAUAGGAGCAAUCGGAGUGCUAAUAAAAUCAUUAUUGUUGGUAUUGGAAAAGUCACACAAUUUAGUAUUAAAGUCUUGAGCCAUUGUGACAAACAAUCAAUCCAACACACAAGCAAACAAGAAGCAAGCGGAAGCAAGCGAACGAAAAAGGGGGAAUAAAACGGCAAAGGUGAAGUGGGGGAGAGGAAAACGAGAGGCAAAUGGCAAAUAAUGUAAUGCGAGGGAUAAGAGUUUGCGAUGGGUACUUGGUGUGUCUUGACUUGGCGUAGAUCUCCCCGGCAACGGCGCCACAAAUCCUUCUUGCUACCUUUUGAGCAUGCGUUGGUUUUCCCUUGAAGAGGAAAGGGUGAUGCAGCAAAGUAGCGUGAGUAUUUCCCUCAGUUUUUGAGAACCAAGGUAUCAAUCCAGUAGGAGACUACACGCAAGUCGCCUAGUACCUGCACAAACAAUCAAGAACCUUGCAACCAACGCGAUAAAGGGGUUGUCAAUCCCUUCAUGGCCACUUGCAAAAGUGAGAUCUCAUAAAGAUAAUAAGAUCAAUAUUUGUGGUAUUUUUAUUGUAUAGAUUGGAAAAGUAAAGAUUGCAAAUAAAUAGUAAACUAGAAUUGUAGAUUGGAAACUUAUAUGAUCUAAAGUAGACCCGGGGGCCAUAGGUUUCACUAGUGGCUUCUCUCAAGAUAGCAUAUGUAUUACGGUGGGUGAACAAAUUACUGCCGAGCAAUUGAUAGAAAAGCGCAUAGUUAUGAGAAUAUCUAGGCAUGAUCAUGAACAUAGGCAUCAUGUCCGUGACAAGUAGACCGAAACGAUUCUGCAUCUACUACUAUUACUCCACACAUCGACCGCUAUCCAGCAUGCAUCUAGAGUAUUAAGUUCAUAAGAACGGAGUAACGCAUUAGGCAAGAUGACAUGAUGUAGAGGGAUAAACUCAAGCAAUAUGAUAUAAACCCCAUCUUUUUAUCCCCAAUGGCAACAAUACAAUACGUGUCGUUUCCCUUUCUGUCACUGGGAUCGAGCACCGCAAGAUUGAACCCAAUGCUAAGCACUUCUCCCAUUGCAAGAAAGAUCAAUCUAGUAGGCCAAACUAAACCGAUAAUUUAGGGACUUGCAAAGAUAAUUAAAUCAUGCAUAAAAGAAUUCAUAAAAGAAUCAAAUAUUGUUCAUAGAUAAUCUUGAUCAUAAACCCAUGAUGUCUACUACGCAACCUUCUUCUUGUAGACGUUGGGCCUCCAAGUGCAGAGGUUUGUAGGACAGUAGCAAAUUUCCCUCAAGUGGAUGACCUAAGGUUUAUCAAUCUGUGGGAGGCGUAGGAUGAAGAUGGUCUCUCUCAAACAACCAUGCAACCAAAUAACAAAGAGUCUCUUGUGUCUCCAACACACCCAAUACAAUGGUAAAUUGUAUAGGUGCACUAGUUCGGCGAAGAGAUGGUGAUACAAGUGCAAUAUGACUGGUAGAUAUAGGUUUUUGUAAUCUGAAAAUAUAAAAACAGCAAGGUAACUAAUGAUAAAAGUGAGCGAAAACGGUAUUGCAAUGCUAGGAAACAAGGCCUAUGCUUCAUACUUUCACUAGUGCAAGUUCUAUCAACAAUAAUAACAUAAUUGGAUCAUAUAACAAUCCCUCAACAUGCAACAAAGAGUCACUCCAAAGUCACUAAUAGCGGAGAACAAACGAAGAGAUUAUGGUAGGGUACAAAACCACCUCAAAGUUAUUCUUUCGGAUCGAUCUAUUCAAGAGUUCGUACUAGAAUAACACCUUAAGAUAAAAAUCAACCAAAACCCUAAUGUCACCUAGAUACACCAAUGUCACCUCAAGUAUCCGUGGGUAUGAUUAUACGAUAUGCAUCACACAAUAUCAGAUUCAUCUAUUCAACCAACACAUAGAACUUCAAAGAGUGCCCCAAAGUUUCUACCGGAGAGUCAAGACGAAAACGUGUGCCAACCCCUAUGCAUAAGUUCACGAGCGGAACCCGCAAGUUGAUCACCAAAACAUACAUCAAGUGGAUCACGUGAAUAUCCCAUUGUCACCAUAGAUAAGCACAUGCAAGACAUACAUCAAGUGUUCUCAAAUCCUCAAAGACUCAAUCCGAUAAGAUAACUUCAAAGGGAAAACUCAAUCCAUUACAAGAGAGUAGAGGGGGAGAAACAUCAUAAGAUCCAACUAUAAUAGCAAAGCUCGCGGUACAUCAAGAUCGUACCAUCUCAAGAACACGAGAGACAGAGAUCAAACACAUAGCUACUGGUACAUACCCUCAGCCCCGAGGGUGAACUACUCCCUCCUCGUCAUGGAGAGCGCCGGGAUGAUGGAGAUGGCCACCGGCGAGGGUUCCCCCCUCCGGCAGGGUGCCGGAACAGGGUUCUGAUUGGUUUUUGGUGGCUACAGAGGCUUGCAGCGGCGGAACUCCCGAUCUAUUCUGCUCUCCGAUGUUUUUAGGGUAUAUGGACAUAUAUAUAGGGGAAAGAAGUCGGUCACGGGAGCCACGAGGGGCCCUCGAGGGUGGGGGCGCGCCCAGGGGGUAGGGCGCGCCUCCCUGCCUCGUGGCUUCCUCGAAGCUUCCCUGACGUCUACUCCAAGUCUCCUGGUGUAACGCCCGGAUAAUUAUGCUACAGUAAUCUCAUGCUAAUGGUGCCACGUCACCACUGUUACGGUUGCUAAUCUUCGCUUGGCCCAAAUCGUAACUCAAAAUCAAAACUGAGUUUAAAGUCAGGAUUCAAAUUUAUCAAACAUGCAAACAAAAAUGUUCAAGUUGUUGCAAAUAAUCAUUUGGUAAUAUUAGUGGAGAAAUCAUCUUUUUACAAAAUGGCUACAUGCUCUAAAAAUAAAUAAAACAGAAAAGUUUUUGAAAGAAAAGAAACCAAAAAAAAGGGGAAAAGAAGCCCCCUAAUGGGCCACGGCCAACCUGGCCACCAGUCAGGCCGGCCCACUCCCUGCACCCCUCCCUGGCUUAUAUGGCUCGGCUCCCCCGACCAAACCCUAACUGCUACCCCCACUCCCACCUCGUUCCCCCAUGAUCCCCACUGCCCCCCACGAUCCACAUCUGGAUCGCGCCCCUGGCGCCUCCCCCCGCCGCCAGGCGCCUCCACGCCCGACCUCCCUUCCCCUCGCUCUCCCUUAGCACCGCCGCCCUCCACGACGCNNNNNNNNNNNNNNNNNNNNNNNNNNNNNNNNNNNNNNNNNNNNNNNNNNNNNNNNNNNNNNNNNNNNNNNNNNNNNNNNNNNNNNNNNNNNNNNNNNNNNNNNNNNNNNNNNNNNNNNNNNNNNNNNNNNNNNNNNNNNNNNNNNNNNNNNNNNNNNNNNNNNNNNNNNNNNNNNNNNNNNNNNNNNNNNNNNNNNNNNNNNNNNNNNNNNNNNNNNNNNNNNNNNNNNNNNNNNNNNNNNNNNNNNNNNNNNNNNNNNNNNNNNNNNNNNNNNNNNNNNNNNNNNNNNNNNNNNNNNNNNNNNNNNNNNNNNNNNNNNNNNNNNNNNNNNNNNNNNNNNNNNNNNNNNNNNNNNNNNNNNNNNNNNNNNNNNNNNNNNNNNCGCCGUCGCCCCGUGACUACGGCCCUCCCGAGCACGCGUUUGCACCACUACAGGGCUGGUGAGCCCCUCCGUCGAUCCCCCUCCUCCUUCGCGUGGAUCUGUCGCCGUGGCCGAGCUCACUAGAGCUCGUGCUCACCGCAUCCGCCCACGCCCAUGGGCGCGCUCCCGCACGCUCGCAGCCUUGCCCCGCUCAUCGCCCGCUGCCUUCCCCAGUUGUUGGCCCUUGCCGCGCCACGCGCUUGCCCGCGCUGUGGUGCCCGUGGCCGGCCGGUGCGCCUCGCCGUGGGCGCGGCCCCGCGCCCAACACCACCCCCGCCUACUGGCCGCACCCUGAUCCAGCACCCACACCUGCUAUGGCCUGUGUGCCACUGCACGUGGGACCAGCCCCAAAACGUUAAGAAAAUUAAACGAAUUAAAAAUUUUUAAAAAAUAACAGAAUAAAAAAAUAGUUAAAUUAAUUAACCAAUUAAUCAUGUUAAUUAACCUGUUAGCUACUUAGUUAGUUUGAGCUAAUCCUAGUAGUUUUGUCAUAUUUGACUAGUCAACACUCAACCCAGUUGACUGCUGACUAGGACUGUUGACUAUGGUCAACUGGUCCCAGUGGACCCACCUGUAAGCCACAUGUACAUAGUGCUGGGUACACUUCUGUGUACCCAUAGCUUUAUCUAAUUAAUUUCGAAAUAUUUAAUAAUUUCAGAAAUUGUUUAAAACUUUGGAAAAUCAUAGAAAAAUAUCCGUAGCUCGGAUGAAAAAGUUUUCUACAUGAAAGUUGCUCAGAACGACGAGACAAAUCCGGAUACGCAGCCCGUUCGUCCGCCACACAUCCCUAGCAUAGCAAACACGCAACUUUCCCCCUCUGGUUCAUCUGUCCAAAAACGCGAAACACCGGGAAUACUUUCCCGGAUUUUUUCCCCCUUCGCCCGUAUCACCUCCUACCGCAUUAGGGCACACUUGGCACCGCUACUUGUUAUGUCAUGCAUCGAUAUGCAUCUGUUUGCAUUGUAUUCAUUGUUUCUUCCCCCUCUUCUCUCCGGUAGUCUACGAGACUGACGCUGCUGCUGGUACCCCGAUCGACUACGGUGUUGACGACCCCUCCUUCUUGCCAGAGCAAUCAGGCAAGCCCCCACCCUUGAUCACCAGAUAUCGCCUAUUCUUCUCUAUACUGCUCGCAUCAGAAGAGUGUAGCAUGUUACUGCUUUCGGUUAAUCCUAUUCUGCUGCAUAGCCUAUCAUUGUGGCUACAGUUGUUACCCUUACCUGCUACCCUACUGCUUAGUAUAGGAUGCUAGUGUUCCAUCAAUGGCCCUACACUCUUGUCCGUCUGCCAUGCUAUACUAUCGAGCCAUGAUCACUAGGGAGGUGAUCACGGGUAUAUACUAUAUACAUUAUAUACAUGACACAUGUGGUGACUAAAGUCGGGUCGGCUCGUUGAGUACCCGCAAGUGAUUCUGAUGAUAGGGCUGAAAGGACAGGUGGCUCCAUCCCGGUAGAGGUGGGCCUGGGUUCCUGACGGCCCCCGACUGUUACUUUGUGGCGGAGCGACAGGGCAGGUUGAGACCACCUAGGAGAGAGGUGGGCCUGGCCCUGGUCGGCGUUCGCGGAUACUUAACACGCUUAACGAGAUGUUGGUAUUUGAUCUGAGUCUGGCCAUUUGGUCUAUACGCAGUAACCAACUACGCGGGAACAGUUAUGGGCACUCGGCGUCGUGGUAUCAGCCGAAAAUCUUUUUGACGUCAGCGACUGAGUGGCGCGCGCCGCAUUGGACUGUAAGCUCGCGCUUGUAUUAAGGGGGCUAGGUCUGCUUCCGGCCGCGUACGCAACGUGCAGGUGUGCAGUGGGCGAUGGGCCCAGACCCCUGCGCGCAUAGGAUUUAGACCGGCGUGCUGACCUCUCUGUUGAGCCUAGGUGGGGCUGCGACGUGUUGAUCUUCCGAGGCCGGGCAUGACCCAGAAAAGUGUGUCCGGCCAAAUGGGAUCGAGCGUGUUGGGUUAUGUGGUGCACCCUUGCAGGGAAGUUUAUCUAUUCGAAUAGCCGUGUCCCUCGGAGGUGCCUACUACUACGUGCAGCCCGCUGACGACGACCAGGAGUAGUUAGGAGGAUCCCAGGCAGGAGGCAUGCGCCUCUUUCGAUCUGUAUCCCCAUUUGUGCUGGCCUUCUUAAGGCAAACUUGUUUAACUUAUGUCUGUACUCAGAUAUUGUUGCUUCCGCUGACUCGUCUAUGAUCGAGCACUUGUAUUCGAGCCCUCGAGGCCCCUAGCUUGUAUUAUGAUGCUUGUAUGACUUAUUUAUGUUUUAGAGUUGUGUUGUGAUAUCUUCCCGUGAGUCCCUGAUCUUGAUCGUACACGUUUGCGUGCAUGAUUAGUGUACGAUUGAAUCGGGGGCGUCACAAGUUGGUAUCAGAGCCGACUGCCUGGAGGAAUCCCCCUUCCACACUCCUUGGCCGAAGUCGAGUCUAGACAUUGCAAAAAAAUUUGCUAACAUGGCUGUGUGUCUUACGGGCCCACGUCGCCAUUGGGUGGUAGUAGGAUCUUUUAUUCCUCGACCUUUACUCUGGGACUCUGAACUCUCUCCUAUUCGGGUUAAAUGAUUUUGCUAAAAAGACUAACUGUAGGUUCUCGUAAAUACUUUCUCCCGGAGAGCCCCUUAUUUCAGAUGAUCGUCUACUGCACUAGAAGAAUCCGAAGAUACUCUCUGAUGUUCUCUUGAGACUUUAUGGCGUCGCUUUUGCAAUUCCCUUCCAUCGAUAAACCCCUGUGGAUAACCACGUAUACUCACCAUUCAUACAAUGCUUCCCAGUUGAUCUUGUUAUUACAAGAUACCCCGAAAUUCUCUCUGUUGCUCCGAGAGUCCUUUGAGCUUACUGCCUUGCUGUUCUUUGCCACAUGAAUACCACUAUGGAUAAUUUGUAGCACUCACCGGAUAUUUGCUCAUCCCCAGUUGAUUCAUGUAUUUCACAAAAGUCUUCAAAAUACUAUUUGAACUUCCGAAAAUCCUGAGUAGCCUAUUGCUCUUGAAAUUCUUACUUGCUUGCAUUAUGGUUAAUCCCAUAAGUCUAUAAUCUUAUUGGCAUCUCUUUUCAUUAUCAUUUUGAGUCCGUUGAUUCAAUUUGUUGCGAAUGCUCGCAAUCCUCAAUCAGACGCUAGAAUUCAUCCUUCCGGCCCAGACGUCAUUUUAAACGUGAGCUGGUUCUCGCCAAUCAAAUUGUCGUCGAUUGUGCCCCUAAGUCUAUUGAACUUAUCCAUCCUUGAUCAGAGCGUCUGCUUCUGAUCCUUCGCUUUGUAAAUCAUAAUUCCUUUGCAAUUGAGCUCUAAGUUACUCAGUUGUUUCUAUAAUCCAAUGUCUUUGCAUUGAUUCUUCCUCUGGUUGUGAGCCGAUACUCUCAUCAGAUCCUUUAUGGACCAUCAGAACCUUGUUGGAUUUUAUCCGACAAUGUCCUUCAUAUUCAAUCACUUUGGAAGUUCUUUCCCUGAUACAUAAUGCCUUUGGUUAAUCCUAUUCCUUGAUUUGGCCAACCAUGCUCUGCUUUCGAGCUGGUGAUAUUUACUAUUGAAGCUUGUGGUAUAUGUUUCCACGAUGACCCGAUGGGUUGAACCUAUGCCUUCCAUAAUAUGUGUGCACUCGAAAGUUUUCAUGAGUCAUACUCUUCUGGUAUUUUACCAGAUAAUUUUCUACCAUACAACUUAAUCGAAUACGAGAAGUGAAUGAAAGGUUAUGCAUUGGAGAAGUGGGAGUCGACCUUGAACUUUGUGUUCAUGCCCAUGGACAUGAUGUAGAUCUUGUCAUGGAAGCUUCUCGUAACAAUAAUUAUCCGCUAGAUAUAAUUUCAUCUUAUAUCUGGGAUUUGGUCUUUUGCAAUCAUGGUUUCUGACCAUAUUGUUCUUCUUUGAUCCCAUUUCUCGGACAAGUUUAAGCACUUGUCUUCUGCAAAUCAUUGCACUUGUCCAACCUUUACUUUGAUCUACCGUCGAGUAUUUCACUCUGGUAUCUCAAGAAUAUCCUGGAACUGCAUAACUUCUUAUGAGUUCUUCAUCAAGUACUACAUUUUCACCGAUUCCAAUUUUUCACGGGCUCUGAGUUAUGAAACACUCAAAGACACCGAUAACUGAACCGAGUCCACACUAUGGUUCAACAACUCUUAGUAAUCUUCUUUACGUACGAGUUCGUACCCGAUCACGCCAUUCCUAGCCUAUUUGGCUAUAUCAUUGUCGUGAUGAUUUUAAGUGUGCUACCUGGUCCUUAUUCCCGGAACACAACUUUUCGAUGAUGAGCUAAGCUUACGUCGACCUUCCUCGUCUUAUCAUUUCGCCUUGGACAACAAGCUUGGUCUCGAGUUUGUGUCGUACCGUGGUUUCAAUAACCUUUCGCUUCAUCAUUCCUUUGACUUGAUGUCAUCGCCGAUCGAUUACACCUUCAUGAAAUCUCUCGACAAUUGCGUCAUGAUCAUCAUCAACAUUUUAAGCUCUUCCAGGAUAUCAAUCGGAUUCAUGAUGGGAAAUACCAUCCUUGCCCCUCAAUGAUUUGUGUAAUCAUCGACAACAUUCUUACCUUCCCCCAACACAAACUUGUUCAUGUUUUGUGUUGUACCUUGAUAUCCUUGCUAUCUAGCUUAGGUUAUGUUCUACCUUGUAGUAUUACUGUCUUCUAUAUCAAGAAUGUUGUGAGGAUUGCUCCACCUCUUAAGUAUUCUUGGUAUAGUGAUGCUUCUCACCAUCACCAUUCCCUUCUUGGUCCCCGUGUUGAGUGAACUCUGUGGUGCGAAUUUAUUAUCUCUGGCAACCCUAUUGCUUCAGAGUUAAUGGGCAAUUAUUCCAACUUAGUGUGUUGGUUGCUCAAUCGCCAUUCCGACGUUGGGCGUGCAACCCAACCCUUAUUUCGAAUGCACCUUUCAAACCAUGUUUAAUUGUGUAUGUUUUCCUCCAGCAUACAUCAUUCAGUCAUUUGAUCUGGCUAAUGUUAUCUCCUUGUUCACAUAGUUGUGGAAAUCCAUCCUUUUUGGAAAUGUCAAUGGAUUGUCGCUGAGUCAAUCAAUCACCUCCUCACCUCUCCUUGAUUUAAUGAUGAACUCUUGUUUCGGAACUCGCUUCCAUGGUUUAAUUCCCGAGAAUCAUACAAUGUCACCUCGACAAUUUGUGUUGCACCUUUCUUCUCAGGCAUCCUGAGUCUAAGGUAUCUUGACACCAAUCAGAUCUGAAUCUCGGUCAGAUAUGAUGGUUGGAACAUAUUUUCAAGAGUUAUAACAUUGGUCCCUAUAUGCCCCGGUAAGGUGAUGUCAUGCCUAGCACGCCUGACCAGAGGACCUAGUGUUAUAGUUUCCUUUUUAACAAGGUUAAUCAUUUUUCCAUGAGGAAAUUGAAUGCCUUGUUUAAUAAGUUUAUCCUGAUGGAUCCUUUGUGUAUCCAAAGUCUGAUUUUUGCUUGAAGACCAUAUCAAUGCUAUCCCGAAGCAUGUCUGUGGUACUCCGAUUUUCAAUAAGAGCAUUUCAAGCACAAUGCUAAAUUCUCUUUAUCAAUUAUCCAAACACCGAUGUAUGGGUAAUGUCAUGAACUUCCUCUCCCCUUACCUUAAAGGGUUUUCUACAUUAUAUCCUAUCAUGGAUAUCAUGCUCUGCUUGUCCUUGGGAAGGAUAUAUCCCUGAAACAUGUGUUUAAACACAUUUACCUUUCCAUUGUUCGGUUUAAUCUGAUGGUCACCUUUUCCUUUUCAUUGAUUUGUUUAACCUUUCUGGUGAUCUAUAUGAUCUAAGUAGUAAUUUUCUCCUGCUUAUGUAAACACCUUGGUGUACAACCGUGUUAGUAAGACCCUAUUGCAUUUGUUAAUGACAUUCCGGUAACCACCGAUGGACGAGAACCUUGCCUACUGGUCCGCCUCGUUCAAACGAGCAGGAAAAUGGUUCUCUCCGUCCCUCGCCCUUGGUACCGAUGUUGUUGCUGACAUAACCGACAGACUAUCCUCUGACAUGCCUUGCUUACAUGAUCGUGCAAGAUGUCACCGACCUUCCUACUUUUAACCACAUGGUGGGCCCAUAAACCACAGAUCCACAUGAUCGAAACAUGACUCUCAUGUACACCUUGUUGGCAAAGUUAUCCCUUACUCUUGGUUUCGUGUGUAAUUCAUGAGCCACCUUCCUAGUGAUCUGUUCCGGUAUCAGAUGCAAUACUUAAACUUGAUGCUUUGAACCCCUUUCACACUCUUUUUCAGGCAUCGAAUGAUUGUCUAUCCGCUUGGAACCUCUUAUUGUACCUUCGUACCUUACUCUCGAUGUAUUUUAAAUAUGUUCAACUCGAGAGAUACUCUUAUGCUCAUUCAUGGGUUAACCCCCAGAUUGUUUCCCUCAUAAGCAUUCUGUCGUAGCCGAGAUGCCCCUUACCUAUUCGUAAGUACGAUGGAAGUCCCGAAGAAAGGAUGAUGACUUCAUCAUGAUGACCUGGAGCAGAGGAAUGAAGGCAUCAACGUAACGGAUCAACUUCUUCGAGAAGAGCAACCAAGACCGAGAAGAUUCGUUAGAAUUCCGUAACCAGAACUUUCCCCCUUACUCCCCUCUUAAAUCUCGGGACGAGAUUUCUUGUAGUGGAGGAGAAUUGUAACGCCCGGAUAAUUAUGCUACAGUAAUCUCAUGCUAAUGGUGCCACCUCACCACUGUUACGGUUGCCAAUCUUUGCUUGGCCCAAAUCGCAACUCAAAAUCAAAACUGAGUUUAAAGUCAGGAUUCAAAUUUAUCAAACAUGCAAACAAAAAUGUUCAAGUUGUUGCAAAUAAUCAUUUGGUAAUAUUAGUGGAGAAAUCAUGUUUUUACAAAAUGGCUACAUGCUCUAAAAAUAAAUAAAACAGAAAAGUUUUUGAAAGAAAAGAAACCAAAAAAAGGGGAAAAGAAGCCCCCUAAUGGGCCACGGCCAACCUAGCCACCAGUCAGGCCGGCCCACUCCCCGCACCCCUCCCUGGCCUAUAUGGCCCGGCUCCCCCGACCAAACCCUAACUGCUACCCCCACUCCCACCUCGUUCCCCCACGAUCCCCACUUCCCCCCACGAUCCACAUCUGGAUCGCGCCUCUGGCGCCUCCCCCCGCCGCCAGGCGCCUCCACGCCCGACCUCCCUUCCCCUCGCUCUCCCUUAGCANNNNNNNNNNNNNNNNNNNNNNNNNNNNNNNNNNNNNNNNNNNNNNNNNNNNNNNNNNNNNNNNNNNNNNNNNNNNNNNNNNNNNNNNNNNNNNNNNNNNNNNNNNNNNNNNNNNNNNNNNNNNNNNNNNNNNNNNNNNNNNNNNNNNNNNNNNNNNNNNNNNNNNNNNNNNNNNNNNNNNNNNNNNNNNNNNNNNNNNNNNNNNNNNNNNNNNNNNNNNNNNNNNNNNNNNNNNNNNNNNNNNNNNNNNNNNNNNNNNNNNNNNNNNNNNNNNNNNNNNNNNNNNNNNNNNNNNNNNNNNNNNNNNNNNNNNNNNNNNNNNNNNNNNNNNNNNNNNNNNNNNNNNNNNNNNNNNNNNNNNNNNNNNNNNNNNNNNNNNNNNNNNNNNNNNNNNNNNNNNNNNNNNNNNNNNNNNNNNNNNNNNNNNNNNNNNNNNNNNNUCCCUGUCGCCGGCGCGCGCCGUCCCCCCGUGACUACAGCCCUCCCCGAGCACGCGUUUGCACCACUACAGGGCUGGUGAGCCCCUCCGUCGAUCCCCCUCCUCCUUCGCGUUGAUCCGUCGCCGUUGACGUCGUACGUCGCCAUGGCCGAGCUCACUGGAGCUCACGCUCACCGCAUCCGCCCACGCCCAUGGGCGCGCUCCCGCACGCUCGCAGCCUUGCCCCGCUCAUCGCCCGUUGCCUUCCCCAGUUGCUGGCCCUUGCCGCGCCGCGCGCUUGCCCGUGCUGUGGUGCCCGUGGCCGGCCGGUGCGCCUCGCCGUGGGCGCAGCGCCGCACCCCACACCACCCCCGCCUGCUGGCCACGCCCUGAUCCAGCACCCACACCUGCUAUGGCCUGUGUGCCACUGCACAUGGGACCAGCCCCAAAACGUUUAAGAAAAUUAAACGAAUUAAAAAAAUUUAAAAAAAUAACAGAAUAAAAAAAUAGUUAAAUUAAUUAACCAAUUAAUCAUGUUAAUUAACCUGUUAGCUACUUAGUUAGUUUAAGCUAAUCCUAGUAGUUAAAUAGGCAGGCAAUGACAAUGGGGCCCUGCCUGUCAUAUUUGACUAGUCAACAGUCAACCCAAUUGACUGCUGACUAGGACUGUUGACUAUGGUCAACUGGUCCCAGUGGACCCACCUGUAAGCCACAUGUACAUAGUGCUCGGUACACUUCUGUGUACCCAUAGCUUUAUCUAAUUAAUUUCGAAAUAUUUAAUAAUUUCAGAAAUUGUUUAAAACUUUGGAAAAUCAUAGAAAAAUAUCCGUAGCUCGGAUGAAAAAGUUUUCUACAUGAAAGUUGCUCAGAACGACGAGACGAAUCCGGACACGCAGCCCGUUCGUCCGCCACACAUCCCUAGCAUAGAAAACACGCAACUUUCCCCCUCUGGUUCAUCUGUCCGAAAACGCGAAACACCGAGAAUACUUUCCCGGAUGUUUUCCCCCAUCGCCGGUAUCACCUCCUACCGCAUUAGGGCACACUUGGCACCGCUACUUGUUAUGGCAUGCAUCAAUAUGCAUCUGUUUGCAUUGUAUUCAUUGUUUCUUCCCCCUCUUCUCUCCGGUAGACUACGAGACUGACGCUGCUGCUGGUACCCCGAUCGACUACGGUGUUGACGACCCCUCCUUCUUGCCAGAGCAAUCAGGCAAGCCCCCCCCCCCCCUUGAUCACCAGAUAUCGCCUAUUCUUCUCUAUACUACUUGCAUUAGAAGAGUGUAGCAUGUUACUGCUUUCGGUUAAUCCUAUUCUGCUGCAUAGCCUGUCAUUGUUGCUACAGUUGUUACCCUUACCUGCUACCCUACUGCUUAGUAUAGGAUGCUAGUGUUCCAUCAGUGGCCCUACACUCUUGUCCGUCUGCCAUGCUAUACUAUCGAGCCGUGAUCACUAGGGAGGUGAUCACGGGUAUAUACUAUAUACUUUAUAUACAUGACACAUGUGGUGACUAAAGUCGGGUCGGCUCGUUGAGUACCCGCAAGUGAUUCUGAUGAGGGGGCUGAAAGGACAGGUGGCUCCAUCCCGGUAGAGGUGUGCCUGGGUUCCUGACGGCCCCCGACUGUUACUUUGUGGCAGAGCGACAGGGCAGGUUGAGACCACCUAGGAGAGAGGUGGGCCUGGCCCUGGUCGGCGUUCGCGGAUACUUAACACGCUUAACGAGAUGUUGGUAUUUGAUCUUAGUCUGGCCAUUUGGUCUAUACGCACUAACCAACUACGCGGGAACAGUUAUGGGCACUCGGCGUCGUGGUAUCAGCCGAAGCUCUUUUUGACGUCAGUGACUGAGUGGCACGCGCCGCAUUGGACCAUAAGCUCGCGCUUGUAUUAAGGGGGCUAGAUCUGCUUCCGGCCGCGUACGCAACAUGCAGGUGUGCAAUGGGCGAUGGGCCCAGACCCCUGCGCACAUAGGAUUUAGACCGGUGUGCUGACCUCUCUGUUGAGCCUAGGUGGGGCUGCGACGUGUUGAUCUUCCGAGGCCGGGCAUGACCCAGAAAAGUGUGUCCGGCCAAAUGGGAUCGGGCGUGUUGGGUUAUGUGGUGCACCCCUGCAGGGAAGUUUAUCUAUUCGAAUAGCCGUCUCCCUCGGUAAAAGGAUGACCCGGAGUUGUACCUUGACCUUAUGACAACUAGAACCGGAUACUUUAUAAAACACACCCUUCCAAGUGAAAGAUAUAACCCGGUGAUCGCUCUCUAACAGGGCGACGAGGAGGGGAUCGCCGGGUAGGAUUAUGCUAUGCGAUGCUACUUGGUGAACUUACCAUCUACUCUCUUCUACAUGUUGCAAGAUGGAUGCUGCCAGAAGCGUAGUCUUCGACAGGAUUAGCUAUCCCCCUCUUAUUCUGGCAUUCUGCAGUUCAGUCCACCGAUAUGGCCCUUUACACAUAUACCCAUGCAUAUGUAGUGUAGCUCCUUGCUUGCGAGUACUUUGGAUGAGUACUCACGGUUGCUUUUCUCCCUCUUUUCCCCCUUUCCUUUCUACCUGGUUGUCGCAACCAGAUGUUGGAGCCCAGGAGCCAGAUGCCACCGUCGACGACGACUCCUACUACACCGGAGGUGCCUACUACUACGUGCAGCCCGCUGACGACGACCAGGAGUAGUUAGGGGAUCCCAGACAGGAGGCAUGCGCCUCUUUCGAUCUGUAUCCCCGUUUGUGCUAGCCUUCUUAAGGCAAACUUGUUUAACUUAUGUCUGUACUCAGAUAUUGUUGCUUCCGCUGACUCGUCUAUGAUCAAGCACUUGUAUUCGAGCCCUCGAGGCCCCUGGCUUGUAUUAUGAUGCUUGUAUGACUUAUUUAUGUUUUAGAGUUGUGUUGUGAUAUCUUCCCGUGAGUCCCUGAUCUUGAUCGUACAUGUUUGCGUGCAUGAUUAGUGUAUGAUUGAAUCGGGGGCGUCACACCUGGAUUGCUUCCGUUCCAAAAAUAACUCUCUCGAAGGUUUCAUUCCAUUUGGACUCCGUUUGAUAUUCCUUUUCUUCGAAACACUGAAAUAGGCAAGAAAACAGCAAUUUGGGCUGGGCCUCCGGUUAAUAGGUUAGUCCCAAAAAUAAUAUAAAAGUGUUUAGUAAAGCCCAUAAACAUUCAAAACAGAUAAUAUAAUAGCAUGAAUAAUUCAUAAAUUAUAGAUAAGUUGGAGACGUAUCAGCAUCCCCAAGCUUAAUUCCUGCUCGUCCUCGAGUAGGUAAAUGAUAAAAGAAAUAGUUUAUGAAGUAGCAGGUGCACAAGUUUGAUCAAUGAUAAUUUCAAUCACCUUUUCUAGCAUCAUUAUAUAUCAUAACAGUAGCUCAACUCAUAGAACUUCUCAUGAUCAAGUAACAAGCUAUUCACUUGUUAAAGUAUAGAUCAUAAACUUUCUUGAAAACUAAUAAACCGUGUUAUUAGUCAUCAAACAAUUACAAUUCAUCUUAUUUUCAGGAAGGGUCUAUGUCAGAGCUUUGAUUCAGCAAACUUCACAUACUCAACUAUCAUUUAGUCUUUCACAAUUGCUAACACUCACAUGAUAUUUAUGGGUUCAAAGUUUCAGUCAGACACAGAGAAAGAUAGGGGCUUAUAGAUUCGCCUCCCAACCAUUUACCUUAAGGGUAAUGUCAACAAUAAUAGUUCAUGAUGCCUUACAUCCAAUUGGAUAUAUAUAUCAGGAUCUUUCCACCACAAUGUGCUUGCCAAAGGAUAAAAUGUAAAAAGGAAAGGUGAAGAUCACCAUGACUCUUGCAUAAGGUAUAAGACAAGAAUAAAAGAUAGGCCCUUCGCAGAGGGAAGCAGAGGUUGUCAUGCGCUUUUAUAGUUGGAUGCACAAAAUCUUAAUGCGAAAGAACAUCACUUUAUAUUGCCACUUGUGAUAGGACCCUUUAUUAUGCAGUCCAUCGCUUUCAUUGCUUCCACAUCACAAGAUUGUAUAAAGCUUAUUUUCUCCACACUAAUAGAUCAUACAUAUUUAGAGAGCAAUUUUUAUUGCAUGCACCGAUGACAACUUACUUGAAGGAUCUUACUCAAUCCAUAGGUAGGUAUGGUGGACUCUCAUGGCAAUACUGGUUUAAGGGAUGUUUGGAAACACAAGUAGUAUCUCUACUUGGUGCAAAUAAUUUGGCUAGCAUGAGGGGGGAAAGGCAAGCUCAGCAUGUUGAAUGAUCCAUGACAAUAUACUUUAUUUCGGAUAUAAGAAAACAUAACCCAUUACGUUGUCUUCCUUGUCCAACAUCAACCUUUUAGCAUGUCAUAUUUUAAUGAGUGCUCACAAUUAAAAAAGAUGUCCAAGAUAGUAUAUCUAUAUGUGAAAUCUCUCUUCCCUCAAUAUUCUUUCAUGAAUUGUUCAAGUGACCAAUACAAUGUUUGCUAACCUUCAAUAAAUUUACCACCUCUACUUCUUAUAUGUGAAGUCAUUACUCCCCAUGGGAUAAGCAUAUAAAACAUAUAUAAUUUCAGAUUUAUGAUAUUCAAAUCAUUCAACUAAUUACUCAUAGGAUAUACGUGAAGCACACGAGUAAAUGACAAACUACUCCAAAAAGAUAUAAGUGAAGAUCAAUGAGUAGUUAAAUAAUUAUUUAGCUAUGUGAAGACUCUCCCAUUUAAUAAUUUCAGAUCUUGAUACUUUAUUCAAACAGCAAGCAAAAUAAAAUAAAAUGACAUUCUAAGAAUAGCAAACAUCACGUGAAGAAGAAAAACUUAGGAUCAACCGAUACUAACCGAUAGUUGUCGAAGAAGAAAGGUGGGAUGCCAACCGGGGCAUCCCCAAGCUUAGACGCUUGAGACUUCUUGAAAUAUUAUCUUGGGAUGCCUUGGGCAUCCCCAAGCUUGAGCUUUUGUGUCUCCUUAAUUCCUCUCAUAUCACGGUCUCCCUAAAUCUCAAAAGCUUCAUCCACACAAAACUCAACAAGGACUCGUGAGAUAAGUUAGUAUAAACCAAUGCAAAAACCUUAUCAUACUCUACUGUAGAAAAUCACUAAAAUUAUUAUUCAACAUUGCAUACUAAAUGCCUCUGCAUAUUUAAUAGUCCUAUCCUCAAAUAGAAUCAAUAAAGAAGCAAACAUAUGCAAACAAUGCAAACAUAACAGCAAUCUGCCUAAACAGGACAAUCUGUAAAGAAUGCAGCAAGAUACAUACUUCCUAGCUCCAAAAAUUAUGAACGAAAAUUCCCACUGUAGUAAAUUUAUCAUAGCUUAUUAUUCAAAAGGUUUCAACAUUUUAUCACAUUCUGACUUUUCUAGGGAAUUUUUGCAACAGCAGUAAACUUUCUGUUUUCAAACAGCAACAUGAAGACUUGUAAAAUAGGCAUAGUAAAGGCUAUCAAUGCCACUUUUAUUGAAAUAAAAGAUGAAAAACAUUGUUAUAAAUAAUAUCAAGCAAAUCCUAACAAAAUAAAUUGAUGCUCCAAGCAAAACACAUAUCAUGUGGUGAAUAAAAAUAUAGCUCCAAGUAAAGUUACCGAUGAACGAAGACGAAAGAGGGGAUGCCUUCCGGGGCAUCCCCAAGCUUAGGCUCUUAGUCGUCCUUGAAUAUUGCCUUGGGGUGCCUUGGGCAUCCACAAGCUUAGGCUCUUGCCACUCCUUAUUCCAUAGUCCAUCGAAUCUUUACCCAAAACUUGAAAACUUCACAACACAAAACUCAACAGAAAACCCGUAAGCUCCGUUAGUAUAAGAAAAUAAAACCACCACUUAGGUACUGUUCUGAACUCACUCUAAAUUCAUAUUGGUGUAAUAUCUACUGUAUUACAACUUCUCUAUGGUUCAUACCCUCCGAUACUACUCAUAGAUUCAUCAAAAUAAGCAAACAACACAUACAAAAACAGAAUCUGUCAAAAACAGAACGGUCUGUAGUAAUCUGUAUCAAACGUAUACUUAUGGAACUCCAACAAUUCUGAAAUAAAUUGUUAGACCUGAGGAAUUUGUCUAUUAAUCAUCUGCAAAAAGAAUCAACCUAAAAUCACUUUCCAGUAAAAAAUGGCAGCACAUCUCGUGAGCGCUAAAGUUUCUGUUUUUUACAGCAUGAUCAUAAAGACUUCACCCAAGUCUUACCAAAGGUUCUACUUGGCACAAACACUAACUAAAACAUAAAACCACAUCUAACCAGACGCUAGAUAGAUUAUUUAUUAAUAAACAGUAGAAAAAAGCAAAGAACAAAAAUAAAAUUGGGUUGCCUCCCAACAAGCGCUAUCGUUUAACGAACCUAGCUAGGCAUGAUGAUUUCAAUGAUGCUCACAUAAAAGAUAAGAAUUGAAACAUAAAGAGAGCAUCAUGAAGAAUAUGACUAGCGCAUUUAAGUCUAACCCACUUAAUAUGCAUAGGGAUUUUGUGAGCAAACAACUUAUGGGAACAAUAAUCAACUAGCAUAGGAAGGCAAAACAAGCAUAACUUCAAAACUUUAAGCACAUAGAGAGGAAACUUGAUAUUAUUGCAAUUCCUACAAGCAUAUAUUCCUCCCUCAUAAUAAUUUUCAGUGGCAUCAUGAAUGAAUUCAACAAUAUAACCAGCACCUAAAGCAUUCUUUUCAUUAUCUACAAGCAUAGAAAUUUUAUUACUCUCCACAUAAGCAAAAUUCUUCUCUUUCGGAAUAGUGGGAGUAUCAUAAGAGACUCGAAUACUAUAAAUUGUUUCCACAUUAAAUGAGUAAUGUUCAGAAAAAGGGUAAUCAUAAUCAUGACAAGUUUUAUAAAUAUAAUCUCACUACCCUUUAUAGCAUAAGUUUCAUCACAAUAAUCAUCAUAAGUAGCAACUUUGUUCUCAUCAUAAUCAAUUGAAACCUCUUCCAAGAUAGUGGAAUCAUUACUAAAUAAAGUCAUGACCUCUCCAAAUCCACUUUCAUAAUUAUCACAAUAAGAUUCAACAUCCUCCAAAAUAGUGGGAUCAUUACUUCCUAAAGUUGACACUCUUCCAAACCCACUUUCAUCAAUAUAAUCAUCAUAAGUAGGAGGCAUGCUAUCAUCAUAACAAAUUUGCUCAUCAAAACUUGGGAGGCUAAAAAUAUCAUCUUCAUUAAACAUAGCAUCCCCAAGCUUGGGACAAACAUUAAUUGCAGCAAAUAUAUUCUAAAACAUGUCAUUCUCAUCAAACACAGCAUCCCCAAGCUUGGGCCUUUUCAUAUCAUAAGUAUAAUCACUCUCAUCAUUAAUAGUAUGGAUAGCACCAAUAGUAUAGCAAUUAUCAUCAUCACAAUGAGUAAUAGGAGCAACAUCAUUUGGGAGGGAUACCUUUCUACCUUUGCUCCUCCGUCUUUUCUUUUUCUUCUUCACAUCAUGUGUGGGUUUAACCCUCUUUUUUUAGCUCCUUAUUAAUGAGAUUGGUUGAAUAGAAGGCUCCUCCUCGUUACCUGAUUCAUCAUAAGAAAUAAUAGGAGGAUAUUGGGAAGCCUCUUACCUUUCAUUAGUAUUCUCUUCAUCUUCUAUUUGUUUUCUUUUCUUUAUGUAAUUGGCAAUAUAAGGAUUUUCAACGCAAUUCACCGCACAAUACAUAAAAAUUUCUUCUAGAUCAAAAUCAAGAAAUCUAUCAAGAUUAAAUUUUGGAAUACCCUCAGUUAUACGUUUCAUUUCUUCAUACCCCAAAAGAAGACUAAGCUCUUUAUGAUGCUCAAGGGUAAUCAAGUUAUCACAAUUUUUGGAUACGAUUUGAUCAUGAAACAAAUAGCAUUGGAGCUUUAAAUGGCCAUGUUCAUUGCAAAGUUCACAAGGAUGGCGAUAAAUAUUGAAUCUUUCAGCAAAAACAUCUAGCCUCUCUUGCAACCAUUUAGAUUCUAAAUACUUAUGCCUCUUGCAAAAUCUAUCCUCCCUAUUUGGUGUGUACUUGCAAACUCUAUGCACACCACAAAAGUUGACAUGCUUAUAAGAGACAUUUUCAUCAUGACUGGUGCAAUCAUCAUUAGUACUAUGGAUAUUCAAGGAGUUCAUACUAACAGCAUUGCAAUCAUGCUCAUCAUUCAAUGAUUUAGUGCCAAACAUUUUAUAGACUUCUUCUUCUAGCAUUUGAGCACAAUUUUCCCUUCCAUCAUUCUCACGAAAGAUAUGAAAAAGAUGAAGCGUAUGAGGCAAACUCAAUUCCAUUUUUUUAGUUUUCUUUUAUAAACUAAACUAGUGCUAAAACAAGAAACUAAAAGAUUCGAUUGCAAGAUCUAAAGAUAUACCUUCAAGCACUCACCUCCUCGGCAACGGCGCCAGAAACUGCUUGAUGUCUACUACGCAACCUUCUUCUUAUAGACGUUGUUGGGCCUCCAAGUGCAGAGGUUUGUAAGACAGUAGAAAAUUUCCCUCAAGUGGAUGACCUAAGGUUUAUCAACCCGUGGGAGGCGUAGGAUGAAGAUGGUCUCUCUCAAACAACCCUGCAACCAAAUAACAAAGAAUCUCUUGUGUCCCCAACACACCCAAUACAAUGGUAAAUUGUAUAGGUGCACUUGUUCGACGAAGAGAUGGUGAUACAAGUGCAAUAUGGAUGGUAGAUAUAGGUUUUUGUAAUCUAAAAAUAUAAAAACAGCAAGGUAACUAAUGAUAAAAGUGAGAGAAAAUGGUAUUGCAAUGCUAGGAAACAAGGCCUAGGGUUCAUACUUUCACUAGUGCAAGUUCUCUCAACAAUAAUAACAUAAUUGGAUCAUAUAACAAUCCAUCAACAUGCAACAAAGAGUCACUCCAAAGUCACUAAUAGCGGAGAACAAACGAAGAGAUUAUGGUAGGGUACAAAAGCACCUCAAAGUUAUUCUUUCGGAUCGAUCUAUUCAAGAGUUCGUACUAGAAUAACACCUUAAGAUACAAAUCAACCAAAACCCUAAUGUCACCUAGAUACUCCAAUGUCACCUCAAGUAUCCGUGGGUAUGAUUAUACGAUAUGCAUCACACAAUCUCAGAUUCAUCUAUUCAACCAACACAAAGAACUUCAAAGAGUGCCCCAAAGUUUCUACCGGAGAGUCAAGACGAAAACGUGUGCCAACCCCUAUGCAUAAGUUCAUGAGCGGAACCCGCAAGUUGAUCACCAAAACAUACAUCAAGUAGAUCACGUGAAUAUCCCAUUGUCACCACAGAUAAGCACAUACAAGACAUACAUAAAGUGUUCUCAAAUCCUUAAAGACUCAAUCCGAUAAGAUAACUUCAAAGGGAAAACUCAAUCCAUUACAAGAGAGUAGAGGGGGAGAAACAUCAUAAGAUCCAACUAUAAUAGCAAAGCUCGCGGUACAUCAAGAUCGUACCAUCUCAAGAACACGAGAGAGAGAGAGAGAGAGAGAGAGAGAGAGAGAGAGAGAGAGAUCAAACACAUAGCUACUGGUACAUACCCUCAGCCCCGAGGGUGAACUACUCCCUCCUUGUCAUGGAGAGCACUGGGAUGAUGGAGAUGGCCACCGGUGAGGGUUCGCCCCUCCGGCAGGGUGCCGGAACAGGGUCCCGAUUGGUUUUUGGUGGCUACAGAGGCUUGCGGCGGCGGAACUCCCGAUCUAUUCUACUCUCCGAUGUUUUUAGGGUAUAUGGACAUAUAUAGAUGAAAGAAGUCGGUCAGGGGAGCCACGAGGGGCCCACGAGCGUGGGGGCGCGCCCAGGGGGUAGGGCGCGCCUCCCUGCCUCCUGGCUUCCUUGAAGCUUCCCUGAUGUCUACUCCAAGUCUCCUGGAUUGCUUCCGUUCCAAAAAUAACUCUCCCGAAGGUUUCAUUCCGUUUGGACUCCGUUUGAUAUUCCUUUUCUUCGAAACACUGAAAUAGGCAAGAAAACAGCAAUUUGGGUUGGGCCUCCGGUUAAUAGGUUAGUCCCAAAAAUAAUAUAAAAUUGUUUAGUAAAGCCCAUAAACAUUCAAAACAGAAAAUAUAAUAGCAUGAAUACUUCAUAAAUUAUAGAUACGUUGGAGACGUCUCAACCCACAAUUCAUCGGAUCUCGGCAAACACACCGCAAAAAGUAUUAUAUCGAAUAGAUCUCCAAGAAGACCAAGGAGAACUUUGUAUUGAGAUCCAAAGAGAGAGAAGAAGCCAUCUAGCUAAUAACUAUGGACCCAAAGGUCUGUGGUAAACUACUCACACAUCAUCGGAGAGGCUAUGGUGUUGAUGUAGAAGCCCUCCAUGAUCGAAUCCCCCUCCGGCGGAGCGCCGGAAAAGGCCCCAAGAUCGGAUCUCGCGGGUACAGAAGGUUGCGGCGAUGGAAAAGUGGUUUCGUUGCUCCCCCCGAUGGUUUCAGGGUAUAAGAGUAUAUAUAGGCGAAAGAAGUAGGUCGGUGGAGCUACGAGGGGCCCACAAGGGUGGGGGCGCGCCCUCCUGCCUCAUGGCCGCCUCGUGGCUUCCUUGACUUCCACUCCAAGUCUCCUGGAUUGCGUUUGUUCCAAAAAAGAUCCUCGCGAAGGUUUCAUUCCGUUUGGAUUCCGUUUGAUAUUCCUUUUCUGCGAAACACUGAAAUAGGCAAAAAAACAGCAAACUGCACUGGGCCUUCGGUUAAGAGGUUAGUCCCAAAAAUAAUAUAAAAAGGUAUAUUAAAGCCCAUUAAACAUCCAAAACAGAUAAUAUAAUAGCAUGGAACAAUCAAAAAUUAUAGAUACGUUGGAGACGUAUCAGGAACCGACACGUAUUGUAUUAUUGCCAUCGAGGAUAAAAAGAUGGGGUUUAUAUCAUAUUGCUUGAGUUUAUCCCUCUACAUCAUGUCAUCUUGCCUAAUGUGUUACUCCGUUCUUAUGAACUUAAUACUCUAGAUGCAUGUUGGAUAGCGGUCGAUGUGUGGAGUAAUAGUAGUAGAUGCAGAAUCGUUUCGGUCUACUUGACACGGACAUGAUGCCUAUAUUCAUGAUUAUUUCCUUAGAUAUCAUCAUAACUAUGCACUUUUCUAUCAAUUGCUCGGCAGUAAUUUGUUCACCCACCGUAAUACAUGCUAUCAUGAGAGAAGCCACUAGUGAAUCCUAUGGCCCCCGGGUCUACUUUACAUCAUAUAAGUUUCCAAUCUACAAUUCUAUUUUACUAUUUAUUUGCAAUCUUUAUUUUCCAAUCUAUACAACAAAAAUACCAAAAAUAUUUAUCUUAUUAUUUUUAUCAGAUCUCACUUUUGCAAGUGGCCGUGAAGGGAUUGACAACCCCUUUAUCGCGUUGGUUGCAAAGUUCUUGAUUGUUUGUGCAGGUACUAGGCGACUUGCGUGUAGUCUCCUACUGGAUUGAUACCUUGGUUCUCAAAAACUGAGGAAAAUACUUACGCUACUUUGCUGCAUCACCCUUUCCUCUUCAAGGGAAAACCAACGCAUGCUCAAGAGGUAGCAAGAAGGAUUUCUGGCACCGUUGACGGGGAGAUCUACGCUCAAGUCAAGACAUACUAAGUACCCAUCACAAACUCUUAUCCCUUGCAUUACAUUAUUUGCCAUUUGCCUCUCGUUUUCCUCUCCCCCACUUCUAAAAUGAUUUUUGAAAACCUUUGCCUUUUCUUCGCCUUCUUCCCAUAUGUAUAUUUGUUUGUGUUUCCAUGUGCCUUCUAUUUGCUUGCAUCUUUUCUUGCUAAAAAUCUAUUGAUAUGGAUCCACUUAAAGUGUUCUACUUGGAUCAUCUUCGAUCCUUAUGCACUCGUGCUGAAACCCCAACUAGCCUAGUUGAUGGGAAAUCUUUAGAUGAGCAUGCUCAUUUUGUGCGUCACCAUUUGUCUGAAAAAGGGAGACUCUUAUGGGAUCAAAUAAACAGAUUGUUGUGUUAUGCUUGGAAUCUUUGUGAAAUUUUUAUUUUACUUGUUGCUCUAAGAACCCUAAAAAACACCUCCCCUACCUAUGUGAGUUUAAUGAUAAUGAAAUCUUAUCUUCUUAUGCAAAGGGUGUUUAUAGUUACUACGAUAUCAAACAAAUUGAAGAAUUUGUUGCUUUUAAGGGUGCUUAUGAAGUUGCUUCUUUGAUUGAAAAGUAUGAUAUUACUCUCUACGAAUCUGAAAAUUUUGACAUACUUAAAUAUUGCUAUGAAAACUAUGCUCAUAAUGUUUAUGUCAAAGAAUUUAUUGACAGAAUGACCGUUGCUUUGGAAGAAAAUAAUGAUAUGCAUGAAUCUCUAGAUAAUUAUGAUUCCAAUAAUUUUAUUGAAGUAUCCCUUGAUGAACAUGAUGAUUGCUAUUCUUGUGGCCAUGAUGCCAAUAUUUAUGAAUAUGAAUUUGCUAUAGUUCCUUAUGUUAAACAUGAGAUCGUUGCUAUUGCACCCAUACUUGAUAGUUCCUUCGAUGAAAAGCAUGAUUGCAAUGAUGUUAUCAUAAAUUCUCUUAAUGUCAAUUGUGUUAAUGAUAUGCAAAACCUCAAGCUUGGGGAUGCUAGUUUUGCUAUGACCACUAUUUUUUGCAAUGAUCAUGAUUGGGGUGAUUUUUCUUAUGAUCUUGAAAAUUUAUUUAAGCCCCAUGAUGAAUAUGAGAUUGAUAAUAAUGUUCGCAAUAAUAUUGAAAGUGGGUUUGGAAGAGUGUCAACUUUAGAUCCCACAUAUUUGGAUAAUGUUCAAUCUUAUGAAGUUUUUGAUAAAAGUGGGUUUGGAGAGGUCAUGACUUUGGAUAAUGUUAAUCCCACUAUUUUGGAAGAGUGUCAACUUUGCAUACAUGUGGAUCGUGUUAAGAAUAUGUUUUGUGAUAGCUAUAUUUUUGAAUUUGCUUAUCAUCCUACAUGUAAUUAUUAUGAGAGAGGAAAAUAUGGUUGUAGAAAUUUUCAUGUUACUAAAUUACCUCUCAUUAUGUUGAGAUUGUUAUUGUUUCUUUCCGCUUCCUUGCAUAUGCUAGUUUUUGCUUGCCUUGAUAAUUUGUUUGCCUAUAAGAUGCCUAUAAAUAGGAAGUAUGUUAGACUUAGAUGUGUUUGUCACGUGUUUUAUGAUGCUCUCUUUGUCCUUCAUUUCUUGUCUUUCAUGUGAGCAUCAUCGAAAUCUCAAUGCCUAGCUAGGGGCGUUAAACGAUGGCGCUUGUUGGGAAGCAACCCAAUUUUAUUUUUGUUCCUUGCUUUUUGUUCCUGUUUAGUAAUAAGUAAUUAAUCUAGCCUCUGUUUAGAUGUGGUUUUAUGUUUUAAUUAGUGUUUGUGCCAAGUAGAACCUUUGGGAAGACUUGGAUGAAGUCUUUGCGAUCUUGUUGUAAAAGACAGAAACUUUUGCGCUCACGAGAUUAGAUGCCAUUUUUUACUGGAGAGUGAUUUUAGGUUGAUUCUUUUUGAAGAUGAUUAAUAGACAAAUUCCUCACGUCCAAAAAUUUAUUUGAGAAUUUUUGGAGUUCCAGAAGUAUUCAUUUGAUACAGAUUGCUACAGACUGUUCUGUUUUGACAGAUUCUGUUUUUUCGUGUGUUGUUUGCUUAUUUUGAUGAAUCUAUGAGUAGUAUCGGGGGGUAUGAACCAUAGAGAAGUUGGAAUACAGUAGGUUUAACACCAAUAUAAAUAAAUAAUGAGUUCAUAACAGUACCUUAAAGUGGUGGUUUAAUUUCUUAUACUAACGGAGCUCAUGAGAUUUUCUGUUUAGGUUUUGUGUUGUGAAGUUUUCAAGUUUUGAGUAAAGAUUUGAUGGAUUUUGGAAUAAGGAGUGGCAAGAGGCUAAGCUUGGGGAUGCCCAAGGCUCCCCAAGGUAAAAUUCAAGGACAACCAAAAGCCUAAGCUUGGGGAUGCCCCGGAAGGCAUCCCCUCUUUCGUCUUCGUCUAUCGGUAACUUUACUUGAGGCUAUAUUUUUAUUCACCACAUGAUAUGUGUUUUGCUUGGAGCGUCUUGUAUGAUUUGAGUCUUUGCUUUUUAGUUUACCACAAUAAUUUGCUGUACACACCUUUUGGAGAGACACGCAUGAAUCGGAAUUUAUUAGAAUAAUCUAUGUGCUUCACUUAUAUCUUUUGAGCUAGAUAAUUUUGCUCUAGUGCUUCACUUAUAUCUUUUUAGAGCGCGGUGGUGGUUUUAUUUUAUAGAAAUUAUUGAUCUCUCAUGCUUCACUUAUAUUAUUUUGAGAGUCUUUUAGAACAGCAUGGUAAUUUUCUUUGGCUAUAAAAUUAGUCCUAAGAUGAUGAGCAUCCAAGAUGGGUAUAAUAAAAACUAUCAUAUAAAGUGCAUUGAAUACUAUGAGAAGUUUGAUUCAUUAUCAUUGUUGUGAGAUAUGAAGAUGGUGAUAUUAGAGUCAUGCUAGUUGAGCAGUUGUGAAUUUGAGAGAUACUUGUGUUAAAGUUUGUGAUUCCCGUAGCAUGCACGUAUGGUGAACCGUUAUGUGACGAAGUCGGAGCAUGAUUUAUUUAUUGAUUGUGUUCCUUAUGAGUGGCGGUCGGGGACGAGCGAUGGUCUUUUCCUACCAAUCAUGUACCCUUUUGUAUGAUUUGAGUCUUUGCUCUUUAUUUUACCACAAUCAUCCUUGUUGUAUACACCUUUUGGGAGAGACACACAUGAAUCGGAAUUUAUUAGAAUACUCUAUGUGCUUCACAUAUAUCUUUUGAGCUAGAUAAUUUUGCUCUAGUCUUCACUUAUAUCUUUUAGAGCACGGUGGUGGUUUUAUUUUAUAGAAAUUAUUGAUCUCUCAUGCUUCACUUAUAUUAUUUUGGGAGUCUUUCAGAACAGCAUGGUAAUUUGCUUUGGCUAUAAAAUUAGUCCUAAUUGUUGGGGAACGUAGUAAUUUCAAAAAGAUUCCUACGCACACGCAAGAUCAUGGUGAUGCAUAGCAACGAGAGGGGAGAGUGUUGUCCACGUACCCUCGUAGACCAAAAGCGGAAGCGUUAUGACAACACGGUUGAUGUAGUCAUAUGUCUUCACGAUCGACCGAUCCUAGUACCGAACGUACGGCACCUCCGCGAUCUACACACGUUCAGCUCGGUGACGUCCCAUGAACUCACGAUCCAGUAGAGCUUCGAGGGAGAGCUUCGUCACCACGACGGCGUGAUGAUGAAGCUACCGGUGCAGGGCUUCGCCUAAGCACUACGACGAUAUGACCGAGGUGGAUUAUGGCGGAGGGGGCACCACACACGGCUAACAGAUCAAUAAUCAACUUGUGUGUCUAUGGGGUGCCCCCCUCCUCCGUAUAUAAAGGAGUGGAGGAGGGGGAGGAGGCCGGCCUCCUAGGCGCGCCCCAAGGGGAGUCCUACUCCCACCGGGAGUAGGAUUCCACCCCUUCCAUGAGUAGGAGUAGGAGAGAAGGAAGGAGGAGAGAGGGGGAAGGAAAAAGGGGGGCGCCGCCCCCCUUCCUAGUCCAAUUCGAACUUGAGGGGGAGGGGGCGCGCGGCCUGCCCUGGCCGCUCCUCCCUCUCUCCACUAAGGCCCAUGAGGACCAUUACACUCCCCGGGGGGUUCCGGUAACCCGCCCCCCGGUACUCCGGUAUUCGUCCAAACUUACUCGGAACCCUUCCGAUGUCCAAACAUAGUCAUCCAAUAUAUCGAUAUUUACGUCUCGACCAUUUCGAUACUCCUCGUCAUGUCCGUGAUCAUAUCUGGGACUCUGAACUAUCUUCGGUACAUCAAAACACAUAAACUCAUAAUACCGAUCGUCACCGAACGUUAAGCGUGCGGACCCUAUGGGUUCGAGAACUAUGUAGACAUGACCGAGACACGUCUCCGGUCAAUAACCAAUAGCGGAACCUGGAUGCUCAUAUUGGCUCCCACAUAUUCUACGAAGAUCUUUAUCGGUCAAACCGCAUAACAACAUACGUUGUUCCCUUUGUCAUCGGUAUGUUACUUGCCCGAGAUUCGAUCGUCGGUAUCUCAGUACCUAGUUCAAUCUUGUUACCGGCAAGUCUAUUUACUCGUUUCGUAAUGCAUCAUCCCGCAACUAACUCAUUAGUUACAUUGCUUGCAAGGCUUAUAGUGAUGUGCAUUACCGAGAGGGCCCAGAGAUACCUCUCCGACAAUCGGAGUGACAAAUCCUAAUCUCGAUCUAUGCCAACUCAACAAGUACCAUCGCAGAGACCUGUAGAGCACCUUUAUAAUCACCCAGUUACGUUGUGACGUUUGGUAGCACACAAAGUGUUCCUUCGGUAUUUGGGAGUUGCAUAAUCUCAUAGUCAUAGGAACAUGUAUAAGUCAGGGAGAAAGCAAUAUAUACUAAACGAUCAAAUGCUAAGCUAACGGAAUGGGUCAAGUCAAUCACAUCAUUCUCUAAUGAUGUGAUCCCGUUAAUCAAAUGACAACUCAUCUCAAUGGCUAGGAAACUUAACCAUCUUUGAUUCAACGAGCUAGUCAAGUAGAGGCAUACUAGUGACACUCUGUUUGUCUAUGUAUUCACACAUGUACUAAGUUUCCGGUUAAUACAAUUCUAGCAUGAAUAAUAAACAUUUAUCAUGAUAUAAGGAAAUAUAAAUAACAACUUUAUUAUUGCCUCUAGGGCAUAUUUCCUUCAGUCUCCCACUUGCACUAGAGUCAAUAAUCUAGAUCACUUCGCCAUGUGAUUUAACACCAAUAGUUCACAUCACCAUGUGAUUAACACCCAUAGUUCACAUCGCCAUGUGACCAACACUCAAAGGGUUUACUAGAGUCAGUAAUCUUAGUUCACAUCGCCAUGUGAUUAACACCCAAAGAGUACUAAGGUGUGAUCAUGUUUUGCUUGUGAGAGAAGUUUAGUCAACGGGUGUGCCAUAUUCAGAUCAGUAUGUAUUUUGCAAAUUUCUAUGUCAACAAUGCUCUGCACAGAGCUACUCUAGCUAAUUGCUCCCACUUUCAAUAUAUAUCCAGAUUGAGACUUAGAGUCAUCUGGAUCAGUGUCAAAACUUGCAUCGAUGUAACCCUUUAUGACGAACCUUUUGUCACCUCCAUAAUCGAGAAACAUAUCCUUAUUCCACUAAGGAUAAUUUUGACCGCUGUCCAGUGAUCUACUCCUAGAUCACUAUUGUACUCCCUUACCAAAAUUAGUGUAGGGUAUACAAUAGAUCUGGUACACAGCAUGGCAUACUUUAUAGAACCUACGGCUGAGGCGUAGGGAAUGACUUUCAUUCUCUUUCUAUCUUCUGCCGUGGUCGGGCUUUGAGUCUUACUCAAUUUCACACCUUGCAAUACAGGCAAGAACUCUUUCUUUGACUGUUCCAUUUUGAACUACUUCAAAAUCUUGUCAAGGUAUGUACUCAUUGAAAAAACUUAUCAAGCGUCUUGAUCUAUCUCUAUAGAUCUUGAUGCAUAUUAUGUAAGCAGCUUCACCGAGGUCUUUCUUUGAAAAACUCCUUUCAAAUACUCCUUUAUGCUUUCCAGAAAAAUAUACAUUAUUUCCGAUCAACAAUAUGUCAUUCACAUAUACUUAUCAGAAAUGUUGUAGUGCUCCCACUCACUUUCUUGUAAAUACAGGCUUCACCGCAAGUCUAUAUAAAACUAUAUGCUUUGAUCAACUCAUCAAAGCGUAUAUUCCAACUCCGAGAUGCUUGCACCAGUCCAUAGAUGGAUCGAUGGAGCUUGCACAUUUUGUUAGCACCUUUAGGAUCGACAAAACCUUCUGGUUGCAUCAUAUACAACUCUUCUUUAAGAAAUCCACUAAGGAAUGUAGUUUUGACAUCCAUUUGCCAGAUUUCAUAAAAUGUGGCAAUUUGCUAACAUGAUUCGGACAGACUUAAGCAUCCCUACGAGUGAGAAAAUCUCAUCGUAGUCAACACCUUGAACUUUGUCAAAAACCUUUUUCGACAAGUCUAGCUUUGUAGAUAGUAACACUACUAUCAGCGUCCGUCUUCUUCUUGAAGAUCCAUUUAUUUUCUAUGGCUUGCCGAUCAUCGGUCAAGUCAACCAAAGUCCACACUUUGUUCUCAUACAUGGAUCCCAUCUCAGAUUUCAUGGCCUCAAGCCAUUUCGCGGAAUCUGGGCUCAUCAUCGCUUCCUCAUAGUUCGUAGGUUCGUCAUGGUCAAGUAACAUGACCUCCAAAACAGGAUUACCGUACCACUCUGGUGCGGAUCUCACUCUGGUUGACCUACGAGGUUCGAUAGGAACUUGAUCUGAAGUUACAUGAUCAUCAUCAUUAGCUUCCUCACUAAUUGGUGUAGGAGUCACAGGAACAGAUUUCUGUGAUGAACUACUUUCCAAUAAGGGAGCAGGUACAGUUACCUCAUCAAGUUCUACUUUCCUCCCACUCACUUCUUUCGAGAGAAACUCCUUCUCUAGAAAGGAUCCAUUCUUAGCAACGAAUGUCUUGCCUUCGGAUCUGUGAUAGAAGGUAUACCCAACUGUCUCCUUGGGGUAUCCUAUGAAGACACAUUUCUCCAAUUUGGGUUUGAGCUUAUCAGGAUGAAACUUUUUCACAUAAGCAUCGCAACCCCAAACUUUGAGAAACGACAACUUUGGUUUCUUGCCAAACCACAGUUCAUAUGGUGUCAUCUCAACGGAUUUAGAUGGUGCCCUAUUUAACGUGAAUGCAGCUGUCUCUAAUGCAUAACCCCAAAACGAUAGUGGUAAAUCGGUAAGAGACAUCAUAGAUUGCACCAUAUCUAAUAAAGUACGGUUAUGAUGUUCGGACACACCAUUACGUUGUGGUGUUCCAGGUGGCGUGAGUUGUGAAACUAUUCCGCAUUGUUUCAAAUGAAGACCAAACUCGUAACUCAAAUAUUCUCCUCCACGAUCAGAUCGUAGAAACUUUAUUUUCUUGUUACGAUGAUUUUCCACUUCACUCUGAAAUUAUUUGAGCUUUUCAAAUGUUUCAAAUUAAUGUUUCAUCAAGUAGAUAUACCUAUAUCUGCUCAAAUCAUCUGUGAAGGUCAGAAAAUAACGAUACCUGCCGCGAGCCUCAACACUCAUCGGACUGCAUACAUCAGUAUGUAUUAUUUCCAACAAGUCUGUUGCUCGCUCCAUUGUUCCGGAGAACGGAGUCUUAGUCAUCUUGCCCAUGAGGCAUGGUUCGCAAGCAUCAACUGAUUCAUAAUCAAGUGAUUCCAAAAGCCAAUCGGCAAGGAUUUUCUUCAUGCGCUUUACACCAAUAUGACCUAAAUGGCAGUGCCACAAAUAAGUUGCACUAUCAUUAUUAACUUUGCAUUUUUUGGCUUCAAUAUUAUGAAUUUGUGUAUCACUACAAUCGAGAUUCAAUAAACCAUUCACCUUGGGUGUAUGACCAUUGAAGGUUUUAUUCAUGUAAACAGAACAACAAUUAUUCUCUGACUUUAAAUGAAUAACUGUAUUGCAUUUAAACAUGAUCAAAUCAUAUUCAUGCUUAACGCAAACACCAAAUAACAUUUAUUUAGGUUCAACACUAAUCCCGAAAGUAUAGGGAGUGUGCGAUGAUGAUCAUAUCAAUCUUGGAACAACUUUCAACACACAUCAUCACUUCACCCUUAACUAGUCUCUGUUCAUUCUGCAACUCCCGUUUCGAGUUACUAAUCUUAGCAACUAAACUAGUAUCAAAUACUGAGGGGUUGCUAUAAACACUAGUAAAGUACACAUCAAUAACAUGUAUAUCAAAUAUACCUUUGUUCACUUUGCCAUCCUUCUUAUCCACCAAAUACUUGGGGCAGUUCUGCUUCCAGUGACCAGUCCCUUUGCAGUAGAAGCACUUAGUCUCAGGCUUAGGUCCAAACUUGGGCUUCUUCACUUGAGCAGCAACUUGCUUGCCGUUCUUCUUGAAGUUCCCCUUCUUCCCUUUGCCAUUUUCUUGAAACUAGUGGUCUUGUCAACUGUCGGUGUACAAAAGUAGGGGCUCUCCUUUUGACCCCUCUACUUGUGCACAGGCAGUCAGAGCCGCGCCCGCGGCCACACUGAGCAGGGUAGAAGAGGGAAGCCGGAGCACAAGGCAACCAAAGCAACGCCAAGACCAGAAACACAACAAGCAAGAGGGCGAGGUGGGCUCCCCCGGCGAGACCCUUGCCGGGGCAGCCCCCGCAGCCCGGGCAAGAGCCUUGCCGGGGCAACUUGCCCGACGCCAGCGGGGCGCGCCACCCUUGAGCCCAAGGGUUCCAACGCCGCCAACAACCGCAUUGGAACCAAGGCUCAAGAGGCACCUCCGUGGUGGCAUGCAGAUCUUCGUCAAGAUCAUAAAUACACAAGGUCAGAUGAGGACCAGAAGACGACGAUUCUUGGCGAAGAUCCUUGCCAAGGAAAUCUACGAGACCCCCCCCCCCCCGGCAAGAUCCUUGCCGGGGACGACCGCGGUGCUACGGCAAGACCCUUGCCAAGGACGUCAGCGGGGCCGUGGCCAGGUCCACGUCUGCCAAGACUACACCGCUGCUCCCAUGCAGCUGCUAGCUCAACCAGCUGGCCAGGCACCUGCGUGGCAGCGUGCGGCCUCUACGCCGACUUAGCUAGCACCUGCGUGGUGGCAUGCAGAUCUUCAUGAAGACUCCGCCACCGCACUAGCCCAGCAGCCAGCCAACGUGGCGCUACAACGCCUCGUCAGCUCGGACGCGCGUCACAGCCAGGCGAGGCGGUGACAUCUGGGACGAGCUUCCUUGCCGUCCCCGAUAAAGCAAGAGGAGCACGUCGGCAGCGCAUUCAAUGUGUUUGUCCGACGGUGCCAGAGGAUAGACUCAUCCACUGUACACCUUUCCACCUCCUGUGUGCCACUGUGGCAACCCCUUUUGUCUAUAAAAGGAGGCCCGAGGCGACCAGGAGAAGGAUUCGGAUAUCUAGGACUAGACACGCACCGUAGCUAGUUCAAGAACUCAAGAACACUCAAAUACAUACACCAAAGCAGGACUAGGGUAUUACGCAUUCUCGCGGCCCGAACCUGGGUAAACGAUCUUUGUGCUGGCUCAUAGACCUGUUCUUUGCACAACCCCGUGCCCGCCAAUCGUAGAAGGGAUCCCAGUGAUCCCAUAGGUGUCGUUAUCACCGACAUCUUUGGCGCGCCAGGUAGGGGGCGCAGUUGUGGAAAUCUGGUCUGGUUGGAGCAGCGGUUUCAUGGUGGUCGUCACUCCAAGGAAGAAGACGACCAAAUGGGCGGCGUCGCCUGCGGAUGCGGUGGACACCCGCGCAACGACAAAAAAGCUAAGUUACGCGAAAUCUUGGCUAUAUUCACUUAUAUAAGGUUGUUCUCCCCGAGAGAUCUCGUUCUUUGUACGGGAAACCUGCACGCGAUGGGGCCCUUCUGCUGUUGGCAAUGCCUUUGUUCUGUCUCGAGCCUGCUCGACAGUUCAUGCGGCCGCGCUGGCGGCGGCAAGGUGGCCUACCCGUUCCCAGCUGCGCUCUUGUCCUGCCUCGAGUCCGCUCGACAGCUCAAGCGACCGCGCUGGCGGCUGCAAGGUGGCUCGCCCGGCAGCAAGCGCCCUGCCGGCAGGGUGCUAAGGAUCCGUCCUUAAAGCACCAUGGCAUGGGUUUACGCGCCAGCAGCCUUAUCUCAACAAGCGUAGGGUACGAACAUACGAAGAAAGAUCUAACGGGAAGAUAGCGUGCAUAAUAUUAAAGUACUGCGGAGUUAUAUUACAUCAAUUGUUGCUGCGGUUCUAACUAAAGAUAAAAAUUGUCUUGGUCAUGAACCUGCAGUGGCGAUAAGAAACGGGGUGCCUAAUCCCGGCGCUGGCCCUCUACCCUCUGAACUCCAUCGAUGCGGCUGAUGAUGGGCUCAAUACGCUCCUCGAGCGCUCCGAGGUCCGCAUCCUCCGGCAAGCUCUCCAGCGUGGUGUCGAAGUUGAGGUUGGGGUUCCAGUACGCCACCUUGGUGAGGACCUUGGUCAUGACACCCCGGCAGAGCCUCCGGGCCUCAUUGGCCAGAGAGGCCGCCCGGUUGGAGUGGAGCCGCUCCAGGGCUCCAAUAACCCUCUCAAAGAACAGGGUCAGGUUACAGUUGGGACUCAAGUUCGGCUCCGAGGCGUACCUCACAUUCGACAUCCCCAUGGAAGCCAGCUGCGUGGUGGUCCUGUCGGCGGCGGCGGCGAGGCGGCUGAGCCAGAGGUUCUCGCCCUUCACGUAAUCCUCGUGGUCGACGGCGUCGUUCUUCCGCAGCUUCCUCUCAUCCUCCAGGGCUUUGGUCAGGGCCUCCUCCCGAGUUUUGGCCUCCGAAAGCGUCCCCUCAAGACUCUCCAGCUUCAGCUUCAGGUCUUUGACGGAGUCGUUGGCCUUGGAGAGCUGCUCAGCCUUGCCGAGGACUGCGGCCUGCGCCUCAACCAGAGCGCCAUUGAGCGUGUCCUUCUCCUUGGACAGCUUCAGGACCUGGUCCUUCAGCCCAUCCCGCUCCACCUCCAGCUCCUUCACCUUGCCGGCCUGGACCUGGGCCUGAGCAUUGAGUGCCUCCUUGUGCCUCUGCUCUAGCUCCUGGGUCCGCUGCACGACAAGCUUCUCCACCUCCUCGUCCUUACCAUGGAGUGUCGCAGCGAGCUUCUCCUCGCGAGCGGCAAGGUCCUCCUCCUGGGAGUUCAGCACGGCCUGGUGCUGGUGCCGCGUGGCCUUGUCCUGGGCGGCCUGCUGUUUUGCCAUUUCCUGGGCCUUCUCGAUGUCGGUCUGCUUCAUGACAAGCUCCAGCUUGCGCUCAGCCAGCACAUCCUGGGCGGCCUUCAAGUCCUUGUGGGCCUGCGGAGCCACGCCUGCGCCUCGGUGACACACUCCUCGAGGUCCGCCUCUGCCUUGUCCACCACCGCCAUCCUGGACUUUGCCUUGUCCAGGCGGGCGCGGUGAAGCACCUGGAGCUUCUGGAAGUUGGCGCUCAUGGCCUGGAGGAGCCGCUCUGUCACGACCGAUUUUUCAAUAAAAUAAUUAUUGAGAAACCAAUCCCUGUUACGGACCAGCGAGGAAGAAUUCCUUCUCACUGAUAGACAAUACAUUGGUCACAGAAGAAAAAUACCAGGAGUACUAAAUAUAAUACAAGGUUGAGCAGAGACUGCCCAACAAUUUAUUACAUGCACGUCGAUAAAACAAUACGGCGGUUAGGGUGGCAAACUACUAGCUCACGAUAAAAACGGUGGUGGAAAUGUCAUCGCGAGGCGAGUGACAUGAUUCCAGAAUACUACAACUCUUCGAGCGUCGGAGUGAGGCUCGAGAAGAAUUAUUACGGGUGGCGGAAGCGUAAACGAUACACGUGACCAAUAUCCAGGAUCGCGCAGGACUGACUGGGACUCCUCUAGGCGUCGGACGCGCUAUCAAACUCUUCAUCCAAGAGAUCGCCUUCGUCAACAUCUGGCCAAAUCAACAAGCCAGGUGAGUACUAUGAAAGUACUCGCAAGACAGUUCGGACAUAAGGUAUAACAAAUGCAAAUAUGAAGCACAUGAAUAAGUUAACCAGUGCGAUCAGACACAGAGAUAAUAAAUACUGGGUGCCAAGCGAGGGUCUGAAUGACGCCUCGAGCGGAAACUGCAGAAUAGUAAUGCUGGUGCCAAACGAGUGUCUGAAAGACUCCUCGAGAGGAAAAUGCGGAAUAAUAAUACAGGUGCCAAACGAGUGUCUGAAAGACUCCUCGAGAGGAAAAUGCGGAAUAAUAAUACAGGUGCCAAACGAGUGUCUGAAAGACUCCUCGAGAGGAAAAUGCGGAAUAAUAAUACAGGUGCCAAACGAGUGUAUGAAAGACUCCUCGAGAGGAAAAUGCGGAAUAAUAAUACAGGUGCCAAACGAGUGUCUGAAAGACUCCUCGAGCGGAAAAUGCAGAAUAAUAAUGCCACAGUCGGGCGUCGGGGCGACACCACAUAAAGGGCUUAUAACCGAAAGUAAAGACAGUGCAUGCCGCAGUCGGACGUCUGAGCGACAUCACAUAAAGGGCUUAUAUCGAAAGUGAGAAACGAGUACACGCCACAGUCGGACGUCUGCGCGACGUCACAUAAAGGGCUUAUGUCACAACUCAUUAAUGCAAUAGCUCGGAGACAUAAAUUAUCACAAGCAUGAGACACAAAAUAAAGUUAGUCCAUCAACUGGAAUAACAAUAAAUCUGAGAUUUUACCGCUUGAGCUUGUUCACCGGGGGCAAGAUUUUCACACAGAUAGAUUUGGACGUAAAGUCUACAUUACUGAUCAUGGAUACGAUGAUUUGGAAGGAAUUGACUCUGCAGAGUUUGUACUUAACCACAGCCAACGGAUUUCAGUAGUCACGGGGACUAGUUCCAUCUACGGUGUUCUGGAAGGAACACGUCUAACCAGUACACACCCAAUUUAACCAUCCGAAGCCAGGGACCACCCUCGGCAACAUUCAGGAAAAACCCUGAGUCGAGGAGGCUACAACCUCGCGUAGCAUGGGAACAAAUUUCUAUACGCGCGCUAUAAGGGGGUGCCCCCCCUCUCGGUCCCAACCGGAAACACCCAUGCCCCCUGACCGAAUGACUGGCUUUAAUCCUGGGCCAAGGUACCAUCAUCCCGGCCUCUCUAUUUGGUGUGUACACGGAAAGAGGUUACCAACUUACUAAACCGUAUCCUGGCAAUGAGACAUGUGGUAGCACGGAAAGGGGAAGGGACGAUAACACGGCUCCAACCAUGUUAACGUCGGAAAGGUCGGAUGACACAAGGCUGGCAUGCUACAACAGUACCACCUUGCUGCCCUUCAUGUCACCACAUGAUUAGGCCACCUCUCAUCAGAGGUCAUCGCAACUUUGGAACAUGCGGGAAAAGAUCGAUAACGUGGCUCCAACCACGUUAACGUCGAAGAGAGUCGGAUGACGCAAGGCUGGCAUGCUACAACAGUACCACCUUGCUGCCCUUCAUGUCACCACAUGAUUAGGCCACCUCUCAUCAGAGGUCAUCGCAACUUUGGAACAACUGGGUCGUUGCCUUACAAGCAACGAGAUAUUUAUCGACACUCACAUGCCACGCACAAACUUUCACAUGAACAUGCAAAACAUUUGCCAUAUCAAAUGUUCAAACAUGCUUGCCUGGUUCGGAGAAGUCGGAGUCUAGCUCGACGAAGUUCGCGGCUCCGUCCCCUCUCCCGGAACCUACGGCAAUCACGAAACGGGGUACUAACGUGAAAACCAACACAUGCACAGAAACUUUGCCAAAUAUUUUUCAAAUAAAUCCCAUAAAAGCCUAGACAAAAUUUGGAGAUUGACAGAAAAAGAAUCACUCAAAAAUACCUUUUCAUUAAAAAGUUAUAAAGGUUUCUGUCCAGGGACCUUUCUGUAAUGAAACAGAAAAGUUCCAGGGUUUUAACUGAGAAGACAGAAAACGCUUCGGCUGGGAAUGCGCAAGUGCAAGGAGAAAACGUAUUUUGCCCGAAGGCGCCAACAGAAAACGGUUCGGGGAAAUAAAACAGAGGCUGACACGCGGGGCCCGCAUGUCAGGUUUGAAAGUUCGCCGGCGUCGAACCACGGCGAGUUAGGAGAAACGGAGGGUACCAAGAGCUUCAGCGUCUUCUUCCGCGUCGGUGGGUGGUGGACUCGUUCAAAGGGGAGCACCACGUCGACGGCGACACUAUCUCCGGCGGACGGCGGUUCGGGUGAGGUUGGGGAACUCCGGUGGAGGGCUGCAAAGUACGAAUUGGGGCGCGGGUCAGAACGGGUGAUGCAAGGAGAAGCUACUGGCAAGAGAAUGGGGGCUGCGGAGCACACACGGGGGCGAAUCGGGCUGGAUCCCGUGGCGGAUCGCGGCGGCCGGAGUCGAAGAAGGAGACCCCCUCGCGGCUCUUCCAGUGGCUGGGCGUGCUCUAGGGGAAGUGUAGGGCUGGUGGGUGCUCGAGUUGAAGCUCGGGGCCCCUAUUUAUAGGCAGAUCGACGGGGUGGCCGUGAACGGAGAAUCUCCGGCGAGCGAUUACGGCGGAGCAGUGGGUUGGCAGAGGGUUAGAGCGGUCGAGCAGCAUCAGUGGGUGUUACGGGACUCGUUUUGCAGCUAAACGGAGCUGGCCCUGGCGUAAUGGCGUCUGCCCACGGUGAGGUGACCGCACGGGCUCAACGGCGGCAGAGAGCGCGCUCCGCGCCCUGGGGUUCACGACGAGAGCGGCAGCGCAUUCGGGGGAGUGGACAGCCACGCGGCGGGCUCCGGUGGUUUGGGCGGCGCUGGGUGGAGUCGGCGGCGCCGUGUCUCCCGCUGGCGUCCGCAAAGCCGCCGCCGGCGUCGGUCACGGGGCGGCGCACCUUCUGCUGCUCGUCGCCGACGCCCGCAAGAUGCCAGGCACUCGUGCGGUGCAGGAACAAGUGGGCGAGGACGAGGAGCAAGGCGACGCGAGGGUACUGGCGAGAUCGAUGCCCGUUUCUAAAGAAAACGACAGCAGCCACUUGACUGAACUCUGAACUUACUGAAUCUUGACAGUGACCAAGCAUUGCAGGUGUUCGACAGUAGGUUUUGGUAAAGAGAUAAAUUUUUCUGGAGCUGUAACUUGGUGAGAUGAUCACUCAAAGCACCCAGGGGCUGCAUGAAUUUAUUUGGAAUUUUUGGAGAAAGUUUUGAAUGAAUUUCACCAAAUUUGGCAAAUCUGGUCCAAACUUGCAGCUGAUGUAGUUUGAAAUUUUUGAACUGGAGACCAGUGGAUCUUCAUGGUUCUAGGUUGAGGGUUCAAAGGACUAGGAGGGGAAAGAAGUUUGGUGGCAAAAAUCAAAACAGAAAAAGGAGUUCCUUUGUAAAUCUCCAAGUGCUAUAAGAGAAGACAGAAAUUUAUUUAAAUAGAAUUUGAAUGGAAAUGAUCACAUGAGGAGGUUCAACUUGCUGGAUUUGAUGCAAAUCAUGAUCCAAAGGUGAGGGAAGGGUUAGGAGAGAGGAUUUGCACUAAUGCCAUGGCAAGAAGGAAUAGUUGAAAGUGGCAAAGGACUUUCCAAAAGCCAUAGUGCAAAUUCAAGAAAAGGUUUUCAAAAGUUAUUCUCUCAAAUGAAAAACAUUUUGACUUGAGCCCAAAUGAAGAGCAAGAACUCCCCAGGUCAAAGGCAGAUCUUGGGUGAAUUCAAAUAAAAUUUUUGCCAUAAAAAAAUAUUUGAGAGUGAGAGUUCUCUUGAAGAAACUUUUUAAAUCACUCCCUUCAAGUCAAAUAAAAAUCUUUUUUGAAAAAACCAAAUAAAAACUUGGGUGCCACAACACCUACCCCCUUAGGAAAAAUCUCGUCCUCGAGAUUUCUGCUGAUCCUCAAAUAGAUAUGGAUACUCUGCUCGGAGGAAAUCUUCCCUUUCCCAUGUGGCUUCAUCCUCAGCGUGGUUGCUCCACUGGACCCUGAAAAACUUUGUCGUUUUCUGACGGGUCCUCCGUUCAGACCCUUCUAAAAUCUUUACUGGCCUUUCUCUGUAGGUGAGAUCUGGUUGCAUAUCAAUGUCCUCAUGAGGUACAUGUUUCUCCGGGUUACUCACACAUUUCCUCAACUGCGAGACGUGGAAUACGUCAUGGACGUCUGAUAGCUCCUUGGGCAGGUCUAGUUGGUAGGCUACCGUGCCUCUUCGUGCCUUCACACAAAAUGGUCCAAUAAAUCUUGGGGCUAGCUUCCCCUUAAUUUUGAACCGUUGCAGACCCCUCAUAGGAGAUACUCGGAGGUAUACGGAAUCACCAGGUUCAAAGCUGACCUCACGAUGCUUCUGAUCAUAGUAGCUCUUUUGUCGGUUCUGUGCUGUCUUGAGUCUGUCCCUGAUUUGUUUAACUUUUUCCUCGGCCUCCUUAAGCAUAUCUGGGCCGAAGAUACGGCUGUCACCUGUUUCUGACCAAUUCAAUGGGGUACGACACCUCCGUCCGUACAAUGCUUCAAAGGGUGCCAUUUGCAAGCAGGCUUGGUAACUGUUGUUGUACGCAAAUUCGGCAUACGGCAAACUCUCUUCCCAACUGGAUCCAUAGGUGAGCACACAGGCUCUUAGCAUAUCCUCUAGGAUUUGGUUUACACGUUCUGUUUGUCCAUCUGUCUGAGGGUGGUAUGCUGUACUGAAAGCUAGUUGCGUGCCCAGAGCUUGUUGUAGGUGAUCCCAAAAUUUGGAGACGAAUUGGGUGCCUCGGUCUGAUAUUAUAGUCUUUGGGACUCCGUGCAAGCAAACUAUACGAGAGAGAUAGAGUUUUGCCAGUCUUUGUGUGGAGUAGGUAGUCUUCACGGGAAUGAAGUGAGCAACCUUGGUUAGUCGGUCUGUGAUGACCCAGAUGGCGUCAUUUCCACGCUGUGAUCGGGGUAAUCCGACAAUGAAGUCCAUUCCGAUUUCAUCCCAUUUCCACUCCGGUAUCCUGUUAGGCUGGAGUAGUCCUGCUGGCUUUUGGUGCUCGGCCUUGAUGCGCUGACAUGAAUCGCAACAAGCAACGAAUGUGGCUAUAUCUCUUUUCAUACCGUGCCACCAAAAUCUUUCCUGAAUGUCCUUGUACAUUUUGGUUCCUCCAGGAUGUAUCGAGUAUGGAGCGGUGUGGCUCUCCGUCAAGAUCUGUUGCUUGAGUUCCUCAAUGUUAGGUACGCAAAGUCUGUCCCGGUACCAUAAUGUUCCUUCACUGUCCGUGACGAAUUCUGAAGUCUUACUACGGUUCAUUUCCUUCUUUAUGCCUUCGAUACUGGGAUGUCCCUGUUGAGCCUUCUUGAUUUGUUCCACUAGGGUGGGUUGUAUCUCCAGGUUCGAUAUGGUGCCCUCAGAGACUAACAUCAUGUUGAGCCGAGUGAACUCUCGCUGAAACUCAGGCCUCAAGUUCUGCUGACCGUCACUGUCCGGGCUGGGGUUUCGGCUAAGGGCAUCGGCCACUACAUUUGCUUUUCCUGGGUGGUAGUGGAUGCCGAUGUCAUAGUCUUUGACCAGUUCCAACCAGCGUCGUUGGCGUAAAUUCAGCUCUGGCUGUGUGAAGAUAUAUUUGAGGCUCUUAUGGUCCGUAUAUAUUUCACAGCGAUUUCCCAACAGAAAGUGCCUCCACUCCUUGAGUUCAUGUAUAACUGCUGCUAGUUCCAAGUCAUGUGUUGGGUAAUUUUCCUCAUGUUUUCGCAGCUGUCUGGAGGCAUAUGCGACAACCUUGCCCUCCUGCAUUAGCACACAUCCGAGACCUUUUCGGGACGCGUCACAAUACACCUCAAAGCUCUUGUGUAUGUCUGGUACGGUUAAGACUGGCGCGGUUGUUAGCUUCUUCUUGAGUUCUUGGAAGCUCUGCUCACAUGCUUCCGUCCAUACCAAUUUCUUGUCCUUCUUGAGUAACUGUGUUAUAGGUUUUGCCACAGUGGAGAAUCCUUCAAUAAACCUCCUGUAAUACCCGGCCAUUCCUAGGAAACUCCGCACAUCUGUAACAUUCGCGGGCGGCUUCCAGUCCAGUAUGGCCUUGACUUUUUCUGGGUCUACGGCCACGCCUUCUUGGUUCAAAACAUGGCCCAAGAAACCAACUUGUCUUAGCCAAAAUUCGCAUUUGCUAAACUUGGCGUACAACUGAUGUUUCCUCAAUUCUCCCAAAACCAUUCUGAGGUGCUCAGUAUGCUCUUCUGGUGUCCUUGAGUAAACCAGAAUGUCGUCAAUGAAUACCACCACAAAUUUGUCCAUGAAUUUCAUGAAUACUUUGUUCAUGAGGUGGACGAAAUAUGCGGGGGCGUUCGUUAGUCCAAAAGGCAUCACUGUGAACUCGUACAACCCAUAUCUGGAAGUGAAUGCUGUCUUGGGGAUAUCCUCUGUUCGUACUUUCAGUUGAUGGUAUCCUGAUCUCAAAUCAAUCUUUGAAAAUACUUUAGCUUGUGCGAGCUGGUCAAACAAAUCAUUUAUCUGUGGUGUCGGGUAUUUGUUUUUGAUGGUGACCAUAUUGAGGGCUCGAUAGUCUAUGCAUAGUCUCAGUGUCCCAUCCUUCUUCUUGGCGAACAAUACGGGCGAACCCCAUGGUGAGGAGCUAGCUCGUAUAAACCCCUUGACCAGUAAUUCCUAAAAUGACAUCCAGUCCUUUACUUUCCAACAUGAUGAGAUUCGCGUGGAAUGGUAGUCCUUCGAACUCAAUGACCACUCCUUGGCAGUAACCCUGAGCAAUUUGCUUAUUUCCGGGGGACUUGAUGAUCAUAGAUUUUUCCAAGGGGAGUAUCGGAAAACCAUGUUGCGAAACAAAACUCUUCGAAACGAACAAAUGGGAAGCUCCAGAAUCAAACAAAACCGUGGCAGGUACUGUGUUGACAGGGAACGUACCGAGCACGAUGUCUAGGGCAUUCUGCGCUUCUUCCCUGGUCACAUGGUUCAAGUGACCCUUCCUGUGGUUGUUGCUGGGAUUGAAGUUGUUGCGCUUGGGGGCUGGAUUGUUUCCACCAUUGUUCGGCUUGGGUGUUGAGUCUCUUGGCUUCGGGCACUGUUUAGCAUAAUGCCCUUGUUGACCACAGGCAUAGCAGGUGACCCCUGGACGGUAUGUGAACUCCUUGUCUCUGGCAUGAAAUUGUCCGACGGGUCUUGGCUCAGUAGUCGUGGAUCUCCUCGUGUCUGUCCUUGGGACCUCAGUCUUGCCUCGGUUGCUGUGGGCAAGAGUGGUCUUGUCCCUCUUCCGCUUGCGGAUAUCUUCCAGACUACGGCGCUCAUUCUCCAGGGUGAUGGCCUUGUCCACCAGCGUCUUAAAAUCCGGAAAGGUGUGUACAAUCAGUUGGCAUCUUAAUGCUGGUGUCAGGCCGUCCAGGAAUUUUUCCAUCUUCUUGUUUUCUGUCAUGUGCUCGUCGUAGGCAUAACGAGACAGUUGGGUAAACUGGCCGUUGUAUUCUGUGACGGUCAUGCCUCUUUGCUUCAGGUCAUCAAACUCUCUCUUCUUGAUCUUUAGGAUGCUCCUGGGAAUGUGUGCCCCACGGAAGCCUUCCUUGAAUUCUUCCCAGGUGAUGUUGUGUUCCCUGGGGUGCAUGUGUAGGAAGUUUUCCCACCAUGCGGCGGCUGCUCCAGUAAGGUAGUGUGGUGCAUAAAGCACCUUCUCAUGAUCUAAGCAUUGAGCGAUAAUCAGUUUCCUUUCAAUCUCGCGAAGCCAAUCAUCGGCUUCCAGUGGCCUGUCGGUAUGAGCAAAAGUUGAGGGGCGAGUCUUCUGUAACUCAGAUAACUUGGAAUGUGGUUGAUAGGGUUCACGGUGGUUUCCCAUAUUGAUGACAUGGUUCAUCAUCUCCUGGUGUUGUUGCUGGCUUUGCUCGAAGAGACGGCAUACUUGAGAUAGUGCCGCUUCGCUGUCCUGUUGGCUGGACUGACCCUGAGUGAAAUUGUUGCUGGUCUGUGUUCCGUAAACCUCUUCUGGCUGAUUGGGCAUAGAGCGAGUCCAAGGGCGAGACAUUUUUCCAGUCUGGGGUAUCAUUUGCAAAACCCAUGAGAAAAACUGUGUAGCGCAGGAAAACCCUUGCAAAGGCAAUAAUCCAAAAAGGCUUCAAGGUUUUCAAGAAACACAAAUGAUUUUCACGGAGAAGAAGUGCUUAACACAAAUCUUACAUGCGAAAGCAAACACAAGAUACAGCACUCAGGUUGUGCGUACACAAUCCUGACAUGUUAUUAAAAACUAGCGUACUACUCCGGAAGGCAGCAAACACACCAAUACAAACUAGCGUACAGAUAAAAAAACAACACAUCAUACAAGCAGGCAUAACACGCGGCUACUCGGUGCUCUCAGUCGGAGAUGGUGAAGAUCUCCUUCCCCUUGCCGAGGGCAAGGCUCAGCGGUCCAGGAGAAUCAACCUCCUCCUCUCUAGCUGGUUCCUGGCGUGCGACGCUGCGCUGCGGUGAUGGUGCGGGGGCGACUGGCGGUAGAGCGCGUGCGGCAGGCGGUGCGGCUCUGACUGGAGUAGGAGCGAUGACUCGGUCGAACUCCUCAGUGGUAGGCAGACGGCGAGCAGUGGCCAAAACGGCCGGUGCAUACGAGGCUGAAGACGAGACGAAUGUCAGAGGCGGCGCCGUGUGGAGAAGCUCCUUCCUGCUGGCAGGACCGCCCCGGACUAAGUCCAUGCGGGCAGCCACAAGAUCAUCUACGAGGUUGUCGAAAGACUCCUCCAGAGCCUUGAGAUACUCCACAACCAUCUCGAUGGUUUCAUCUCGCUCUCCCCGAUGGCAGGCGAACGCAUAGUGGCUGGUGUAAGGCACAUGGCAUGGGAGGUAGCGGUAGCGACGAGUCUUCAUCGUAGGUAGGAUGUCCCGAAGGCGAGCUAUCGCCUCACGGGCAGCCAUCUGCAUGGCAUGCCUCUCCGUAGGCAUGGCCCUUCCCGUAAAACGGAAAUGGCGAGCAGCAGAUCGUCCUCCCCUGAAUUGCACCACAGCCUGGUGCAUAGACACGUCGUCACUGAGCUUGUGCUGAUAGAGUGUGAACUCCGGGCGAGCUGCUGGCCCGAUCGCGAGCUUGGUGAUGGAGACGAGGAGCUUGACAAACCCCUCGGGCACGUUGGUGAACACUCGAUUCUCACAGCUGCUGCCAGCCAUCUACAAAAGUAGGCAAACAUUCUGAGUAGUCAUGUCAUAAAUUUUAUGAUGACCAACAGAAAAUAGCUACAAUUGCAAAAUGCUGAAGAAGCACUAAAGACGCUAAUAACCGAUUAGCGAUCGCACCUAGUGGCUUCCUACAGUCAGCCUGGCUCUGAUACCAAGCUUGUCACGACCGAUUUUUCAAUAAAAUAAUUAUUGAGAAACCAAUCCCUGUUACGGACCAGCGAGGAAGAAUUCCUUCUCACUGAUAGACAAUACAUUGGUCACAGAAGAAAAAUACCAGGAGUACUAAAUAUAAUACAAGGUUGAGCAGAGACUGCCCAACAAUUUAUUACAUGCACGCCGAUAAAACAAUACGGCGGUUAGGGUGGCAAACUACUAGCUCACGAUAAAAACGGUGGUGGAAAUGUCAUCGCGAGGCGAGUGACAUGAUUCCAGAAUACUACAACUCUUCGAGCGUCGGAGUGAGGCUCGAGAAGACUUAUUACGGGUGGCGGAAGCGUAAACGAUACAAGUGACCAAUAUCCGGGAUCGCGCAGGACUGACUGGGACUCCUCUAGGCGUCGGACGCGCUAUCAAACUCUUCAUCCAAGAGAUCGCCUUCGUCAACAUCUGGCCAAAUCAACAAGCCAGGUGAGUACUAUGAAAGUACUCGCAAGACAGUUCGGACAUAAGGUAUAACAAAUGCAAAUAUGAAGCACAUGAAUAAGUUAACCAGUGCGAUCAGACACAGAGAUAAUAAAUACUGGGUGCCAAGCGAGGGUCUGAAUGACGCCUCGAGCGGAAACUGCAGAAUAGUAAUGCUGGUGCCAAACGAGUGUCUGAAAGACUCCUCGAGAGGAAAAUGCGGAAUAAUAAUACAGGUGCCAAACGAGUGUCUGAAAGACUCCUCGAGAGGAAAAUGCGGAAUAAUAAUACAGGUGCCAAACGAGUGUCUGAAAGACUCCUCGAGAGGAAAAUGCGGAAUAAUAAUACAGGUGCCAAACGAGUGUCUGAAAGACUCCUCGAGAGGAAAAUGCGGAAUAAUAAUAAAGGUGCCAAACGAGUGUCUGGAAGACUCCUCGAGAGGAAAAUGCGGAAUAAUAAUACAGGUGCCAAACGAGUGUCUGAAAGACUCCUCGAGCGGAAAAUGCAGAAUAAUAAUGCCACAGUCGGGCGUCGGGGCGACACCACAUAAAGGGCUUAUAACCGAAAGUAAAGACAGUGCAUGCCGCAGUCGGACGUCUGAGCGACAUCACAUAAAGGGCUUAUAUCGAAAGUGAGAAACGAGUACACGCCACAGUCGGACGUCUGCGCGACGUCACAUAAAGGGCUUAUGUCACAACUCAUUAAUGCAAUAGCUCGGAGACAAAAAUUAUCACAAGCAUGAGACACAAAAUAAAGUUAGUCCAUCAACUGGAAUAACAAUAAAUCUGAGAUUUUACCGCUUGAGCUUGUUCACCGGGGGCAAGAUUUUCACACGGAUAGAUUUGGACGUAAAUUCUACAUUACUGAUCAUGGAUACGAUGAUUUGGAAGGAAUUGACUCUCCAGAGUUUGUACUUAACCACAGCCAACGGAUUUCAGUAGUCACGGGGACUAGUUCCGUCUACGGUGUUCUGGAAGGAACACGUCUAACCAGUACACACCCAAUUUAACCAUCCGAAGCCAGGGAUCACCCUCGGCAACAUUCAGGAAAAACCCUGAGUCGGGGAGGCUACAACCUCGCGUAGCAUGGGAACAAAUUUCUAUACGCGCGCUAUAAGGGGGUGCCCCCCCUCUCGGUCCCAACCGGAAACACCCAUGCCCCCUGACCGAAUGACUGGCUUUAAUCCUGGGCCAAGGUACCAUCAUCCCGGCCUCUCUAUUUGGUGUGUACACGGAAAGAGGUUACCAACUUACUAAACCGUAUCCUGGCAAUGAGACAUGUGGUAGCACGGAAAGGGGAAGGGACGAUAACACGGCUCCAACCAUGUUAACGUUGGAAAGGUCGGAUGACACAAGGCUGGCAUGCUACAACAGUACCACCUUGCUGCCCUUCAUGUCACCACAUGAUUAGGCCACCUCUCAUCAGAGGUCAUCGCAACUUUGGAACAUGCGGGAAAAGAUCGAUAACGUGGCUCCAACCACGUUAACGUCGAAGAGAGUCGGAUGACGCAAGGCUGGCAUGCUACAACAGUACCACCUUGCUGCCCUUCAUGUCACCACAUGAUUAGGCCACCUCUCAUCAGAGGUCAUCGCAACUUUGGAACAACUGGGUCGUUGCCUUACAAGCAACGAGAUAUUUAUCGACACUCACAUGCCACGCACAAACUUUCACAUGAACAUGCAAAACAUUUGCCAUAUCAAAUGUUCAAACAUGCUUGCCUGGUUCGGAGAAGUCGGAGUCUAGCUCGACGAAGUUCGCGGCUCCGUCCCCUCUCCCGGAACCUACGGCAAUCACGAAACGGGGUACUAACGUGAAAACCAACACAUGCACAGAAACUUUGCCAAAUAUUUUUCAAAUAAAUCCCAUGAAAGCCUAGACAAAAUUUGGAGAUUGACAGAAAAAGAAUCACUCAAAAAUACCUUUUCAUUAAAAAGUUAUAAAGGUUUCUGUCCAGGGACCUUUCUGUAAUGAAACAGAAAAGUUCCAGGGUUUUAACUGAGAAGACAAAAAACGCUUCGGCUGGGAAUGCGCAAGUGCAAGGAGAAAACGUAUUUUGCCCGAAGGCGCCAACAGAAAACGGUUCGGGGAAAUAAAACAGAGGCUGACACGCGGGGCCCGCAUGUCAGGUUUGAAAGUUCGCCGGCGUCGAACCACGGCGAGUUAGGAGAAACGGAGGGUACCAAGAGCUUCAGCGUCUUCUUCCGCGUCGGUGGGUGGUGGACUCGUUCAAAGGGGAGCACCACGUCGACGGCGACACUAUCUCCGGCGGACGGCGGUUCGGGUGAGGUUGGGGAACUCCGGUGGAGGGCUGCAAAGUACGAAUUGGGGCGCGGGUCAGAACGGGUGAUGCAAGGAGAAGCUACUGGCAAGAGAAUGGGGGCUGCGGAGCACACACGGGGGCGAAUCGGGCUGGAUCCCAUGGCGGAUCGCGGCGGCCGGAGUCGAAGAAGGAGACCCCCUCGCGGCUCUUCCAGUGGCUGGGCGUGCUCUAGGGGAAGUGUAGGGCUGGUGGGUGCUCGAGUUGAAGCUCGGGGCCCCUAUUUAUAGGCAGAUCGACGGGGUGGCCGUGAACGGAGAAUCUCCGGCGAGCGAUUACGGCGGAGCAGUGGGUUGGCAGAGGGUUAGAGCGGUCGGGCAGCAUCAGUGGGUGUUACGGGACUCGUUUUGCAGCUAAACGGAGCUGGCCCUGGCGUAAUGGCGUCUGCCCACGGUGAGGUGACCGCACGGGCUCAACGGCGGCAGAGAGCGCGCUCCGCGCCCUGGGGUUCACGACGAGAGCGGCAGCGCAUUCGGGGGAGUGGACGGCCACGCGGCGGGCUCCGGUGGUUUGGGCGGCGCUGGGUGGAGUCGGCGGCGCCGUGUCUCCCGCUGGCGUCCGCAAAGCCGCCGCCGGCGUCGGUCACGGGGCGGCGCACCUUCUGCUGCUCGUCGCCGAUGCCCGCAAGAUGCCAGGCACUCGUGCGGUGCAGGAACAAGUGGGCGAGGACGAGGAGCAAGGCGACGCGAGGGUACUGGCGAGAUCGACGCCCGUUUCUGAAGAAAACGACAGCAGCCACUUGACUGAACUCUGAACUUACUGAAUCUUGACAGUGACCAAGCAUUGCAGGUGUUCGACAGUAGGUUUUGGUAAAGAGAUAAAUUUUUCUGGAGCUGUAACUUGGUGAGAUGAUCACUCAAAGCACCCAGGGGCUGCAUGAAUUUAUUUGGAAUUUUUGGAGAAAGUUUUGAAUGAAUUUCACCAAAUUUGGCAAAUCUGGUCCAAACUUGCAGCUGAUGUAGUUUGAAAUUUUUGAACUGGAGACCAGUGGAUCUUCAUGGUUCUAGGUUGAGGGUUCAAAGGACUAGGAGGGAAAAGAAGUUUGGUGGCAAAAAUCAAAACAGAAAAAGGAGUUCCUUUGUAAAUCUCCAAGUGCUAUAAGAGAAGAUAGAAAUUUAUUUAAAUAGAAUUUAAAUGGAAAUGAUCACAUGAGGAGGUUCAUGCUGGAUUUGAUGCAAAUCAUGAUCCAAAGGUGAGGGAAGGGUUAGGAGAGAGGAUUUGCACUAAUGCCAUGGCAAGAAGGAAUAGUUGAAAGUGGCAAAGGACUUUCCAAAAGCCAUAGUGCAAAUUCAAGAAAAGGUUUUCAAAAGUUAUUCUCUCAAAUGAAAAACAUUUUGACUUGAGCCCAAAUGAAGAGCAAGAACUCCCUAGGUCAAAGGCAGAUCUUGGGUGAAUUCAAAUAAAAUUUUUGCCAUAAAAAAAAUAUUUGAGAGUGAGAGUUCUCUUGAAGAAACUUUUUAAAUCACUCCCUUCAAGUCAAAUAAAAAUCUUUUUUGAAAAAACCAAAUAAAAACUUGGGUGCCACACGCUCUUCCUGGGAGCCGCCGCCACCGGCGCCCGGUUCAUCAACAACCUCAAGCCCGGCGGCGGCGAGCACCUCAUUGUCAAACACCUCCCCCUCGGUGGGCGCCCCGGUGCUUGCCGUCCCUGGGAGGUGGACGAACAGGUCGUCGCUCACCUUCAGGUACCUGCCCGAGCCAGAGGCAGCGGAGGAGGAAGGUUGGUCGUCGACCACCCCCUCCCCGACAGCGGCCUUGCUAGCCUCCCCGGCAGGCUCUUUGCCGGCCUCCUCGGCAGCGGCCUUGCCGGCCUCCUCGACCGACUCCUUGGCGGCCUCUUCGGCGGCGAUCUUGUUGGCCUCGGCCUCAGCGUCCCUGGCGACCUCCCCGAUGACAGUAUCGAUGUCCUCCUGGUCCGCCGAGGGAGCGCCUAGAUCCCAAGAAGGAGGAUGAGGAAAAGCCAAGACCAAGGUUCAAAAAAAAGGAACGAACAGGGAUAGAAGGCAAAUAACUCACCCGUGCCGAGCUCAGAAGAAGUGGCCCCCUCCCCGCCAAGAUUCGGUGCCGGUACGGAGCCGCCGGCGCCCGGGUUCGCCUCUCUGUGUGCAUGGGCUCGGUGCUUGGCGCCCUUGUCGGGGACGCCCCUCGGGGUGGCAUGGUCGAUGGGGGCGGCGUGUUGGGGUGGCCCUCAGUGGCUCCUCCUGCUGCCUUCCUCCUCCUGCAACCACGGCAAGGUCCGCGUCAAGAGAUCAUACCCCAACGCACGUCGAUAGGGAGUGAGUGGUGAACGCACGCUGGGGGCUGCUGUCCGGGCUGCUCUCCACCACCAGUGGCAUACUCGAGGUGCCUGCCGGGGGCUGGCCACCCGACGAGGCCCUGGCUCUCUUCGCCACCCUCUGGGCCAGCGUCUCCACGUCUCUGCAAAAAUAAAAAACGAGUCAAGAAAAGCGGCGUGAUCUGAGGGGACAGAGAUGACAGAAGACAGAAUGCUUACUCGUCCUCCACCUCCUCUUCCGCUGCCUUCCUCUUCCUCCUGGGGCUCAGAGACCCAAGGUCGAAGACGACCUCCGUGUCGACAUCUGUGGGAGGAGGGGAAGGAGAUGGGGUCCGGCGACGCUUGGACGAAGAGGAGGCAGUCGCCUUCUUCUUCGCCACCAUGGCCUUCACCAUCUUCCUCGCUGCCACGACCCUCGUCUGGCGCACGGACUCACCCUGGACCUCCUACCAUUGCACAGUCCUGCCGGGCCAGACCGGCUCGCCGGAGCUGGCCCGCCGCAGGGUGCGUCUCUUCCCCAUGGGCGGAGGAUCGUCGCCCUCGGCCUCCUUCUCGGUUGACUCCUCGGCCACGUCCUCAAUGGGGGGGACCCCAGUGUCAGCGUUGCUAGCCUCCCCAGCAGGCUCCGCCCACUGGGCGAGCUCCCUGUCCUCCGCAGCCGCGUCGUCCUCAUCCUCCACGGCGCCAGCGCUGUCGGCCUCCUUCGCGAGCUCCGCCUCCGUCGCCCUGGCGGCAAUGUAGUCUAGCUCCGCUUGGGUGGUGUCCUGGAUAAGCAGCGGCUCGUCGUGGACGUAUCUCUCCGACAAGCCGUCGAAGAACUCCUGCACCCGCUCCUCCUCUGGCUCAACCCAAUUUGGGUCAAGGCCGUGCGCGUUGAAGUCCGGCAUCAUGGCAAUGAUGUUGGAUUGGCGGGAGUUGUUGCUCAGCGGGACCACUCCUGCCGGCAACCCAAACAGUGGCCCCUUGACAACCUUGCCGGCCUUCGCGGCCUUGCCGGUUCUCUCGGCCCUACCAUCGCUGAACACAUCAAGCUGGAAGAUCCUCUGGCAGAAAUGGGCAUGCCCCAUUACCGUAAAGUUGUGCUUCAGGCCGGUGCGAAGCCUCAUGAUGUCGACCGCAUUCCUGAAGAGCCAGGCUGGCCUCCCCUUGUUAUGGAGUGGAGCGAUUCGGCGGCGGAGGAAAUCGGCCCCAAUCAUCUCGAGGGUGAGCCCAGCCUUGGCGAGGCGAUGGAUUCUGGUGGUAGCAAUCGUGAGCUUCUUGUCGUCGGCGUCAUGGUCGCUCCAUUCCUCACGACGGACUGGCAGGCUCUGAUGAACCUGGCAGAACUCCUGGGGAUCCUCCUCCUCGAUCCACAGCCACCGGCCCCGCCAUUCUUCCCACCUCUCCUUCUGGGCGCCCUCCGGAUACGUGCUUUUCUCCUUGGUCCUUGGGAUCCAAGUGACACAGUCGGAGAUGGCGCCCCCUGCCUGGAUGCGGGGAUAGAAGUAGUGGCGGAAGAGCGCCGUGCUGGGGAGCACUCCGGCGAAGCCCUCACAGAGGUGGGCAAAAAGGGCCAUACACGCCACGGCAUUCGGCGUGAAAUCCAGAAGGUGGAUGUCGUAGGUGUGCAUGACGUCAUUGAAAAAGUCGGAGAAAGGGGGCUUAGGCCGCAGGAGAAAUAAUCAACGAAGAAGGGAUACCGAUUUGGGCCAGCCUCAGCAAAAUCGGCGGGGAUGAUACGCGUGGCCGGAUGCCCCGUCAUCUNNNNNNNNNNNNNNNNNNNNNNNNNNNNNNNNNNNNNNNNNNNNNNNNNNNNNNNNNNNNNNNNNNNNNNNNNNNNNNNNNNNNNNNNNNNNNNNNNNNNNNNNNNNNNNNNNNNNNNNNNNNNNNNNNNNNNNNNNNNNNNNNNNNNNNNNNNNNNNNNNNNNNNNNNNNNNNNNNNNNNNNNNNNNNNNNNNNNNNNNNNNNNNNNNNNNNNNNNNNNNNNNNNNNNNNNNNNNNNCUUCGCCCCCACAGGGGCCUGAAGUAGUCCCUGAGGUGGACCGCAUCAACCGUCGAGGGGAAGAGGGCGACCUGCGUCUGGAGCACCGCCAGCUCGCACUCCGGCAUCCCCUUCUCCCCAGCGUCCUUCGCCACUCCCUUACCUCUGCUGGACUUGGGCGCCAUAGCAACCAGAGAAGAGGUGAGGUUGAGGACGAUGAGGGCGCGGCGGCGGCGAGCGAAAGCAAGAGCUUGAGAAGGAGGGAGGAAGGGACGGCGGUUCCGAGAUUGGAGAAGGCGCAGAGGGUAAAUGAGUAGCGCGCCUGCGGUUAUUCCUUUUUAUGGGGAAGGCGCGGGCUGCCUCUUUACCAUUUACUACGACGUGACGCAUGCGUGCGGGAACCGUCCCACGCAUGACCCCCGCGUCACGCACGGCCCUCCACGUCGCGCAUUCAACGCGGGUCGUGGGGAAGCGCAACGAGCGGGGAGUUACUAAGGUAAAAAUCUGCCCCGCCUGCCCGCGCACCGUUCUGGGCCUAACCCAACAAUGCAUCGCGCUUAUGUAUGGCCCAGGCCCGGGGGCUCCUGUCGGUGUAGAAAAGUAGGGGCUCUCCUUUUGACCCCUUUACUUGUGCACGGGCAGCCAGAGCCGCGCCCGCGGCCACACUGAGCAGGCAGAAGAGGGAAGCCGGAGCACAAGGCAACCAAAGCAACACCAAGACCAGAAACACAACGAGCAAGAGGACGAGGUGGGCUCCCCCGGCGAGACCCUUGCCGAGGCAGCCCCCGCAGCCCCGGCAAGAGCCUUGCUGGGGCAACUUGCCCGACGCCAGCGAGGCGCGCCACCCUUGAGCCCAAGGGUUCCAACGCCGCCAACAACCGCAUUGGAACCAAGGCUCGAGAGGCACCUCCGUGGUGGCAUGCAGAUCUUCAUCAAGAUCAUAAAUACACAAGGUCAGAUGAGGACCAGAAGACGACAAUUCUUGACGAAGAUCCUUGCCAAGGAAAUCUACGAGACCCCCCCCCCCCCGGCAAGAUCCUUGCCGGGGACGACCGCGGUGCCACGGCAAGACCCUUGCCGGGGCCCCGGCAAGACCCUUGCCGAGGACGUCAGCGGGGCCGCGGCCAGGCCCACGUCUGCCAAGACUACACCGUCGCUCCCAUGCAGCUGCUAGCUCAACCAGCUGGGCAAGCACCUGCGUGGCAGCGUGCGGCCUCUACGCCGACUCAGCUAGCACCUGCGUGGUGGCAUGCAGAUCUUCAUGAAGACUCCGCCACCGCGCCAGCCCAGCAGCCAGCCAACAUGGCGCUACAACGCCUCGUCAGCUCAGACACGCGUCACAGCCAGGCGAGGCGGCGACAGCUGGGACGAGCUUCCUUGUCGUCCCCGAUAAAGCAAGAGGGGCACGUCGGCAGCGCAUUAAAUGUGUUUGUCCAACGGUGCCAGAGGAUAGACUCAUCCACUGUACACCUUUCCACCUCCUGUGUGCCACUGUGGCAACCCCUUUUGUCCAUAGAAGGAGGCCCGAGGCGGCCAGGAGAAGGAUUCGGAUCUCUUGGACUAGACACGCACCGUAGCUAGUUCAAGAACUCAACAACACUCAAAUACAUACACAAAAGUAGGACUAGGGUAUUACGCAUCCUCGCGGCCCAAAACUGGGUAAACAAUCUUUGUGCUAGCUCCUAGACCUGCUCUUUGCAAACCCCGCGCCCGCCAACCGUAGAAGGGAUCCCAGUGAUACCAUAGGUGUCGUUCUCACCGACAUCAACCAUCAACAUUUGAUGCUUUUCUUGAUUUCCACCUUCGUCGAUUUCAGCAUCACGAAGAGCUUGGGAAUCGUUUCCAUUAUCCCUUGCAUAUUAUAGUUCAUCACGAAGUUCUAGUAACUUGGUGAUAGUGACUAGAGAACUCUCUCAAUCACUAUCUUAUCUGGAAGAUUAACUCCCACUUGAUUCAAGUGAUUGUAGUACUCAGACAUUCUGAGCACAUGCUCACUAGCUGAGCAAUUCUCCUCCAUCUUGUAGGCAAAGUGCUUGUCAAAGGUCUCAUACCUUUCGACAUGGGCAUGAGUCUGAAAUACUAAUUUCAACUCUUGGAACAUCUCAUAUGCUCCGUGGCGUUCAAAACGUCUGUGAAGCCCCGAUUCUAAGCCGUAAAGCAUGGUGCAUUAAACUAUCAAGUAGUCAUCAUAUCGAGCUUGCCAAACGUUCAUAACGUCUACAUCUGCUCCUGCAAUCCGUCUGUCACCUAGCGGUGCAUCAAGGACAUAAUUCUUCUGUGCAGCAAUGAGGAUAAUCCUUAGAUCACGGAUCCAAUCCGCAUCAUUGCUACUAACAUCUUUCAACUUAGUUUUCUCUAGGAACAUAUCAAAAAUAAAACAGGGGAGCUAAACGCGAGCUAUUGAUCUACAACAUAGAUAUGCUAAUACUACCAGGACUAAGUUCAUGAUAAAUUUAAAGUUCAAUUAAUCAUAUUACUUAAGAACUCCCACUUAGAUAGACAUCCCUCUAGUCAUCUAAAUGAUCACGUGAUCCAAAUCAACUAAACCAUGUCCGAUCAUCACGUGAGAUGGAGUAGUUUUCAAUGGUGAACAUCACUAUGUUGAUCAUAUCUACUAUAUGAUUCACGCUCGACCUUUCGGUCUCGAGUGUUCCGAGGCCAUAUCUGCAUAUGCUAGGCUCGUCAAGUUUAACCCGAGUAUUCUGCAUGUGCAAAAUUGGCUUGCACCCGUUAUAUGUGAACGUAGAGCUUAUCACACCCGAUCAUCACGUGGUUGUUGGAAAUAUGCCCUAGAGGCAAUAAUAAAAUGGUUAUUAUUGUAUUUCCUUGUUCAUGAUAAUUGUCUGUUGUUCAUGCUAUAAUUGUAUUAACUGGAAACCAUAAUACAUGUGUGAAUACAUAGACCACAACAUGUCCCUAGUAAGCCUCUAGUUGACUAGCUCGUUGAUCAAUAGAUGGUUAUGGUUUCCUGACCAUGGACAUUGGAUGUCAUUGAUAACGGGAUCACAUCAUUAGGAGAAUGAUGUGAUGGACAAGACCCAAUCCUAAGCAUAGCACAAGAUCGUGUAGUUCGUUUGCUAGAGCUUUUCUAAUGUCAAGUAUCAUUUCCUUAGACCAUGAGAUUGUGCAACUCCCGGAUACCGUAAGAAUGCUUUGGGUGUACCAAACGUCACAACGUUACUGGGUGGCUAUAAAGGUGCACUACAGGUAUCUCCGAAAGUGUCUGUUGGGUUGGCACGAAUCGAGACUGGGAUUUGUCACUCCGUAUGACGGAGAGGUAUCUCUGGGCCCACUUGGUAAUGCAUCAUCAUAAUGAGCUCAAUGUGACUAAGGAGUUAGCCACGGGAUCAUGCGUUACGGUACGAGUAAAGUGACUUGCCGGUAAUGAGAUUGAACAAGGUAUUGGGAUACCGACGAUCGAAUCUCGGGCAAGUAACGUACCGAUUGACAAAGGGAAUUGUAUACGGGAUUGAUUGAAUCCUUGACAUCGUGGUUCAUCCGAUGAGAUCAUCGUGGAACAUGUGGGAGCCAACAUGGGUAUCCAGAUCCCGCUGUUGGUUAUUGACCGGAGAGUCGUCUCGGUCAUGUCUGCAUGUCUCCCGAACCCGUAGGGUCUACACACUUAAGGUUCGGUGACGCUAGAGUUGUAGAGAUAUUAGUAUGCGGAAAUCUGAAAGUUGUUCGGAGUCCCGGAUGAGAUCCCGGACGUCACGAGGAGUUCCGGAAUGGUCCGGAGGUAAAGAUUUAUAUAUGGGAAGUCCUAUUUUGGCCACCGGAAAAUGUUCGGGAUUUUUCGGUAUUGUACCGGGAAGGUUCUAGAAGGUUCCAAAGUGGGGCCCACCUGCAUGGGGGGACCCACAUGAACGUGGGUAGUGGGGGCAAGGCCCCACACCCCUGGUCAAGGCGCACCAAGAUCCCACCUUAGAAGGAAUAAGAUCAUAUCCCGAAGGGAUAAGAUCAAGAUCCCUAAAAAGGGGGGAUAACAAUCGGUGGGGAAGGGAAAUGAUGGGAUUUCUUUCCCCCACCUUUGCCAAUGCCCCAAUGGACUUGGAGGGCAAGAAACCAGCCCCCUCCACCCCUAUAUAUAGUGGGGAGGCGCAUGGGAGCAGCACCCCAAGCCCUGGCGCCUCCCUCCCUCCCGUGACACCUCUUCCUCCCCGCUUGCGCUUGGCGAAGCCCUGCCGGGAUCCCGCUACUUCCACCACCACGCCGUCGUGCUGCUAGAUCUCCAUCAACUUCUCCUCCCCCCUUGCUGGAUCAAGAAGGAGGAGACGUCCCCGCUCCGUACGUGUGUUGAACGCGGAGGUGCCGUCCGUUCGGCGCUAGGAUCAUCGGUGAUUUGGAUCACGACGAGUACGACUCCAUCAACCCCGUUCUCUUGAACGCUUCCGCGCGCGAUCUACAAGGGUAUGUAGAUGCACUCCCCUCUCUCUCGUUGCUAGAUGACUCCAUAGAUUGAUCUUGGUGAUACGUAGAAAAUUUUAUAUUUCUGCUACGUUCCCCAACAGUGGUGUCUCAGCACGAAGAACUGUCGCAACGGUGCAUACUCAGGGAGACCUUGAAAUUUUAGUAAGGGAUCAUCUUAUAAAGCUACCGCCGAACUAAGCAAAAUAAGAUGUAUAAAAGAUAAACAUCUCAUGCAAUUAAAAUAUAUGACAUGAUAUGGCUAUCAUCAUCUUGUGCCUUUGGUCUCCAUCUCCAAAGUACUGUCAUGAUCUUCAUCGUCACCGGCAUGACACCAUGAUCUCCAUCAUCUUGAUCUCUAUCAACGUGUCGUCACAUGGUCGUCUCGCCAACCAUUGCUUUUGCAACUAUUGCUAUCGCAUAGCAAUAAAGUAAAGCAAUUAUAUGGUGCUUGCAUCUUAUGCAAUAAAGAGACAACCAUAAGGCUACUGCCAGUUGCCGAUAACUUUAACAAAACAUGAUCAUCUCAUACAACAAUUUAUAUCUCAUCACAUCUUGACCAUAUCACAUCACAACAUGCCCUGCAAAAACAAGUUAGACGUCCUCUACUUUGUUGUUGCAAAUUUUACGUGGCUGCUACGGGCUUAGCAAGAACCGUUCUUACCUACGCAUCAAAACCACAACGAUUUUUCGUCAAGUAUGUGUUGUUUUAACCUUCAACAAGGACCGGGCGUAGCCACACUUGAUUCAACUAAAUUUGGAGAAACUGACACCCGCCAGCCACCUGUGUGCGAAGCACGUCGGUAGAACCAGUCUCGUGUAAGCGUACGCAUAAUGUCGGUCCGGGCCGCUUCAUCCAACAAUACCGCCGAAUCAAAGUAUGACAUGUUGGUAAGCAGUAUGACUAGUAUCGCCCACAACUCACUUAUGUUCUACUCGUGCAUAUAACAUCUACGCAUAAACCUGGCUCUAAUACCACUGUUGGGAAACGUUUCCUACGCACACGCAAGAUCAUGGUGAUGCAUAGCAACAAGAGGGGAGAGUGUUGUCCACGUACCCUCGUAGACCAAAAGCGGAAGCGUUAUGACAACGCGGUUGAUGUAGUCGUACGUCUUCACGAUCGACCGAUCCUAGUACCGAUUGUACGGCACCUCUGAGAUCUGCACACGUUCAGCUCGGUGACAUCCCACGAACUCACGAUCCAGUAGAGCUUCGAGGGAGAGCUUCGUCAGCACGACGGCGUGAUGACGGUGAUGAUGAAGCUACCGGUGCAGGGCUUCGCCUAAGCACUACGACGAUAUGACCGAGGUGGAUUAUGGUGGAGGGGGGCACCGCACACGGCUAAGAGAUCAAUGAUCAACUUGUGUGUCUAUGGGGUGUCCCCCUCCCCCGUAUAUAAAGGAAUGGAGGAGGGGGAGGAGGCCGGCCUCCUAGGCGCCCCCCAAGGGGAGUCCUACUCCCACCGGGAGUAGGAUUCCACCCCUUCCAUGAGUAGGAGUAGGAGAGAAGAAAGGAGGAGAGAGGGGGAAGGAAAAAGAGGGGCGCCGCCCCCCCCCCCCCCCCUUCCUAGUCCAAUUCGGACUAGGGGGAGGGGGCGUGCGGCCUGCCCUGGCCGCCCCUCCCUCUCUCCACUAAGGCCCAUGAGGCCCAUUACACUCCCGGGGGGUUCCGGUAACCCCACGGUACUCUGGUAUUCGUCCAAACUUACUCGGAACCCUUCUGAUGUCCAAACAUAGUCAUCCAAUAUAUCGAUCUUUAUGUCUCGACCAUGUCGAGACUCCUCGUCAUGUCUGUGAUCAUAUCUGGGACUCCGAACUAUCUUCUGUACAUCAAAACACAUAAACUCAUAAUACCGAUCGUCACCGAACGUUAAGCGUGCGGACCCUACGGGUUCGAGAACUAUGUAGACAUGACCGAGACACGUCUCCGGUCAAUAACCAAUAGCGGAACCUGGAUGCUCAUAUUGGCUCCCACAUAUUCUACGAAGAUCUUUAUCGGUCAAACCGCAUAACAACAUACGUUGUUCCCUUUGUCAUCGGUAUGUUACUUGCCCGAGAUUCGAUCGUCGGUAUCUCAAUACCUAGUUCAAUCUCGUUACCGGCAAGUCUCUUUACUCGUUCUGUAAUGCAUCAUCCCGCAACUAACUCAUUAAUUACAUUGCUUGCAAGGCUUAUAGUGAUGUGCAUUACCGAGAGGGCCCAGAGAUACCUCUCCGACAAUCGGAGUGACAAAUCCUAAUCUCGAUCUAUGCCAACUCAAUAAGUACCAUCGGAGACACCUGUAGAGCACCUUUAUAAUCACCCAGUUAUGUUGUGAUGUUUGGUAGCACACAAAGUGUUCCUUCGGUAUUUGGGAGUUGCAUAAUCUCAUAGUCAUAGAACAUGUAUAAGUCAUGGAGAAAGCAAUAGCAAUAUACUAAACGAUCAAAUGCUAAGCUAACGGAAUGGGUCAAGUCAAUCACAUCAUUCUCUAAUGAUGUGAUCCCAUUAAUCAAAUGACAACUCAUGUCAAUGGCUAGGAAACUUAACCAUUUUGAUUAACGAGCUAGUCAAGUAGAGGCAUACUAGUGACACUCUGUUUGUCUAUGUAUUCACACAUGUACUAAGUUUCCGGUUAAUACAAUUCUAGCAUGAAUAAUAAACAUUUAUCAUGAAUAAGGAAAUAAUAAACACUCUUUUGUUGAGCUUUCAUACAUUUAUAGCUCUAGUGCAUCCGUUGCAUGGCAAUCCCUACUCCUCGCAUUGACAUCAAUUGAUGGGCAUCUCCAUAGCCCGUUGAUUAGCCGCAUCAAUGUGAGACUGUCUCCUUUUUUUGUCUUCUCCACACAACCUCCAUCAUCAUAUUCUAUUCCACCCAUAGUGCUAUGUCCAUGGCUCGCGCUCAUGUAUUGCGUGAAAGUUAAAAAAGUUUGAGAAUACUAAAGUAUGAAACAAUUGCUUGGCUUGUCAUCGGGGUUGUGCAUGAUGAGAGCAUUUUGUGACAAAAAUGAAGCAUAGCCAAACUAUAUGAUUUUGUAGGGAUGAGCUUUCUUUGGCUAUAUUAUUUUGAGAAGACAUAAUUGCUUGGUUAGAAUGCUUGAAGUAUUAUUAUUUUUAUGUCAUUAUUAAACUUUUGUCUUGAAUCUUUCGGAUCUGAACAUUCAUGCCAUAAUAAAGAGAAUUGCAUUGAAAAUUAUGCUAGGUAGCAUUCCACAUCAAAAAUUCUGUUUUUAUCAUUUACCUACUCGAGGACGAGCAGGAAUUAAGCUUGGGGAUGCUUGAUACGUCUCCAACGUAUCUACAAUUUUUGAUUGUUCCAUGCUAUUAUAUUAUCUGUUUUGGAUGUUUAAUGGGCUUUAAUAUGCUCUUUUAUAUUAUUUUUGGGACUAACCUAUUAACCGAUGGCCCAGUGCAAAUUGUUGUUUUUUUGCCUAUUUCAGUGUUUCGCAGAAAAGGAAUAUCAAACGGAAUCCAAACGGAACGAAACCUUCGUGAGAAUCUUUCUUGGAACAAACGCAAUCCAGGAGACUUGGAGUGGAAGUCAGAGACGCAACGAGGCGGCCACGAGGCCCAGGGGGUAGGCGCGCCCCCCACCCUUGUGAGCCCCUCGUAGCUCCACCGACCUACUUCUUUCACCUAUAUAUAUACUCUUAUACCCUGAAAACAUCCAGGGGAGCCAUGAAACCACUUUUCCACCGCUGCAACCUUCUGUACCCGUGAGAUCCCAUCUUGGGGCCUUUUCCGGUGAUCUUCUAGAGGGGGAUUCAAUCACGGAGGGCUUCUACAUCAACACCAUAGCCUCUCCGAUGAUGUGUGAGUAGUUUACCACAGACCUUCGGAUUCAUAGUUAUUAGCUAGAUGGCUUCUUCUCUCUCUUUGGAUCUCGAUACAAAAUUCUCCUCGAUGUUCUUGAAGAUCUAUUCGAUGUAAUAUUCUUUUGCGGUGUGUUUGCCGAGAUCAGAUGAAUUGUGGGUUUAUGAACUUGAUUAUCUAUUAAUAUUAUUUGGUUCUUCUCUGAAUUCUUAUAUGCAUGAUUUGAUAUCUUUGCAAGUCUCUUCGAAUUAUCGGUUUAGUUUGGCCUACUAGAUUGAUCUUUCUUGCAAUGGGAGAAGUGCUUAGCUCUGGGUUCAAUCUUGCGGUGCUCGAUCCCAGUGACAGAAAGGGAACCGACACGUAUUGUAUUGUUGCCAUCGAGGAUAAAAAGAUGGGGUUUAUAUCAUAUUGCUUGAGUUUAUCCCUCUACAUCAUGUCAUCUUGCCUAAUGUGUUACUCCGUUCUUAUGAACUUAAUACUCUAGAUGCAUGCUGGAUAGCGGUCGAUGUGUGGAGUAAUACUAGUAGAUGCAGAAUAGUUUUGGUCUACUUCACACGGACGUGAUGCCUAUAUUCAUGAUCAUUGCCUUAGAUAUCAUCAUAACUAUGCACUUUUCUAUCAAUUGCUCGGCAGUAAUUUGUUCACACACCGUAAUACAUGCUAUCAUGAGAGAAGCCACUAGUGAAACCUAUGGCCCCCGGGUCUACUUUACAUCAUAUAAGUUUUCAAUCUACAAUUCUAUUUUACUAUUUAUUUUGCAAUCUUUAUUUUCCAAUCUAUACAACAAAAAUACCAAAAAUAUUUAUCUUAUUAUCUUUAUCAGAUCUUACUUUUGCAAGUGGCCGUGAAGGGAUUGACAACCCCUUUAUCACGUUGGUUGCAAGGUUCUUGAUUGUUUGUGCAGGUACUAGGCGACUUGCGUGUAGUCUCCUACUGGAUUGAUACCUUGGUUCUCAAAAACUGAGGGAAAUACUUACGCUACUUUGCUGCAUCACCCUUUCCUCUUCAAGGGAAAACCAACGCAUGCUCGAGAGGUAGCACCAAACACCAUCUUGAAAUGAGCACAAAGAUCAUGUAUUACACCCAAGGUUUCCAGUUUAGGCGCAGAGACGACGGUUAUUUGCGACGGUGAAUAACUAGAAUCAAGGAUCAAUCUUUGAAGUGAAGGGGCAUCUUUGAUGAUGAGCUUCCUUCCGUCAAAAAAAACUCCAAUUCUUACAAGGUUAGGCGACUUUAUUUAGAGACAACCGAUUCUAACUGUGAAAACAAGCACCAAGCACUCCAGGGCAGGGUAACUGGAGUGGAUGAUGCUGUGCAAUGAGGUCUCCGAUAUACGAACCCGCAUAAGUGAAAGUUUUUUUAGAAAUGGAAGUAGAAGGUUUAGUACCAUAUUGUCUGGUAGGUAUCACAGCACAAAGGUGGCGGUGUGGAGAGAGGAGGAAAACCGCGAGAUGGACAUCGAUGCUGAGGGCACAAGUACAUGGCUUUCGGUAUCUAGUAGGUGAUUUCCUGGGGAAUAGUAGAACUCAAGCAGCUGUAGUUCUGUGAAUUCAGGGAAUUUCAGCCAGGCGUCCACCGUGCAGGGCAUGCUAUGCUUGCUCAGGUAACAUGACAGAACACAGAGGCUUUGAAUGGAGCCCUGGUGGGAGGAGAUGAUGGCUCUGGGAAGUUCAAAAUCAUUAAAGACAGAUAGCUGACGACAGUCGAGAUUAAGGGGCGUGACGCACCAUAGAGGGCGCCACCGAGUUGAGAGGACUUGGGUGCGGCAGCAAUCCUUGGUGGGGAGAAGCGAGAUGAUCUCCCCAAGGAUGGCGUCCGGGAGAUCGCUGAUGAUAGGGGAUUCAAAUUGGACUCUCAUGUCGAAUGUAGCUAGUAGGGAAUUCCUUGGAGACGAGGGAGCGAAAUUUCUAGUAGGAGUAACAUAUAUCAAAGAUGGCCAAAGCUAUUCCGUCAAAUUAGCCAUGUGUAAACAGAUGAUAGUAAGCCAUGUUGUACCACCAGUGUCCAUCUUGAAGUAUUCCCUAUGCGAGCCGUCUGGUGUGUUCUGAUGGUGGUGCUAUCAUGCUGGUGCUUGUGUGCCCCUGUCUCCUCCUGAUGGUCCGCACUAUGGCCGCUUGUGCAAACUGAACUAACAGAAACUCAGUUUUAAUAUGACCAAAAAGAAACUCAACUGUCAAGUUUAGAGAGCUAUACACAAAAAGUCCGCAUCCCGCAUACCAUCCGUUGCCGCCGCCUUGCCAACACGCAGGACGCAGCCGUCGUUGACCUGUUACUUAAAUAUUUCAGUUUUUCAGUGAGAUCCUUUUUGGUCAGCUAUCCAAACAUGUUGCUACAUUUCACAGCCGCGAAAAUGUGCUACUUUGAAUUUGUGCUCCAAUAAACAUUAAUUGCUUGUGAAUGGAAGAUCAAGGCCAAUGAGACCAGCAGUGGAUCCUUUCUUUGAUGAUUCUACAGCUAGAGAUAACCCGACUGGACGACCACAGCCACAAGCUAUAUGCAACAGCUGCAAAGAUUCAAGUGACAUAAUCAACUACCUAAAGAAUGCUACCACACACCAAUUUACUAAAAAUAACAAUUAACUUUGAAACUUAAUUAAUGUAUCCUUGAAUAAAAAGAACUAAAUAAAAUAUCAGUAUAAGGACUCUUAACAUCUUAAUACAGUGUAUUUAUUUAUCUCGUGUACAGAAGUUCAGUUAAGUUUGUUAGAACCAGGCUGGGAGCUUCAUUUCCUAGUAAUAAGCGCAGGCAACAAACUCAAACCACCAUGAUGGAAAAUUAGGAUGUUAGUAAGCCAUUAGGAUCCACGUCUUGGUGCAAAGAAAUUAUGGAAUGAUGAACAAAGUACUACACUAACUCCUAGGUCAGUGUUUCUUGUAUAACUUUGCCUAUAAUUUGAAAGAUUAUGCAGUAUGCUGCUUGGAAACAUGUUACUCGAGUAAUUCUUUUGAGGUUGUCCAAGUAUUACUGGAAAUGGCGUUUCCCAUCUAAAAACACAAUCAUUCAGUGUAUUUAAGUUUUUUAACAUUUGCAAGGCAACUGGAACUUCUCUGCAAAAACUGAAUGAAAGGAUGGUAGAUAGUCUAUACUAAUUUAUAAUACACUUAGAAUCAAAAACAUGUAUAAUAUACUAAUAUAUUGUAUAGACAAAACACUGCCAUUAGUUCUAUACUUCUAGUGCAUGUUGUAGACAUAGAGAAGACAUUCAUUUACAUUGCAGUAUUUUAAUGGCUGCUAAAAGAACAAACACCUUAAACUACAGAGGGCAUAGACAGCAAAGAACACCUAGUCACAGAGGCGACACUCACCAGCAAGCAAGCAGCGCACGCACAACGCAACCGUCUUAACCCCUUCACUCGCUUCUGCAUCGUGUAGUUGAACUGCUUCCACCCCAGGCGCUGCACCUCGUCGUCCUUGAAGCGCUCAACGCCCAGCUAGAAGAAGGUAUUCUUUGAGGUCGCACCGGAUGCAAGAGAACACUGGAUACAGUAGGCAUCGGCUAGCUCGGAGGCGUACUCUGCAUAGAACAGCUUUGCCAUCUCUGACAAGCUGGCACAGUAUUGUGAUCAACAUGUUAUGAAUUAUUUUUGUAACUCAGCAAAAAAAUAUUAUGUGAGAAUACACGAGUAAAACAACUGACGAACUGUUUUGUUGUAUGGAAGAAUCAGGAGUUUAUGUAUGUAACAAUCAUCAACCAGAUUAUAGACUAAGGCUGUAAAAUUGCGUUGAUGCAUCCCAGUAUCCAUAAACCAUACUAUUUCGCAUACAGCACCCAAAAUGAAUCAGAUGCUGGAGAUUCCCAAAAAAUGUUGUCUCACAGUUUAUUAGCUACAUGGAAUUGGUGCAGCCAAGCAGCCUUUUUUUAUGCUGAACAUAAAUUCAGUGAUCUAUGAGAUCCAAAAGAUGACAGUAGCCCCAGCACAUCAAGCCUGGGUGUGGGGCUUCCUCCGAUGGUGCCUGGCGAGACCCAUGGCGGCCAGGGAAGGGAUAGGAGCAGCUCUCGCAGCACAAGAUUCACGGCAAGUCAGGGAGGGAGAGGAGGGGAUCCAGCAGCGCGAGAUCCAUGUCGAUUUGGGGAGGGAGAGGAGCAGCGUGUGGGAGAGGGAAGCACACCGCGCGGCUCGUGGAGGAGGAGGGAUUCAGGGAGAGAUGCGAAGAUCGGGGGCUGGUUAGGGUUACCUAGGCUGCCACGUGAUCCAGCGCGGCGGGAGGGGCUGGCCCUGAGGAGCGAUGAUCCGGCGCGUCCAUCGGCCGGGGGCCUGGCCAGCGCCAGUGGCUCCCUCCAUCGCCGCAGCCGUCCGGGGAGGGACGCAGGCACGGCGAGGCGGACGAGGCUGGCAGCGCGAUUCGAUUCAGCGGGAGGCUGCAUCUGAGGGAGACGACAGCGGGGUUCUCGCUCGUGCGAGUAGUGGAACAUUUUUCGCUGGUUUAAUUUCGUCCUCCCUUCGUUCCAAAAUACUGCUACUGCCGACUUUUUUGAGAAAAAAUACUUCGCUGGGCCAAAAAGUCGGCAGCAGCAGAUUUUUGGGACUGACUAACGGUCAGCAGCAGCAGCUUUGUGGCGGCCUUGCCAAGGCAGGGGAGAUGGCAGCCCUUGAACGGCCCGGGAAGAGGAAAUUGACUAUGUGCAGCCCGCAUGCAAAGGAAAUUUUUUUGACUGGCCCGAAUUGGGUUUUCAGUCGACUGACGGUUAGUCAGUCCCUUCCUUUCUUUCGUUUCUUUCUUUUUGGCGACGACGAGCAUGUAUUUCAGUGACCACAAAUCAAGCCUAAAAACAGCACUGUUUGGUAAACCAAAUCGAAUAGAAGCCUCUGUGCAGAGAGCCAGGCAAGUUACUCAGUCGACGAGCUUGAGACCGAAAUCGACAUCUUCGCAGUGGCGCAGGAACGGCACAUGCGCCACCGGGUCGAGAUCCUGCGCGCGCCGGCAGACGAGCGACGGCGGCGAGUGCAGGCACGGCUCGAUGGACGCGGGCCUGACGCACGCCACGUCGGACCUCAUCUUGCUCAAGUCCAGCGGGGCCAGCAGCCUUGGGCGCAGCCCGGCGAGCGCGUGCGCCACGUACCCGAACGUGGACCACGACGUGGUGACCAUCUCGUCGCAGUAGCUGAGCAGGAAGAUCUCGGCGAGGGCGCGCUCGUUGUGCGCGCGCGCCUCCGUGUGCUGGUCCUGGUCGUGGCUCGGCUGGUACACGGUGACGAGCUCGCCGGAGUCGGUCGCGUUGUUGUAGUACAUGGCGUGGAGCUUGUCGUAGUACUCGGGCUUCAACGACACCACCAGCACCGCCUUGACCUUGUUCGCCUUGGCCGUGCUGUUGGACGACGGCCGGACGAGGGAGGGUUCGCCGGUGAGCCGCGGCAGAAGGCCGUGCUCCCGCGUGCACCGGAGGAUCUGGUCGAACAUGACGUCGAACGGGACCGGGUGGUGCCACACGAUCCGCACCUGCACGCCGAGGCGCUGGUCGGCGCCGGCGAGGUAGCCGUCGAAGAACCGCUGCGCGAUCCCCCACGCCGGGUUGCCCGGGUGGAGGAGGUACCUGCCGAGGUGGUGGAACACGGAGCCCUUGGACGGGAACAUGCGCUCCAGGUCGUCGCGGUACGUGGGCACCAGGAAGAGCGCCACGGCGAAGUAGCUGUCGGAGCGGAGCAGCAUCCAGUUGAAGCCGUCGAGCGCGCGGUGGUCCUCCUCGCAGAAGGUGUGGUUCUGGAGCCGCAGGUUCAUGUUCUCCAGGUGGAGGUACACGUACGGCGGGAGCGCGCCGGCAUUGCCGCCGUCGACGUCGUCGUAGCGGACGACGUUGUUGUGGAGCAUGCUCACGUAGCUCUCCUUGGAUUCCGACCCGAAGCGGACGUCCUUGUAGGGGAAGGUCGCGGGCAGCAGCCAGGAGGUCCCCGGGAAGGGCUCGCAGAAGAGGCCCUCCAUCUCGGGGGGCUCGUGGACGAGGAGGACGCGGGCGGUGAGCAGCGCGUAGAGGAAGGUGGAGACGAGGCUGAGCAUCCGAUUGCCGAGGCCCUGGACGGGCAGCCACACCACGUACCUGCACUCCCCGCGCUCGCCGUUGCGGCCGGACCGAAGCUGCGCCAUGGCCUCGCGGUACCGCGGCGUGCCCGGCCCGCACCGGCGGUGGUUGGCCUCGUACUGCCUCAGCUUGCGGACCAGAUACGGCGAGACCGGGAACGGCGACGGCUUCCAUCGGCUGGAGCCCUCGUAGCGGCUGCGGCACGCCGGCUCGUCGAAGUCCGGCGAGAGGAGCCCGCCGAGGAGCCGGCCGUCACGCGCCGCGCCCGGUUCCGGGGACGGCGACGAGGAUGCGUUACGUGGACCUGUGAUGGAUGGAUGGAUCCGGCAAGCAAAUCAAUGAACCGCAUGGAACACGGGGCCCCUAGCUAAGGUGGCAGCCGGCAUGGGUGGGUGAGCUUCAAGGAGAGUGGGUGCCGUACUCUGCUGUUUCACCUGUGCCCAGGCCAGGGAGUCGGCAGCGAUGGAGGCGGCCCGGUCGCCGAAGAGGAAGAGCAGGAGCAGCAGCGGCAGCGCGGCCAGGAGGACGGCCGUGACGGCGCCCCGGCGACGCUCCGGUGGAUCUCGCGCUCCAGCAGCUUCCAUUCCCGCCUCGGAACCCAUACGCAAUCUAGUGCUUGUUUUGUUUUGUCGAGGUCGAGGAGGUCAAGUGGGGAGGUCAACUGUUGCAGUGGAUUGAUAUUUAUGCAAAGCUGUCAUGCAUGGAGUAGAAUGCCAGAAUGGCAAAAUCGGCAGAUCCAAGAGUAGAUCCAAUAUUCCCGCAAAAGAAAAAAAGAGAGUAGAUCCAAUAGUGGCGGGGUGGCUGUCUGUGCUGCUCAUCAUUAUUGAUUCCUUGUGCACACACAUACAAUGUGCUUGGAAGAGUUAGUAAAACAGUCUUGCCAAACAUUGGUCGACUGAGACUUGUCUGAGUUCGAUGUUAUAUCUAUAAGACCUUACAUUAAGGUCCAUAUAAGUUUUUUUUUCUUACAUGUUAUGUCACUUCACGGUUAAGAUCCCAUUCCAAUUCCUAUGUAUUUACUACACCUUUCCUUUGAACAACGAAGACCUUAGUAGUAGGUUCCAUUUUUCGAAGGAAACAAAUGAAAACCUCGCUGGAGUUAAUCCAGGCAAGGUUCUCGGUUCGGUUGAAUCUUAAUCCAGGUUCAACAUUACCAUCGCUGUACUAGCGCUACCAAACUGAAUUUGUGACAUUUGGCGCUUCAGUGGAUUAUCAUUAACAUUUGCCCUUUUAGUAAAAAAAAAUGCAGGGACAAUUUUCGUAUUUGUUUCACCCAUUUUUUUCAACUUUGUAGCUAAUUUUCCAUGAAAAUUUAUAAAAUAAUCAAAACACAACACAAUCCAAUAGUGAUUCUGAGAUUUCUAGGGUCUAGCGGACCAAGUUCCUCCCGCGGGUAGCUACUCCGGCUACAGCGGCUCUGGACGACGGACAGGAACCUGCAACACAGGUUGCGGUCCCAUGUUGCGUGUCCGUUGUGCGACCAGGAGGCGGAAUCUACUGAUCACCUCACAUGUAGUUCAAAAGAUGUAGCCUGCACGGCUCAAAAAGACUAAAAACAAAUACAAGUUCAUAAAACAAACCACAGAAAUUCACAAAAUUUCACGGGGAUAAAAUUUGGAAGUUUAGAGAAGAUAGCGGGGAGAGUUCAGAUCACAUUUGGAACUUUAGAACACAAAAAAUAUGAUGCCAUAAAAUGAUCAAAAGUUCAAGGUGUGACAAAACUGAAAGUUCAAAGGCAACAUCAAGAAAAAGUUCAAUGUGUGGCAUUCAAAAUUGAGUUUUACCGUAUUCAAUGCUGCUCUUAAACCAUGGUGAAUUUGAAAAAAUGGUCAACACGAUUUUUUUUUGCUCAUUUACAAUAGGUUUUCAACAGUAUAUCAUUUGCUUCAUUCAAAAUAACGGUUUAGGACUUAUGAACAAAAAACAGAGUGUAAGUGAGAUGUGAAACACCCAGCAGUUCAAAAGCCACACUGAGUGCAAUUCGGAUGAGAAAAAAAAAGUAAAAAAACUAAAACCAAAAAGGGGUUGCUACUAGAUGUUCACGUGCUAAAGAAGAAAACAAAGAAGUUCAAAAUAAAAUAAAGGAGCAGUUUGAUGUUUAAAAAUCAAGAAGUAACGUGAAAAAUAAAUAGAAAUUGUAAAAUCUACAAAAAUAAAUAAAUAGGAGUUAACUGAAUAAGAAAAGGUUAAAAAAACUCAAAGGUAACACAGGAAAAUGCGGGAAGGUCACCGAACAAAAAAUCCGAGUGUUUGGGGGAGAAAAAAAAUGAAGUUCACGGUGCAAAGUUUUGAGAGGUCAGAUGCAACACCGAGACAAAUUCAAAAAAAAAGUAUUACUCAAACAAAAUUGGGAAGCUGAUGAUUAAAAGACAAAAGUCCGUAGUUGCAAAAAGGAACAGGGAGUUCUUUUCAACUUAUGUUCUCGAUCAGUGUAAAAAAAAACUGUGUUCUCGAUCCCUUGGUGGUCGAAGAUGAUAGAAGAACGCACUAACUCCUGUACAGCUGGUACAGCCGAAAAUCCCUCGGAAAAAUGGUUUGUUCUCUUCCUCUUUCCUUACCUACUCCAUGCUAGAAUUGCUAAUCCUGUAUAAUGUGUCGCCAGUUCACAACAUUUAGUAGUCACAAGGAACAUUACCUAUGAAAAAAUGGUGUCUUUCAUCCCUAAUUACUGCUAUUAUCUAACACUGUCAGAAAUUCAUUAACUUAAGACAAGAAAAAGAAAAGGACAUGGAAAAAGGUGUGUCUCUACAAGAGCUAGUUCACUUGGUGGAGAACUCAAACAGCAUUGUAUGCAUGUACUUCUCACCAGGAUGAACAAUCACUGAUGGAAAAUUAGGUUGGUUGACCGCAUUUGGGAAACCCUGCGUCUCAAGGCAGAGACCUGCGUGCUUCCCAUAGACUGCACCUCCUUUCCCCACAAUGCCAGCAAGGAAAUUACCAGUGUAGAAUUGCACUCCAGGAGCAUCCCCCCAAAUGUUUAGGACCCUAAAGCUUGACGGAUCUGUCACCUUAGCCACGUGCCGCAAGCCUGACUUCACUUCGCGAGAAUCAUCAAGCACAUAGUUGUGAUCAUAACCACCAGGGACUUGGCCAAUCCUAUCACCAAUCUCACCCUCAGUCAGAAAAUCAAAUGGCGUGCCACUCACUUGCAUAAACUCGCCUGUGGGUAUUGAAAUUUGAUCUACUGGAGUUAUCUGAGAUCCCCUUAUCUGGAUAGAAUGUGCAAGAACAUCUCCAGAGUUGUGGCCUGCCAGGUUCCAGUAGGUGUGUUGUGCUAAACUGAUUGGUGUGGCCUUGUUCAAAGGUGCAGCCUCCAUCUCUAGCUUCAACUCCAUGCUUGAUGGAAGAGAAUAUCUGGCAGUAACAGAAACAUCACCUGGGAAACCUGUUUACUUAAGAGAGAUCUGUCAGAUUAUAGUAAAUUGCAAACCUUCAUAUAAUUAAUUGUUCAAUGGGAGUUAGUUACCACGGUACCUUCCUCUCCAUCUUUACUAUAAUAUUUUAAGGUGAUUGAUGGGGUCUUCCCUUUGUUAUAUUCAGUGACUUCCCAUAUGACUUUAUCAAACCCUUUAAAUCCACCUAGAAAAAUUGAUAUCGCACAGCAUUAGAGUUAGGUAUGUAAUAGCACAAGUAAUAUAGUGAUUUUUUCUCUGUGCAUGUAUAUUAUGUGCAUUUGUGAUUAUCGACCAUGAUACAAAAAAAUUAUUGAUCUUGACAGAGUGCAUAUUCAGAUAAGCCAUUCUCCUUAACCCAGACUGCCACAAAUACUUAUUCUGCACAGCAGACGGACUAGUGUGAUUCAAGGAAUUUCUUACACGUUCUUGCAGCUGUUCAACAUGGAUGAUGCUACAGAAAUCAGGUUAAAGUCGGCCAUGUCUAUAUGAACCAAACAUGCAUAAACAAGAGUAUACCUCACAACUCACUACAUCAUGAGACCUUAAAAUUUAAAUUGGUAGAACUGGGCUUUAACCCCUAAACACUGUCACACUCCUACAUAGCUCUAGCAGUGCGAAAAGGGCACAAGUUGUCGGAGUGUCAGAGAAGAGCAUGGCACAGAGCCACAGAGUAACAGAGAUGCAGGAGAAGGUGUUCAGGCGUUAACUGACGAAACUGAAGAUGUUCGAGUCGAUAGAGGGAAGCGAGGCAAGAAGGGAAUCCAGUUGGCGCCAUCAAGUGGAUGACUUGGCAUUGAGUUGCUAGUGGGUUGCCCGGAGGUCAGUAGGUGCGGUGUGGCGCAGUUAUAAGCCGUUGCAGUGUACUGUUUGCAGUCAUCGAAUAUGAAAUGAAUAUCUGAUUUCCUCCUUCCCCUGCCUCUUCUUCCUCAAGUCUCUGCUCCUUCCCCUCUGUUCUUCCUGAGUUCAUCCGAUCUGCUGUUACAUCUAGCCCAAGCAUAGGCUAGGUCAUAACAAUUGGUAUUCAGAGCUUCUUCGGUCCACUGCUGCGCUGUCUCACACUCUCUUGAUCGACCGGUAAAAUUUCCAAGAGCGGGUCGCUGGUUGCUUUCGAGCGAUCGGGCAUAUAUCCUAUUAUCAGUUAGGCCUGAUUCGGGGGAGCAGCCACGGCUCCAUUGUUCAAGCCUAGCGCACAGUCACAGUACAUUGUUGCCGAGAUCGAAAGUAUGGAGGAGAAGCUGCUCGCAGAGAUCAAGGACUUGUCAGACCGAUUUGGUGCGCUCGAUCUAGUUCAGCAGUAGAUCAGUGACCUCUACACCGAGUGGGAAGCCAGGCGCAGUAGGUGGAGCACAUCAAGGACAAGCUCGAUCUCUUGCUCAUCUUGCUUGGUCAGGUGGAGCAACAGCAGCUGCGGCGGCGGACGCCGCAGGGCCCUCACCAGCCACCGCCACGACCACCAGAUCUGCAGACGGCAAGCAUUUUGGGGACUCCAGGGAGCGUCGGAAGCAAUCACCUACCCCAUCGUCGCCCACCAGUCAGGUGUCCACAACGUCGCCUAUUCCAAUUACUGUGGACGCGCCUGAACCCUGAAUCAUCAGAGAAUGAGUCCAAAGCGAAACUGGAUGCCUAAAAUGGAAUUUUCUCAGUUUGAUGGCACUGAGGAACGUGUCUGGGUUGAUCUGUGCAAUACUUACUUUGCAUUAUAUCAGAUUCCUGAAGGGUUUAAGGUGGCUGCAGCAAUGCUGGACAUGAUUGAGAACACUACACAUUGGUAUAAGGCUUACAAACUAACAGCAAGCUGGCAAGAUUGGCAGAAAUUCAGUACAGAUUUGUUGCAGGAAUUUGAAGUCAAUGUCCACAGGGACAAGUUAAGGGAAUUGCAUUUGCUCAAGCAAGUGGAUAGUGUUGAGGAAUACAAGAGGAAUUUUGAUCAGCUUGCGUAUCACAUUAAAAUAUAUCAUAUAUGAUCCAGCUGUUGGGGGGUUGAUGUUGGUAAAUCAAUUUAUUAUGGAGCUCAAACCGGAAUUAAUGGGUCAUGUGGAAACACAGUUGCCAGAUACAGUAGCUCAAGCAGCAGUGUUUGCAAUGAUUCAGGAAGUAGAUUCUGGUAGCUCUCAGUUUUCUGAACCAAUAAUUUGUGGAUAGGUUGCAUUUGCCAAGCAGGCCAGCAAGACCAAUGAGUCAAAGUGGUAAAUGGGGAUAUAUUACAUUGCAAUACAGAAGUGCCUGAGUUAGUGUGGAACAUACAACAAGGCUUUUUUACUCAUCCAAUGAAAGUACAUAAUCUGGAGGGUUAUGACGCUGUCCUUAGAAUGGACUGGUUAGCAAAGUUCAGUGUAAUUGGGAAGACAAACGGGUGGAGUUUCAAUAUCGGGGACAAACAGUGAAACUUCAGGGAGUGGUCUCGCCAUCUCUGCCCACUUCUCAGGAGGCUACUCUAGAGGAGAUUGACCAGUGGCACCAAGUUAAUGACAUAGGGGCUCUGGCUGUGGUUUUGCCCUCUGUCAGAUACUGUACAUGCCACUGUGCCCAUGGAGAUUCAGUUAGUGUUGGAAAAAAUCAGAGAAGUGUUCUAGGAAGCAAAAUCUCUCCCCGCUCACAGAAGUUUUGAUCAUGCUUAUUACACUGCUACCUGGGGCAGCCCCUGUAAAUUCUAGGCUCUAUAGAUAUGCUCCUCACCAGAAGGAUGAGAUAGAAAGGCAAGUGGCUGAGAUGAUCAAGGCAGGCAUUGCUACACCAAGUAUGAGCCCUUCUGCAUCUCCUAUUCAACUGGUUAAAAAGAAGGACAAUAUCUGGAGGUUUUGUGUGGAUUAUAGAAGGUUAAACAUGGCCACAGUUAAGAACAAAUUUCCACUAACCAUUGUUGAGGAGUUACUUGAUGAGUUAGCUGGUGCCUCUUGUUUUACCAAGUUGGGUCUUAGAAGUGGGUAUCAUCAUACCAGGAUGGUGCGAGAAGAUGAAGCUAAAACUGCAUUUAAAACUCACCAUGGUCAUUUCCAGUUCAGGGUAAUGCCACUUGGUCUAACAAAUGUACCUGCCACCUUUCAGUGCCUGAUGAAUUCCAUAUUCCAGCCUGUCAUGAGAAAAUUUGUCCUUCUAUUCAUGGAUGGCAUUUUGGUACACAUGUGAGACACUUAGAGCAAGUGUUUGAGAUCUUGCAACGAAACCAAUUGUUUGCAAAGCAAAGUAAAUGUGUUUCUGCUACCAGUCAGCUGGAAUAUUUGGGUCAUAUCAUUUCUGGACAGGGAGUAGUAAUGUCACUCAACUCAGAGGGUUUUGGGGCCUAACAGGUUAUUAUAGAGUGAAAGGCUACAGUUAAUUGGCAAAACCCCUCACUCAGCUACUUCAGAAGAAUAAGCAGUUCCUGUGGACACCUGAAGCACAACAUGCUUUCAAUCAACUCAAAGCUGCAAUGGCCUCCACCUGUUUUGGCACUACCAGACUUCCAAAAACAGUUUAUGAUAGAGGAUGUUGUUUUUGCCUCUGGAAUAACUGUUGUUCUAUCUCAAGAGGGGCAUCCCGUACCUUACUAUAGCAAGGCUUUGGGGGUUCAAAAUCAAAAGUUGUCUAUCCAUGAAAAAGAGUUUUGAGCGACUAAGUCUUACUAUUCCAAAUAAGACCACAGUGGCAUAUUAAAAUGGUAAAAUGAUCCCCUGCACAUCCUUUUCCAUUUAGGCGCAAAAUAUUCAGAUCCUGAUUUUUUGGGGGUCUAAAUUCAUAAAAUAGAGCGUAAACUCAUAUCAUUGGCAACUUAAUUAUCAAUGAACCAUCCAACUAAAAAUAGUAGCUAAUGUUUUAAAGGUGAAUCUAAUUACCCACAUGUUCCAUGGUGUCUCACUGAAGAAGAUUCUCUUUUACUUAUUGUAUACUAAUUCCGUUUAUUGUAUACUAAUUCUGUUUAGCAGAAAUAUCACGGUCAUCUGCAGUCUCAAUCAGUCACAAAUGUUUGGCAGCAGGGUAGGAGGAUAAGCAAACUGCAAGCAUUACAUAUGCCUGAAAACCUGAAUAAAUGAACAAACUAGAACAUCUAUGAAUUGUAACAACUCAGGCCUCCUAUGUCUUACCAUGAAGAGUGUUAGGUGGGUUGUUGAUGCCCAAACUAUAUUGCACGCCAUUUAAAGUAAACUUUCCAUCCUUGAUUCUAUUUGCAACUCGCCCAACAAUGCAGCCAAAGUAAGGCGAGGUGCCAUUCUAAAAAUUAAGAGAACACAAACCAUCAGCACCAAACAAAUGUAUCGAUAUAUAAGUAUAAGUAGAUCUAAUCAUAUAAGAUCAGCAGUAGAUAUAAUGCAUAUAAAUAACAGGCACAUAAGGGCAUCUCGAGCCGAUCCCUCAAAAUUUAGACCCUCAAAAUAAACAUAAAAUUAGAAGAAUAGUAUGCUAGAAUGAUAUCUAUCUUGUAUGGUUUUAUUCACAACACCAUUAUGAUCGACAAUGUACCCCUUAAAAAUACCCCAAUGAACCAAGAUUGAGACAUUAGACCUCUCGUAGUGGGUAGUAUCAUAGACUAGUUUAUGAUAUGACCUCCCCAAUGCAUACUAUCAUACUGUCACUUCAUUCAUUCAUUUGUAGAAUCUCAAUAAAAAGUUGUGGGUAGAAUUUAGUCCCUCCGUCCCAUAAUGUAAGACGCUUUUUAACACUACACUAGAGUCAAAAAACGUCUUACAUUAUGGGACGGAGGGAGUAUUUCUUAUUAACUUUUUUUAUUUGACGUGCUAUGAUACUGUAGCAUAAUACUAAAUUGCCACCUCAGCUAACUUGCAUAAUUGGCAUGCAUGAUACUUUCUAUGAUACCCCCACUACGGAAGGUCUAAUAGUAUGAUACUAGAACUCUAUCUGACAUCCUUAAUUGCACGGUCAGAUCAUCUUUCUUUUAUGUGGCAAUGCAUUCGUAUACCAGGAGAUCUCAGCACAAACAUUUACACUACGAAAUAUCAAUGUUCAGGAUAUCAGCAACUGGUGCCAUAUUGGUCAGGUCCUGAGUAGGGGUAAAUAGGUGAAAUUUUUCCAGUUAAUCGGCUAUCCGGUGACCCACCAAGUAGCAAUUAACUCACAAGAUGCCGAUUAACUGCCCCAUAUUUGGAACAAUGCAAACUAUGUGGCGCGUGAGGGUACAAUAGAAAAUAAGGCCACUAGGCUAGUUGACUUCCAAAAGUCCCAUAAAAAUAAAGAUUUCCAAAAGUCUGAAAUCAAGAAACAUCCCCUUUCCAGUCCUCCGACAGUAAUCCUAUCCGAGAAUGCACCGAAAUGAGCUAACCAAUCGCUGCAAAUCCAAAGGCACAAAUGAAUAACUAACCAGAUACGGAUCCAGGGAGUCGAAUCCAAGCACCACAUCAGCAAGAACCCCUGCAGAGGCACGCAGGACAGCAAUUACAACCACAACCGUAAAAGAAGCAACGAGCCAGUCCGCAGCGGCGCAAACAUACCGUUCUUGUCCGGGACAAGCAGCGAGGUGACGGCGGCGCCGACAUUGCUGAUCCUGGCCCGAAUCCUGCCGUUGUCGAGCUCGAGCAGCUCCGGGGAAGGCGGCCGCGAGGGGGGCACCGGCGCGGGCACUGGGACGACGAGCCUGUCGGGCUUCUUGGUGGAGGCGCGGAGCGAGGGCGCCGGCGCGGAGAGGAUGGUGGCGGAGGCGAGGAGGUAGACGGCGGCGAGGAGGAGGAGGAAGAAGGGCGGGGUGACGCGGAGGAUCUUGAGGCCGGCGUGGGGCUGCUGCGGGUGGUGGUGAUCCCGGAACCGGUUGGAGGCGGCGUGCUGGAGGUGCGGCCGGGUCGGGGUCCUCGGGGACAGGGAGGAAUGGUGCUGCUGAGCUCCCAGCAGCUGCUCCAUUUCCUUUCCUCCCCCCGGAGAUCUGCUUGCUCCGGUCUUCUCGGGUUAGGCCUGAUCCGGGUUAGGCCAGCGGCGCUUUCGUCGCCCCCUGGUCACUCGCAUCGCGCGCCUCGCCUGGAUCCCCUCGCGCGCGCCGGCUGGGUUCCCUCGCGGACCAUCGCCCGCGUCGCGCGCCUAGAUCGAUCCACUCCUCUCUGUCCACCGCCGAUCGACCCGUUCCUCCUUUGUCCAGACCCUUGCAAAGUCACUUCACACCCCCUGUUAUUUUUAACACGCUCAUACAUACAUACGCAUACGCAUACGCACUCACCAUGAAUGCACACACACGCGCGUUAUCCAUAUGAGCACUUCCGAGAAACCGAGCCGAUACAUCCUCUCACUAAACGAACGUCGUCGAAGGCUUAAAAUAAAUUUAAGAAAAUGCAAGCACCAGAAAUUUAGGAUUUAAAACCUAAUGGGCUAGGGAUACUCAUGUCCUCCUAAUCCUUCGACCACAUGUUGGCUCGCCUUCACACCUCAUGUUGUGGUGAUAAGUGACGCAUUAUUUGGUCGACAUUUGUUGUGAGUUGGGAGUUUUGUAUUUAUUUCAUAAACUCAUUGUUUUCAAAAUGUUUUAUCUUUUGAAUAGUGCAUCUAAAUCAUGAACCGCUUUCACAAUUGCUUUUCUUGCGUCAAAUCAUCAAAAGUAGGUCCAAUAUUAAAAGAUUUGGAUGAAUAAAAAAAGAAAAGUUAAAUAAAAAGGAUAAAAAAAUGAAAGCCAAAAAAAUAUAAAGGGAAAAAAACUAAAAACUAGAAGCAAGAAAGCGCAUUUCUUUAAAAGCACAAUUGUGAUUUUCUUUCACUUUUUGAGUUUCACGUGGAAGCACAACUAUGAUUUUUACUUUUCACAAAGCAUAGUUGUGGUUCAUGUGGAGCACACUUCUGGUCCACACGGAAGCACAAUUGAACUUUUCACUUUUUCGUGAAGCACAAUUGUACUUUGAUGACCCACAAGUAUAAGGGAUCAAUCGUAGUCAUUUGAAUGAGUAAGAACGUCGAACUCAACGAGGAGCAAAAGGAAUUGAUAGACAGUUUUCAACGAGGAUUUCACUGCAAGUGUUGAUAGAUAAUGUGAUGGCAAUAUAAUUUGUAGCAAGUAACAAGUAACAAAAGUAGUAAGGUGCGGUAAAAUGGCCAGAUCCGGGUUAGGCCAGCGGCUCCUUCGUCGUCCCCGAGUUUCAAAAUGUUUUCUGCUUUUUGGAGCAUAACUGUAUUUCGAGUUCCAAACUGUGCUUUUCACUUUUUUUGUGCAACACAAUUGUGCUUCACGCCAAAGCACAAUCGUGCUUUUCACUUUCUCCUGAAGCACGGUGCUUCACGGUUCACGCCGAAGCAAUGGGUUGCUUUUCAAUUUUUGUUUGGUUGUGCUUCAUGCUUUUCAUUUCUGAGGAGCAUGGAUGUGCUUCAUCAUGAAGCACAACUAUGAUGAAGCACAUCUAUGCUUCGCAAGGAAAAAGAAAAGAAAAAACCAAGAAAAAAAUUUGGAAACCUGAAAAACCCAAAAACAUGUGCAGAAAAAAAGUGUCCCCGAGGGUGCAACCAACACGCAACACAACACAUGGUGGCGGCUGGGUGCACCAUGCGGCAGUUGCUCGUGCGUGUGUGCCACCCAUAGGGAAUCCCCCUGAUGGGGUGCCCAUUGACUAGUUACUCCUUUUUUUCUGGAGACGGGAGCAUGGUGACAGAUCGCUCUGGGUCGUGGUGGGUUAGCUAAAUGGGUUGGAAGAAGCGACCCAUUUCACUAGAGGGCUCGAUUUUUUUCUCGUGGAGUAGCAACCCAUUAGAACAGUUAGACCAGAAAUUGAAAGGUGCGGGGGAGGUCGCUAGAUAGAGUACAUCUAAAGGCUACAAACACCCAAAUCAGUAAAAAGGACGGCCAGGAAUGUUGAGGAUGUGAGAGGGCAAAGACUAGGUGCAGUUUUACUGUCCUAAAUGAUCAAUUGUGUUGCGGCGCAAAAACCGUCAAAUUGGAAGCCAAACUAAAAACAAAGUUAAUUAGACAUAUAGUACAUAAAACUCAAAAAAUGAUACAAACAGGAUCACUAAAACUUGUGUUGCGGUUGUGGCUCGCAAGCUUCAGCGCAUUGAGGUGGAGGCUGUGCUGUGGAAGUUCUCUGGUGCGAAGGGGUUGGGCGAUACCUGGAGAUAGGUUCUACGAACUCAUAGGGUGUUGCUCUAUCGAUUGCGACAUUGUGGUAGCCAGCCCAUCAUCGUCGUGUUAUCCCUUAUAACCGCGACUUGCCGCUGGAUUCUUUGUACCCUCGCUUUCUUCUAAUAAAUCGACAAGCAAGUUUUUCGCGGGUUCGUAAAAAAAAUUCUGAGAUUUCUCAUUUGCUUCUAUGUUUAGAAAACAAAGAGCCAUGUUGCUCUUGGUCUUCAUCGAGGGGGUGCACCAUGCAAACACGAGUACUUGUUACACGAACCAUCCAAACAAGUCACAACAUCGGAACAAUCAUACGAUAUAAGCAACUAAGCGAAUAAGUAAAUUGAAGUUCAGAAAAGUCUGCCAUCGCCUAGUCGCUUGCAGGUGGGCCAACUAGUAGCAGAAAAUACCUCCAUGACCACGACCUUCCCCUGUUGACAUCACUUCUCUGAACUCAGCUCUUUGCAAUGGCGCCCACGAUCGUGGUAAGCCACCGCAUUUGAUCACCUGAUUUAGACGAUAGAGAACUUUCUUGUCAAAGUUAACAUCGUUCUGAUGGCCAUAUAAACCAAUAUAUAGCUAGAAUAGUGUUUGUGAAUAUAGCGCCUUCAAACCCUUGUUGCCAAUUUUCCAUCAUAUGAGAAUCCUAAAGGGCUAGAUGACAUAAUCACAUAAAGCGGGGAAUAUGACAGGCGUUGCACUACUGUCUGUCUUUCAUCACAAAAACAAGAUCUGAUCUUCCACACUUCCUUUUGACGGUUUUGCUAAUUCUCGGUUGACUCUGGUCGUUCAUAUCCAUCCAAGAUUUUAUAAAAACUGAAAGCUGAGGUCAAACGUUGCAAUUUUUUGCGCUAGUUGAACGAUCAUAUCAGAGGACUUAAUUUUCAAUCAGAUGAGAUAAUAUUACACUUUUUGCACCAGACAAACAAAUCGUUAUAACACAGUGAACACCAUUUCAGAACUGAUGUAUGAACAAAUUUAGAAAACUAACCAAGGGAUGGUUAACUAUCAGCUGACCGAGACAUAGGCGCUCCUUUCUUAUAAUUCUAGUUUCUCUAGUGAGAAUAAUCCCGCUCAGAAGACAGCACACAGAAGUUAUCCUUGAGGGUACUUUUAAUUUGAACUAAAACCACAACAUUUAUUUUGGAACGGAGGGAGAGAACCCGUAAGAGACAGAUGCAUGGACUCUACCGAGAAACAGAAGGGUUUCUAGUUGUGUUUGUGAUAACCUGAUCGUUUCCACCUGUUGGACCAGCUUGUUCCAAGUUAGGCCCAACCCAGAUGAUUGCUCGCUGGAAUGACAAUUUGCUAGUAAUGCUACAACUUGGUUUCAUUCUGGUAAUGGAGCCGGGGAGAGGCCUCCCUGUUCAUCUAUAAAAAAUGACAAUUUGCUACAGUACCUCGCAACAUUGCAUAGGAGGAUGGGGUAUUUGACAAAAUGGUUCAAUAUCAGCCCAAGUAUCCUCCCAAAAGUAGUGAACUUGCGUGACAUACUGGAGGUGGAACCAACCUAGCAGUAGCAGCAAAAGGAAAUGCUUUGCACGCAUAAACCCAGUCCAAAAACUGAGAAUACCCGCUACUAAAUUCCACUUGAGAAAUAAUCUUGUUUCAGUAAAACCCCUUCCUCAUAUAAAUGAGCCUAAAAGCAGUUUGCUGAGCAAAGAAAUGUUCUUCAUCUCUAUUUCUUGAUACUCAAACUCCCUUGAUCUUUCAGUCUACAUAAAAUAACCUAUUUGGCAAGCCUAUAAAUUUCUCUUGUGGCUGGAAAAAAAAUUCUCCGAGAUUUAUAAUAUCUAAAAUUUAUGACCUAUGGCAUUUGUGUCAUUUACGCUGGUUCCACUUCGACCAUCUUCUUUUCUUUCCAUGAACACCUCUUCUAGCUUCAUAGCAACCACAUAAAUUGCACUCCAUCGCUCCCCACACACACAAAAAAAAAAGAUUGCACUCAAUAAAGGAACAAGAUUUGGUGAAGUUUUUUGUCCGUUUGGCAUGACCAGUGCGCGCGUGUAAAUUCUGAUGGCAAGAGGACAAAGAGAACCAAAUUUUUACUAAGGCAGUAUGAUAAACCCAACCAUGGCACGGUCCUAAUCAUGUUUUCUCUUUCAUAAUUGCAAUCUUGUACAGAAAAAUAAUUCACAUGGAGCUAAAUCUUCCAACGAAGAUAUAGCACCAUACUUUUGUCAGUCUUCUUUCUGAACAUGAUGUUUGUAAAUCCAGAAACAGGAAACAAAAUAAAUAAUACUAUAUUUCUAGAGUACAAUGGCGAAAAAAAUCACAGCCAUAUUUAUCACUUGACCUUGAAAAUUUUCAUUACAGAGCUAACCGUGAAUUAUUUAUUAAG